rnacentral:lncRNA from 1 species
UAGUGAUCUAAACACUCAUAUACUGUAUUUCUUUACGGAGGGGUUCUCAAAGGAAAAAAAACUCAAAAAUCUUUUACGGAUGGAGUACCAACAUAUACAGUAUACAAAUAAAUAGCUAGUGCAUGUAUUAACCGCAAAGAGACGAAAACAGCCUCCAAAGCCAGUGACCCCAUGACAUCACUGACAGUGGGACCCGGAACGCCACUGACACAUUAUUGAAGCCAACUGAGAACGACACACAUACGACUGCUAGCUAGACCAUGUACGCAGCUACGUGACGUACAUUGCGCACCCACGCGACGACGAUCAACCACUCACGAAAUACGCCCACACAUACGGAUCCAAUAAUAAACGAACUAAGGUACCGUGCCAUGGCAAUGCCACGGCACGCGCACGGCGAAGCCAGGCAAAGGCUAGCUCAGGAGCACGAUCGCACCCGCGCGCAUCAACUCACUCGGCGGCCUUGUCGGCGGCGGCGGCAGCCUGAGCAGCUGGUGCCUCUGCCGGCACCGCCUCGGCNNNNNNNNNNNNNNNNNNNNNNNNNNNNNNNNNNNNNNNNNNNNNNNNNNNNNNNNNNNNNNNNNNNNNNNNNNNNNNNNNNNNNNNNNNNNNNNNNNNNNNNNNNNNNNNNNNNNNNNNNNNNNNNNNNNNNNNNNNNNNNNNNNNNNNNNNNNNNNNNNNNNNNNNNNNNNNNNNNNNNNNNNNNNNNNNNNNNNNNNNNNNNNNNNNNNNNNNNNNNNNNNNNNNNNNNNNNNNNNNNNNNNNNNNNNNNNNNNNNNNNNNNNNNNNNNNNNNNNNNNNNNNNNNNNNNNNNNNNNNNNNNNNNNNNNNNNNNNNNNNNNNNNNNNNNNNNNNNNNNNNNNNNNNNNNNNNNNNNNNNNNNNNNNNNNNNNNNNNNNNNNNNNNNNNNNNNNNNNNNNNNNNNNNNNNNNNNNNNNNNNNNNNNNNNNNNNNNNNNNNNNNNNNNNNNNNNNNNNNNNNNNNNNNNNNNNNNNNNNNNNNNNNNNNNNNNNNNNNNNNNNNNNNNNNNNNNNNNNNNNNNNNNNNNNNNNNNNNNNNNNNNNNNNNNNNNNNNNNNNNNNNNNNNNNNNNNNNNNNNNNNNNNNNNNNNNNNNNNNNNNNNNNNNNNNNNNNNNNNNNNNNNNNNNNNNNNNNNNNNNNNNNNNNNNNNNNNNNNNNNNNNNNNNNNNNNNNNNNNNNNNNNNNNNNNNNNNNNNNNNNNNNNNNNNNNNNNNNNNNNNNNNNNNNNNNNNNNNNNNNNNNNNNNNNNNNNNNNNNNNNNNNNNNNNNNNNNNNNNNNNNNNNNNNNNNNNNNNNNNNNNNNNNNNNNNNNNNNNNNNNNNNNNNNNNNNNNNNNNNNNNNNNNNNNNNNNNNNNNNNNNNNNNNNNNNNNNNNNNNNNNNNNNNNNNNNNNNNNNNNNNNNNNNNNNNNNNNNNNNNNNNNNNNNNNNNNNNNNNNNNNNNNNNNNNNNNNNNNNNNNNNNNNNNNNNNNNNNNNNNNNNNNNNNNNNNNNNNNNNNNNNNNNNNNNNNNNNNNNNNNNNNNNNNNNNNNNNNNNNNNNNNNNNNNNNNNNNNNNNNNNNNNNNNNNNNNNNNNNNNNNNNNNNNNNNNNNNNNNNNNNNNNNNNNNNNNNNNNNNNNNNNNNNNNNNNNNNNNNNNNNNNNNNNNNNNNNNNNNNNNNNNNNNNNNNNNNNNNNNNNNNNNNNNNNNNNNNNNNNNNNNNNNNNNNNNNNNNNNNNNNNNNNNNNNNNNNNNNNNNNNNNNNNNNNNNNNNNNNNNNCCGGCGCUUUGGCCUCGACGUCGGCAGCAGCAGCUGGUGCUUCUGUCUCUUCCACGGCUGCUUCGGCUGCCACGGCAGCCUCCACAGGUGCCUCCGUAGUUGCUGCUUCCUCCUGCACUGCCACAGCGGCCUCCUCCUUGGCCGGUGUCUCCUCUGCCACCGGCUCUUUGGCCUCGGCCUCGGCAGCGGCUGGCUCUGCCUCUUUGGUCUCGGUCUCGGCCGGAGCAGCUUCUUGCUCUGGUUCCUUGGUCUCGGUCUCGGCCGGAGCAGCUUCUUUCUCUGGUUCCUUGGUCUCGGCCUCAGCCGGUGCUGCCUCACGCUCCACCACUUCGGUCUCUGUUCCCUCGGCAGGGGCAGCUUCCGGCUCUUUGGUCUCGGUCACUGUCGGCGUGACAGGGGCCUCCUCAGCGGCGGCGGCCGGCUGGACAACCUCUGUCUCGGCCUCCUUGGUCUCCGCUGGAGCUGCCUCGGGCUCUUUCGCCAGCUCGGUCACGGCCGGCGCAGCAACUUCCUCCUUCACGGCCUCCUCGGCAGCGACAACGGCCGGCUCGACAGCCUCAGCCGUUGCCACCUCGACUGUGUCGACGGCCGGCUCGACAAUCUCCACUGCUGCCACCGUAGCCUCCUCGACCGCGACGACGGCCGGCUCGACGACCUCCACCGCCACGGUAGUAUCCUCGACAACGACGACGGCCGGCUCGACAGCCUCCACCACCGCCGGCGCCGGAGCCUCCUCGACGGGCAUGGCGUGGGUUGCGGCGUGGACCUGCGUUUACAUUGAUGCACGCCUUCAUGUCAGAGAAGUACCAGUACGCAGCGUACGUGUGAUCAGGUUGCUCGUGCCAGAAGAGAUCGAGGUGGCAUGGCACCGUGGCAGCAGGUCAAAAGCUACAUGAUCGAAACGCAACGAAGCAGUAUUGAGCAGUCUACCUGGACGGCGGCCAUUGAUGACGAGUUCCGAGUCGACCGGUCCGAACUCCGACGAGCUGAUGCUAUAGCUCGGUUUGGUGCGACUGAUCAGAUCAGAGUAUGCGAUCGGCUGUGUUGUGUGAAGCAAAUGUGCUGCGGUAGAGGGGCUUAUAUAGUGGCUCUGGAGGGCAAAACGGUCACAAGAUUCACAGCUAGGACGCAAAAGCGAGCAGCCCUUUUGCGUCACGCAGGAAAAUAAAAUGAAAUCGAGGAAUCAAAACACUGAUCUGCAUCAUUCUGAUCUUGGUUGGGAAUAUACUAUUGCAAAACUAUAGUACUGGUACGUACUGUAGAUGCAAGCAAGUUGCGUACGGUGAUCGCUGUAUCGAAAUUAGGGUGGUGGCCACGCAUGCACGGAGGCUAAGGUCCAAACUGCUAUGUUUACGGGUUUGGUUUUCUUUGAUAUGUUUGGGGAAAAGGGCCAAGGGAGAGGGCUGGCAAGGCCACGAGGGCAAGCGUACCUUUGGCGUUGUAAAGAGGGGGCCAUCGCGCUGAGUCACACGCAUGCAUGCACCGACCUGAUCAGUACAUGUGUACAUCGCGUCACGUCCAUGCACGUUCUAUAGUGCCAGCCUUGUAUCCUAGUACCACUAUCCUGCUGUCUGCCCUUGGUCCAGAUCGGUGCAAAAAUAAAUGCUGGGCUAGAAUCUAUUAGUACUGUUAUUUUAUUUCCCCCCCCCCCCCCCCCCCAUUUUAGUUUGGUUCUUGGAAUGGCUAGAGACAUGACCAAACAUUUUAUCUAAUAAAACCUGUUGGAAAAAUCAUCAUUCGAUUUGCCUCUUGAUUAAUCUCAUCAUUUCUCAGCUGAUCACAUCUCUUAUUCUUCUACGCAAAUUAAACUACUCCCUUUAAUUCAUUUUACUUGCCGUCAUGGUCUGAGCUCUCCAGUCUGUGAAUUAUAGCUAACCCUAGUCCCACUGAUAGUGCUGUUUUCUUUCUUUCUUUUCACUGAUGGCGAGGCCUUCUAAUGAUAAUACACACCAUUUCUUUUUCUUUUCUCAUUUGUUCUUGUUUUUAUUUGUAUGCUUAAUUUUUUUUUCAUUUUCCUCUUCUUGCCCGUAAAAUACUGGAAAUCUAAACCGUGAUCAAUGUGUCUUCUAAACCGUAACGGAGGUAGUAUUGUUAAUUCAUCUCAUGUGUGCCCUUUUUCCAAUUGAGACACUGAUAGUCACAACAUCGUCCCCGUCUCCAACGAGGUCCUCAUCCGGAGUCAACGCUUGUCACUGCGGCGUUGUGUGGUUGUGUUGUCCUCACCUUCAGACUUAGAGGAAGUAGAAUUGAUUAUACUCCAUUUACUUUCACCGUUUCUAAAUAUAAGUCUUUUAAGCGAUUUCACUAAAGGUCUACAUACAGAGCAAAAUGAUUCAAUGUACACUCUAAAGUAUGUCUAUAUACAUCCGUAUAUACUCUAUUAGUGAAAUCUUUAAAAAAACUUAUAUUUAAGAACGAAGGGAGUAUAUCAUAAUAAUUAUUGUUAAGGAAAAACAUAAUAAUUAUAGUUGAAAGAACUAGUUUACUAGUUUUCUUGCACUAUAAUUAUUAUGAUAUGCAGGAAGUAAAAAUUGCAGGCACUUCAUCAUUCGCAAACAUGAAUUAUUAUUUAUUUAUGGGGAUUGCAAAAGCGGAGAUAUCAGGGAGAUCGCUAUAUCUCGGUUUUCUACGGCGCACUCGAUGGUGGCGUAGAGACAAUGCAACUUGAGCCGAAGAAUGUGCGCUCGAAUGCCGCCAUUGAAGGCCGUGACAUGAUCCCUAUAGAUCGAGUGGUGCAUAUCUUCUUGGUAGAUGAUCGAUAUGCAGUAGAAAGGGGCGCAGCCACCUAGAGCUAUGUGUAAAAAAGGCCGUGCGUGUUUGUCAAAGUGUGAUGGCACGGCAGUAUAUUUGGAAUUUAGUUAACAUUUUCUUCCUCAUCUGAAGUAGUACCACUAGCUACUUAGGUGUAUUCUCUGCCUUAGAGCAUCUCCGGACUCCUCAAAUCCGAUCUUUCAAACGUCCGCAGACGAACUACUACGUCGACGCACACACAUUGUCCAGUUACUCCAUCAUUGUUAAACAUGUCAUCGGACUAUCAAAAUUUUACAUGUUUGGCUAUGGUGAAGAUCAUCUACGGCUGCCUCUGUUCUUCCCGACACCCUUGCCGUCUUGUCGUGGAAGUACCGGUUGAAGACGCAGUACGGAUCGAGCCGGAUCUUCUCGUCGCCACAACUGUCCUCAUCGCCGCUCACCUCUUUCUCCACCUUUGGUGGUAGUCCGGCCAUUCCCCAAAGGAGCCGAGCACCCUUUGUGCAGAUGCUACAGAGUCGCGGCGGACAAAUCCUUCUGUCGGUCAGGCGCUGUCCUCGCGCGAGCGGCGGAGUGCAACGCGAACCGCUAUUGCCUCCUCCACUCUGCACGGGACGACCCCCCAGUCGACGGAUCCGGACUGGUGAAGACAUUGUUGGGAUUGACUGGAAGCAAAGAAACCACUCAAGAUGAGGCUCGUCAUAGUAGAAAAUAACUUGCAUUAGUAGCAUCCAUAUGUUAUUAGUCCAUAUUAAUAACUUCAUAUUAAAUAAUAUUAUAUGUAUGAUAUUAUGCAAGUAUUUUUUUUGACCGGCUACUGUAGGGAANNNNNNNNNNNNNNNNNNNNNNNNNNNNNNNNNNNNNNNNNNNNNNNNNNNNNNNNNNNNNNNNNNNNNNNNNNNNNNNNNNNNNNNNNNNNNNNNNNNNGCAAGUAACAUACCGAAGGACAAAGGGAAUGACAUACGGGAUUAUACGAAUCCUUGGUACUGAGGUUCAAACAAUAAGAUCUUCGUAGAAUAUGUAGGAUCCAAUAUGGGCAUCCAGGUCCCGCUAUUGGAUAUUGACCGAGGAGUCUCUCGGGUCAUGUCUACAUAGUUCUCGAACCCGCAGGGUCUGCACACUUAAGGUUCGACGUUGUUUUAUGCGUAUAUGAGUUAUAUGGUUGGUUACCGAAUGUUGUUCGGAGUCCCGGAUGAGAUCACGGACAUCACGAGGGUUUCCGGAAUGGUCCGGAAACGAAGAUUGAUAUAUAGGAUGACCUCAUUUGAUUACCGGAAGGUUUUCGGAGUUACCGGGAAUGUACCGGGAAUGACGAAUGGGUUCCGGGGGUUCACCGGGGGGGGGGGCAACCCACCCCGGGGAAGCCCAUAGGACAUAAGGGUGGCGCACCAGCCCUUAGUGGGCUGGUGGGACAGCCCAAAAGGGCUCUAUGCGCCAAGGAUAAGAAAUCAAAGGNNNNNNNNNNNNNNNNNNNNNNNNNNNNNNNNNNNNNNNNNNNNNNNNNNNNNNNNNNNNNNNNNNNNNNNNNNNNNNNNNNNNNNNNNNNNNNNNNNNNGACGUUGUUGGGCCUCCAAGUGCAGAGGGUUGUAGGACAGUAGCAAUUUUCCCUCAAGUGGGUGACCUAAGGUUUAUCAAUCCGUGGGAGGCGUAGGAUGAAGAUGGUCUCUCUCAAGCAACCCUGCAACCAAAUAACAAAGAGUCUCUUGUGUCCCCAACACACCCAAUACAAUGGUAAGUUGUAUAGGUGCACUAGUUCGGUGAAGAGAUGGUGAUACAAGUGCAAUAUGGAUGGUAGAUAUAGCUUUUUGUAAUCUGAAAUUACAAAAACAGCAACGUAACAAAUGGUAAAAGUGAGCACGAACGGUAUUGCAAUGCGUGGAAACAAGGCCUAGGGUUCAUACUUUCACUAGUGAAGUUCUCUCAACAAUGAUAACAUAAUUGGAUCAUAUAACUAGCCCUCAACAUGCAACAAAGAGUCACUCCAAAGUCACUAAUAGCGGGGAACAAACGAAGAGAUUAUUGUCGGUUACGAAACCACCACAAAGUUAUUCUUUCUGAUCUAUCUAUUCAAGAGUCCGUAGUAAAAUAACACGAAGCUAUUCUUUCUGUUCGAUCCAUCAUAGAGUUCGUACUAGAAUAACACCUUAAGAUCCAUAUCAACUAAGACCCUAAUGUCACCUAGAUACUCCAUUGUCACCUCAAGUAUCCAUGGGCAUGAUUAUACGAUAUGCAUCACAUAAUCUCAGAAUCAUCUAUUCAACCAACACAUAGUACUUCAAAGAGUGCCCCAAAGUUUCUACCAGAGAGUCAAAACGUGUGCCAACCCCUGUGCAUAGGUUCCCAAUGUCACGAACCCGCAAGUUGGUCACCAAAAAAUACAUCAAGUACUCACAUGAAUCCACGUGUGCCAACCCAUAUGCAUAGGUUCCCAAUUGUCACAAACCCGCAAGUUGAUCACAGCAGAUAGACACGUGCAAGACAUACAUCAAGUGUUCUCAAAGACUCAAUCCGAUAAGAUAACUCCAAAGGAUAAACUCAAUUCAUUACAAGAAGGAGAGGGGGAAGAACAUCAUAAGAUCCAACUAUAGUAGCAAAGCCCAUGGUACAUUGAGACCAAGACAUCUCAAGAACACGAGAGAGAGAGAUCAAACACAUAGCUACUGGUACAUACCCUCAGCCCCGAGGGAGAACUACUCCCUCCUCGUCAUGGAGAUCGCCGAGAUGAUGAAGAUGGCCACCGAAGAUGGAUUGCCCCUCCGACAGGGUGCCAGAACAGGCUCCAGAUUGGUUUUUGGUGGCUACAGAGGCUUGCGGCGGCGCAACUCCUGAUCUAGGUUUCUUUUGGGGGGUUUCUGAAUUUAUAGGAAUUUAUGGCGGUGGAAUUACGUCGGUUGGGCCCACGAGGAGGUUACAAGCCUGGUCGGCACCACCUAGGGGGGUGGUGGCGGCGUCAGGGCUUGUGACUCCCUCGUGGCUCUUCUGGCCUUCUUCCAAAGCUUCGGGGGUCUCUUUCGGUCCAAAAAAAAGCAUCGUAAAGUUUCAUUCCAUUUGGAGUUCGUCUGAAAAUGGGCCAAAAACACGGAAACAACAGAAACUGGCACUCUGCAUUGAGUUAAUAGGUUAGUCCCAAAAAAGAUAUAAAAUAGCAUAUUCAUGCAUAUAAAACAUCCAAAGUUGACAAGAUAAUAGCAUGGAACCAUCAAAAAUUGUAGAUACGUUGGAGACGUAUCAGCCAUCACCUGUUCCCAGACGCUGCCGACGCCCUGAUAAUCCCCAAGUGCAAGGAAUCAUCGUAGCAAUUUCAAAAGGUGGAAAUGAUAAGUAUGGAGCGUCGAACCCACAAGGAGCUAAAGGUAAGAGCAAUAUUCUCUCAAGUUCUAUCUGCCACUGAUAUAACUCUACGUACGCCGAACGUUUGCUUCCAACUUGGAACGAGAAAUAAAACUACAUUGUGGGUAUGAAGAGAAUAGCUUUGCAUGACAUCGGAGAAAUAAAAUAUAAAAAUAGGUGUUGUUAUCAUAAAGUUAGAAUAUAUUACAAAUAGCGAGUGUGGAAUAGUGAUGGGUCGGUGUGCGGAAUUGUCCUAGGCAAUUGUUAACAAGAUCAGUAAUCAUUAUUGCAAUUUUAUAUGAGGGAGAGUUAUAAGCUAACAUACCUUCUCUACUUCGAUCAUAUGCACUUAUGAUUGGAACUCUAGCAAGCAUCCGCAACUACUAAAGAUCAUUAAGGUAAAACCGAACCAUAGCAUUAAAGCAUCAAGUCCCCUUUAUCGCAUUCGCAACAACCCACCUACUCGGGUUUAUGCUUCUGUCACUCAAACAACCCACUAUAAGCGAAUCAUGAACGUAUUACAACACCCUACAAAGGGAAUCCCUCAUGCUUGCUAGACACGGAGAGAACCAUAGGACAACACCAAUAAUAAAGCAUGCAAGUCAAACCAAUCUAGAUCAUCAAUCAACCCAUAAGACAAAGGGAAUCUACUCAAAACAUCAUAGGAUGGCAACACAUCAUUGGAUCAUAAUAUGUGGCAUAGAGAACCGUGUUCAAGUAGGUGAUUACAGCGGGGCGCGGGGGAGUGGAACGCUAAAAGAAGAUGGGGUUGGUGAUGAAGAAGGUGAUGUUGAUGAAUACGAUCACCGCGGCGAUGGUUCCCCCGGUGGCACUCCGGCACCACCGGGAGAGAGGGGGAGAGGGUCUCCGCCUUGUUCCUCCUCCUCCAUGGCCUCCCCCAAGGUGGGGAGAGGUUCUUCCUCUAGUCCUUGGCCUCCAUGGUGAUGAUGGCCCCUCCAUCUUCCUCCUCAAUGGUCUCCGGUGAUGGUGACCCUCUCCGACAGGGUGCCGAAGAGGGCCAAGACUGGGUUUUCAUGGCUCUGGAGGCUUGCGGCAGAGGAACUCCCGAUCUAAGUUUCUUUUCGGGGGUUUCUGUUUUUAUAAGAAUAUUUGGCGUUCGAACCACGUCAGGGGAGUGCUUGAGGGGCCCACAAGCCAAGGAGCGCACCCUAGGGGGGUGCCCUGGUGGCUUGUGGUUGCCUCGGGACUCCUCUCUGGUAUCCUUUUGCUCCAGUAUUUUUCAUAUUUACCAACAAUAUUCUCCGUAAUUUUUCAGCCCAUUCCGAGAACUUUUAUUUGGGCACAAAAACAACAACACGGUAGUUGUGCUGAAAAAAGCAUCAGUCCGGGUUAGUUAUAAUAAAAUCAUACAAAAACCAUAUAGAAUUAUUGUAAACAUGGCAUGAAUACUUCAUAAAUUAUAGAUACGUUGGAUACGUAUCAGCAUCCCCGACCUUUAUUCCUGCUCGUCCUCGAGUAGGUAAAUAAUAAAAGAAAUCAUUUAUGAAGUGUGAAUGCUAGCAUAGUGCAUAAAUUUGAUCAAUGAUAUAUCCAAACACUUUUUCUAGCAUCAUUACAUAUCAUACACAGUAGCUCAUCUCAUAAAACUUCUCAUGAUGAAGUAACAAGCUAUUCACGUGUUAAAAUGUAGACCAUAAAGUUUCUUGAAAACUAACAAAUUAUGCUUUCAGUCACCAAACAAUUGCAAUUCAUCUUAUUUUUGGGAAGGGUCUAUGUAAGAGAUUUUAUUUAGAAAAUUCCACAUACUCAACUAUCAUAUAGUCUUCCAUGAUUGUUGACGACACUCAAAGCAUAUUUUUAGAACAAAUAGCAUCCAUCGAACACAAAGAAAGACAGGGGCUUAAAGUUUUGCCUCCUAAUUUAUUUACCAUAUAGAUAAUUGUCAACAAUAAUAAUUCAUGAUCAAAUAUAUUUGUAUGGAUAUAUAUGUUUGCAUCUUUCCCCACCACAUGAUGCUUGCCAACUAAUACUUUGAGGUUGGAAUAAGAAGUUAACUCAACAAGAAUAGUAAAUAACAUGAAAGUAAAUAGAUUGGCCCUUGAUAACCCACAAGUGUAGGGGAUCGCAACAGUUUUCGAGGGUAGAGUAUUCAAUCCAAAUUUAUUGAUUCGACACAAGGGGAAGCAAAAGAAUAUUCUCAAGUAUUAGCAGCUGAGUUUGCCAAUUUCAACCACACCUGAAAGAUUAGUGUUUGCAAGCAAAGUAUAAGUAGCAAAGUGGUAUGAUAGCAACGGUGUCAGAAAAAGAUGUGUUGACGGCAGACUAUUCCUAACUUGUUGUAUCAAUGGCGCCAGUAAAUACCACGUGGAAGGGGGACUAUUCUUCCCCGGCAACGGCUCCAGAAAAGUCUUGCAACAAGUAGCAGCAAAGUAACAGCAGUAGUGACAGCAGUAGCAAGCAACAUCAACAACAUCAGUAGCAAGUAACAACAGAGUAACAGCAGUAGCGACAACAGUAGCAGCAAAGUAACGUAGCAAGGACAAGUAGUAAAAGAAUCGUAGGCAAUGGAUCGGUGAUGGAUGAUUAUACCGGAUGUGAUUCAUCAUGUAAUAGCUAUAACACGGAGAGAUAAGUAACUAGCUCCCGUUCGUCAAUCUAAUGUAGGAAUGUAUUCCGUAUGAAGUCAUACGUGCUUAGGGAAAAGAACUUGCAUGACAUCUAUUGUCCAUCCCUACCGUGGCAGUGGGGUCCUAAUGGAAACUACGGGAUAUUAAGGUUCUCCUUUUAGUAAAGAACCGGACCAACGCAUUAAAACUCGGUGAAUACAUGAACUCCUCAUACUAUGGUCAUCUCCGGGAGUGGUUCCGGCUAUUGUCACUCCAGGGUUGCCGGGUCAUAACACAUAGUAGGUGACUACAACAUGCUAGAUAGGAUCUAAAACACACAUAUAUUGGCGACAACAUAAUAGGUUCAGAUCUGAAAUCAUGGCACUCGGGCCCUAGUGACAAGCAUUAAGCAUGGCAAAGUAGUAGCAACAUCAAUCUCAGAACAUAGUGGAUACNAUCUCAGAACAUAGUGGAUACUAGGGAUCAAUCCCCGUCAAAACUAACUCGAUUACAUGAUAUAUCUCAUCCAACUCAUCACCGUCCAGCAAGCCUACGAUGAGAUUACUCACGAAUGGUGAAGAACAUCAUGGAAUUGUCGAUGGAGGAAGGUUGAUGAUGACGAUGGCGAUGAUUUCCCCUCUUUGGAGCCCCGAACGUACUCCAGAUCUGUCAUCUGGAUGAAGAACAGGAGGUGGCGGCGCCUCCGUAUCGUAGAACGCGAUGAAUCCUUCUCUCUGAUUUUUUCCGAGCGAGACGGAAUAAAUAGAGCUGAGUUUGGGGGCGGUGGUGCCACGUGGGUUCCACAAGGCCUCACGGCGCGGCCUAGGGGGGGGGGGGGGUCGCAGCCCACGGGCUUGUGGCCCACUGGCACACCCCCUCCGUUGGAUCUUUGCGCAGGUAUUUUUCAUUUAUUUUAGAAAAAUUCUCCGUAAAUUUUCAGGACAUUCCGAGAACUUUUAUUUCUGCACAAAAACAACACCAUGGCAAUUUUGUUGAAAACAACGUUAGUCCGGGUUAGUUCCAUUCAAAUCAUGCAAAUUAGAGUCCAAAACAAGGGCAAAAGAGUUCAGAAAAGUAUAUACAACGGAGACGUAUCAACUCCCCCAAGCUUAAAGCCUUGCUUGUCCUCAAGCAAUUCAGUUGACAAACUGAAAGAGACAAAAGAAAAACUUUGACGAACUCUGUUUGAUCUUGUUGUUGCAACUAUGUCUAACUCAUAACCAGAAUUUCAGCAAGAUCACAAGCAAACCACAUAAGCAAAUGACAUCUAGGUCUCACGAUAAACUCAUAUCAAUGGCAUAAUCAGCUAGGGAGCAAAUAAUAAUAAGCCUCAAAUGUCAACACUUCAAUCAAAACAACAUGAAGCAGUACGAAUAGAUGGUAUCUCGCUAGCUCUUUCGGAGACCGCAAAACAUAAAUGCAGAGCACCUUCAAAGACCAAGGGCUGACUAAACAUUGUAAUUCUAGCCAAUGAAGAUCGAGUCACAGUCAUACUCAACACAGUUAAAAGCAAAGCAUAAAAAUGACAAAGGUGCUCUCUAAUUGGGUCUUGUUGUAAGAGGAGGAUGACUCAACAGGAACAUAAAUAGACAUGCCCUUCGCAGAGGGAAGCAUUAAUUUGCACAGGUGCCAGAGCUCAAGCUUUUAAAACAGAGAUAAUAAUUUUGGGUGGCAUGCUUUCAUUGUCAACGCAAUGACUAAGAGUUCUCAACAUCUUCCACGCUACACAUGCUAUAGGCGGUCCCCAAACAGAAAAGUAAAGUUUUGACUCCCCCACCACCAAUCAAUCACACUCCACGGCUAGCCGAAUCCUCGAGUACUGUCCAUACCAACAUCAAUCCUGGGGGAGGUUUGUUUGCAAUUAUCUUUUCGAUUUGAGCAUGGACCUGGGAGUUCCAAUUACCGCCCCCUUUCUCGUGAAUGAUAGUGAAUAAACACAUAUCGAGGAUAACACGCCUAGCAUGGAAGAUACCAAUAGCCCCCUAUCACCACAUGAGCGGUUCGGGCAUGCAAAACAGAUUAUUUCUUGAAGGUUUAGAGAGUGGCACAUGCAAAUUUACUUGGAACAGCAGGUAGAUACCGCACAUAGGUAGGUAUGGUGGACUCAUAUGGAACAACGUUGGGUUUAUGGGGGUGGAUGCACAAGCAGUAUUCCCGCUCAGUACAAGUGAAGGCUAGCAAAAGACUGGGAAGCGACCAACUAGAGAGCGACAACAGUCAUCAAAAUGCAUUGAGAUUAACUAACAUUGAAUGCAAGCAUGAGUAGGACAUAAAUCACCAUGAACAUGAACAUCAUAGAGGCUAUGUUGAUUUUGUUUCAACUACAUGCGUGAACAUGCGCCAAGUCAAGCCACUUGAAACAUUCAAAGGAGGAUACCAUCCUAUCAUACUACAGCACAGUCAUCUCAACAUUCAUGUGGGCAUCCAAGACAAACCAUUAUAAGCUCCUAGCUAAGUAAGCAUGGCAUAAGCAACUAUGAUCUCUAAGUUGUCAUUGCAAACAUGUUUCUCUCACAACAAAGCUGAAUCAGGCAUGAUGGGCUAGUCAUAUUUACAAAAACAAAAUAGAUCGAGUUCAUACCAUCUUUUCCAGGCUCAGUCACUUCAUAUAUCGUCAUUUUUGACUUUCACUUGCACGACCGAAUGUUGUGAACAAUAAUAAGCGUGCUCGUGUAGUGGACUAAAGAUGGAAUCUGCAGGAAAACACAAAUGAGAAACACCUACUCCCCCAAGCUUAGGCUUUUGGCCUAAGUUGGUCUACUCCCAAGGAGGGAAAUAACCAGCUCCGGGGUACUCCGGAGUGGACUGAGGAUGCCACUGCUGUGUGAGCUCCUCUGGCUCCCACUGAUAAACUGGCGUCUGGUACUCGACUGCUAGCUCGGGCACGGGCACCUGUGGUUGGGCUAUGCCCCAAUAUGUGUAGAUGUCCAAGGGCAUAAUAAUGUACCUACCUGCAUGAAGAUUGAACAAAGAAGGAGCAAGCAAAGUAAUAGUCUCACGAGUACCCUGACUAAAUACCAGGUUAUAAAUCAUCCUUCUAUUUAUAUCUCUAUCAAAAAAGUCAUGGCGAACCAUGCUAUUGUAAUAUAGAUAUCUCUCAGGAAGAAGAAUCUCUUCUUCCUCGUCCAGUCUAAUAGGUAUCUCAAAAUGUAUAGCAAGACGAGUAGCAUAGAUACCUCCAUAGAUAACGCCUUUAGAACGGUUCGUGUUCAACCGUUGAGCUACUAUAGCGCCCAAGCUAUAAGUUUUAUCGUUAUAAAGGGCUUCGCGCAAGACCGCAAGAUCUGGGGAACUAAGUGACCCAGCUUUCCCACGGCCAAUCAAACAUUUUCCCACAAAUAAUGAGAAGUACCGAAGCACGGGAAAAUUAAUGCUAGUAGCUCUAGCGCAAGACACUCCUCUCUCCUCUCCUACAACAAUAGUAUCGAUGAAAGCUUCCAAGUCCCGUGGACGAGGUUCAUGAAUAUCCCCAACAUAAGGUAAUUUGCAAACAUUGCAAAAAUCUUGGUGUGACAUGCGCUGGGGGAUAUCAUAAAUUUUGAACUCAACCAUAGGAGGAUUCUUCCUCGGAUAGAAGUUAAAACUUUGUAUGAAGAUAUUAGUGAGGAGGAGGUAUUGCGGACACUUAUCUUCAACGAAGGCGGUAAGGCCUGCGUUAUCCACCAAGUGAUAAAAGUCCUCAUAAAUUCCAGCGGUGCGUAAGAACACAUCGCUUGGCCACUUGCACGCUCGAACUUCUGCGACUCGAGGGACCAGAUACUUGGGCUUCUUCUCACUCCCAUCAUCCUUGGGGUCACGGCUUGAAGAGCCUCUUAAGAACCUCCUCAUCUUUUCCCUUUUCUAUCUUUGAAAUUUUCUGAAAAUUUUAGUGAUUCUAAGGAAAAGUGAACAAGGCUCAAUGAAACUCAUAGCAACUACUCCAACAAAUGCCUAGAGGCCAUAUUACGCAUCAAAACUACUUGGGACCAGCUAGAAUUAGCAUGCAAAGCUCAAGAACAUGGUCACCAAGGCAGAAAAAAUACGCGGAGUAUAAGGCACUAGAGCAAAAAAUAAUUGGACCAAUGGAGGAGUCACUUACCAAGGAGUAAUUUCCCCAAAACAGUUCGGAGAACGGUGAUUUGAGCAAAGAGAUCGAAAAUCCCAACAAGAGGAGCGAGAACACGGGUUUGAGCUGCGGAACAAUUUUUUCUGGAGGUAGGAGAACCAGAUAAGAGCAAGAAUGAGUGGAGGGGGUGCCUGUGGGCCCCACAAGCCUGGGUGGUGCGCUCAGGGGGGGUGCCCGCGCCCCAAGCGCUUGUGGCCCACUCGUGCAGCCCCCCGACAAGCUCUUUGUCUCAGAAUUUUUCAAAAAUUCCAAAAAAAAUCAUACUUGAUUUUCAGGACGUUCGGAGUACUUUUAUUUUCAGGGUACUUUUCCACCGAGCGCUAAAACAGAAAACAGGGAAAACUAAACUAAAUCUAUCAUUUUUCUUCUAAGCAAUAGAAGGUGAAAGCUUGGAACAGAGGUUUGUGACUCCUCGAUUCAUCCAUCUCAUUGUCAUCAAAAGAAAUCUGUCAGUGAGGUUGAUCAAGCCUCUUUGACAAACUUUUUCGAAUCACAAAAGAUAAUGGAGAAUUUCCGAAUAAUCACUAGGUCACCUCAAUGGGGAUGUGUAUCUCCCCAACAAGCAAAUCAUACUUCAUCUUGACACGAGGUAUAGGGCAUUCAAAGAUCCCAAUAAAAAUUGAUGAAGUUUUUUCGAUAGCAUUGAUGCAAUGUACUCGAUAUUGUUUCUUCGGAAAGUGCACUGUAUGGUCAUUACCGUUGACAUGGGAAGUGACAUUGCCUUUGUUGCAAUCUAUAACAGCCCCUGCAUUGUUUAAAAACGGUCUUCCGAGGAUGACCGCCAUGGCAUCGUCCUCAGGAAUAUCCAAGAUAACAAAGUCUGUUAAGAUAGUGACGUUAGCAACCACAACAGGCAGAUCCUCGCAAAUGCCGAUAGGGAAAGCAGUUGAUUUGUCGGCCAUUUUGCAGAGAUUUCAGUGGGUGUCAACUUGUCCAGUUCAAGUCUACGAUAAAGAGAGAGAGGCAUAACACUAAUACCGGCUCCAAGGUCGCAUAACACUGGUCUAACGUACCUGCCUUUAAUGGAGCAAGGUAUAGUGGGCACACCGGGAUCACCUAGUUUCUUAGGAGUUCCACCCUUGAAGGUAUAAUUAACAAGCAUGGUGGAAAUCUCAACCUCAGGUAUCCUCCUCUUAUUAGUUACAAUAUCUUUCAUGUACUUAGAAUACGGAGACAUUUUGAGCAUAUCUGUCAAACGCAUUUGCAGAAAGUCAGGUCUGAUCAUUUCAACGAAUCACUCAAAAUCCUCAUCAUCCUUUUUCUUGGAUGGUUUUGGAGGAAAGGGCAUGGGUUUCUGAACCCAUGGCUCCCUUUCUUUACCAUGCUUCCUAGCAGCAAAGUCAUUCUUAUCAUAUCUUCUAUUCUUAGGCCGAGGGUUAUCAAGAUCAAUAGGUUCAAUCUCCACAUCCUUAUCAUUGCUAGGUUGAGCAUCUUCAUGAACAUCACUAUUGAUAUUAUCAUUAGGCUCAUGUUCAUCACCAGAUUGUGUUUCAGUGUCACAGACAGAGGCAUCGUUUGGACUCUCAGGUGUAGCAGCAACAGGGUUGCUAGCGUGCAGGUUCCUAUCAUCUUUCUUCUUCUUUCUAGGAUGACUAGGUGCAUCAGUGCUAACUCCUUGAGAAUCUUGUUCAAUUCUCUUCGGAUGACCCUCGGGAUACAAAGGUUACUGGGUCAUUCUACCGCCUCUAGUAACAACUCUAACGGAAUUUUCAUUCAACUCAUCGAGCAAGUCAUUUUGAGCUUUAAGUACUUGUUCUACUUGAGUAGUAACCAUACAGGCAUGUUUACUCAAAAGCUUAAGAUCAUUGACAUUUCUGUCCACACAAGCACUUAAAUGACUAAGCAUAUGAGCAUUCUGUUCCAAUUGUCUGCUAACAUAAUCAUUNNNNNNNNNNNNNNNNNNNNNNNNNNNNNNNNNNNNNNNNNNNNNNNNNNNNNNNNNNNNNNNNNNNNNNNNNNNNNNNNNNNNNNNNNNNNNNNNNNNNUAGGGCGAAUUCAAUAUCUUUCUUCAUAAAGGAACCAGCACAAGAAGUGUCGAGCAUGGAUUCAUCAUUACGAGAGAGCUGAGCAUAAAAAUUUUGAAUAAUAAUUUCUGUCGAGAGCUCGUAAUUGGGGAAUGAAUAUAAAAUUGGCUUAAGCCUCCCCCAAGNNNNNNNNNNNNNNNNNNNNNNNNNNNNNNNNNNNNNNNNNNNNNNNNNNNNNNNNNNNNNNNNNNNNNNNNNNNNNNNNNNNNNNNNNNNNNNNNNNNNNNNNNNNNNNNNNNNNNNNNNNNNNNNNNNNNNNNNNNNNNNNNNNNNNNNNNNNNNNNNNNNNNNNNNNNNNNNNNNNNNNNNNNNNNNNNNNNNNNCUCCCCCAAGCUUGAGAGAUUCUGUCUCCUUCACGAGGCCAAAAAUUAUAAAUAUAAUUUCGAUCAUCAUGAACCAGAUGCAUAGGAUAAAACUUCUGAUGAAAUUCCAAUUUCAAUCGGUGGUAAUUCCAUGAUCCAAUAUCAUCACAUAGCCUAUACCAUGUCAACACCCUUUCCUUAAAAAAUAAAGGAAAGACCUUCUUCUUGACGUCAUCCUCGGGCGGACCUGCAAGCUUUAAUAAUCCACAAACUUCAUCCACGUAGGUUAGAUGCAAAUCAGGAUGUAGUGUUCCAUCUCAUGCAUAAGGAUUAGCUAGUAUUUUUUCUAUCAUACCCGAAGGAAUUUCAUAAUAAAUAUGUUCAAUAUGUGCAGCAGGUUGAGGAGCAUCUCUUUUUGCUUCCGGUCGGGGUGAAGAUACCCCAAACAAGCCCCUCAAAGGAUUAUUUUCCAUAGCGACAAGUGAUAGUAAAUUUCAGCAGAAUAUAUAAUUUUUUCCUUACCAAGUUCCACUUACCAAAGGCGCUUCACUCCCCGGCAACGGCGCUAGAAAAGAGUCUUGAUGACCUACAAGUGUAGGGGAUCUAUCGUAAUCCUUUCUAUAAGUAAGAGUGUCGAACCCAACGAGGAGCAGAAGGAAAUGAAAAACAGUUUUCAGUAAGGUAUUCCCUGCAAGCAUUGAAAUUAUCGGUAAAAGAUAGUUUUGUGAUAAGGUAAUUCGUAAUGGGUAGCAAGUAAAAAAUGUAACAAUGGUGCAGCAAGGUGGUCCACUCCUUUUUGUAGCAAAGGACAAGCCUGAACAAACUCUUAUAUAAAGAAAACCGCUCCCGAGGACACAUGGGCAUUUAUGUCAAGCUAGUUUUCAUCAUGCUCAUAUGAUUCGCGUUCAUUACUUUUAUAAUUUGAUAUGUGGGUGGACCGGUGCUUGGAUGCUACAGCCCACUUUUGAUUAACCUCUCUCACAAGCAUACGCAACUACGAAAGAAGAAUUAAGAUAAAUCUAACCAUAAAAUGAAACAUAUGGAUCCAAAUCAGCCUCUUACGAAGCAGCACAUAAACUAGGGUUUAAGCUUCUGUCACUCUAGCAACCCAUCAUCUACUUUUUACUUCCCAAUGCCUUUACCUAGGCCCAAAUAAUGGUGAAGUGUCAUGUAGUCGAAGUUCACAUGACACCACUAGAGGAGAUACAAUAUACAUCUUAUCAAAAUAUCAAACGAAUACCAAAUUCACAUGAUUACUUAUAACAAGACUUAUCCCAUGUCCUCAGGAACAAAUGUAACUACUCACAAAGAAUAUUCAUGUUCAUAAUCAGAGGAGUAUUAAUAAUAAUUAAGGAUAUGAACAUAUAAUCUUCCACCAAAUAAGGCAACUGGCAUCAACUACAAAGAGUAAUCAACACUAUUAGCAACCCACAGGUACCAACCUGAGGUUUUGAGACAAAGAUCGAAUACAAGAGAUGAACUAGGGUUUGGAGAGGAGAUGGUGCUCAUGAAGAUGUUGAUGUACAUUGACCCUCUCUCGAUGAGAGGAUCGUUGGUGAUGACGCUGGCUUCGAUUUCCCCCUCCGUGAGGGAAGUUUUCUCGGUGGAAUAGCUCGGCUGGAGCUCUAGAUUGGUUCUAUUGCAAUUCUGCCUCGAGAUGGUGGCGCCUCGUCCCAAAAGCUCUGAUAUGAUUUUUUUUUCAUGUCAAAACCCUUCAUAUAGCAUAAGAUGGGCACAGGAGGUCUGCCAGGGGGGCCACAAGCCUGCAGGGCGCGACGAGGGGGUGCUAGGCUACGCCCCCUGGUUUGUGACCUCCUACUGGGUCCCCUCUGGUAUUUCUUUCGCCCAACAUUUUUAUAUCUUCCAAAACAAUUGUCCGUGACUUUUCAUGACUUUUGGAGGUGUGCAGAAUAGGUCUCUUAGAUUUGCUCCUUUUCCAGUCUGGAAUUCCAUCUGCCGGCAUUCUCCCUCUUCAUGUAAACCUUGUAAAAUAAGAGAGAAAAGGCAUAAGUAUUGUACCAUAAUGUGUAUUAACAGCCCAUAAUGCAAUAAAUAUUGAUAUAAACAUGAUGCAAAAUGGACGUUGAUACGUCUCAAACAUAUUGACAUUUCCAAACACUUUUGCUAUUGUUUUGGCCUCAUUCUUGCAUGAUUUGAAUGAAACUAACCCGGACUGACGUUGUUUUCAACAGAGCUGCUUGUACGGUUUUCUUGUGCGCAGGAAAAUGGAUAUUUAGACGUCAUGGAAAAUUCCUAUAAAAAUAGAGAAAAUCCACACACCGGGAAGAACCAUGGGCCGGAAGAUGGGCCAGAGGGGAGAUACACGCCCCCCAGGCGACUUGUGGGCGCGACCUGCCCCCUCGCCGCACCGGAAGGCCGGCUGGGUGGGGCCCACCCCCUCUGGUGCCCUACUUUGGCUCCUAUUUUUACCCAUGAUGCAGAUAUCCCAGAACAGAAGUCAUCUCGUAAGUUCUCGACGCGGAGCCGCCGCCACCCUCGGUCUUCUUCGGGAGAGCUAAUCUGGAGGUUGUUUUGGCCUUCGGAGAGGGGAAAUCGUCGCCAUCGUCAUCACCAUCACCACUCCCUCAUCCUCCCAUGGCUUCCCCCAUCAUGUGCGAGUAAUUCUCUGCUGUAGGUGAAGGGGAUGGUACGGAUUGGAUGAGUUAUAUCAUGUAAUAGUUCGCCGGAUUGUUGGGGGCAUGUUGCCUAUCAUCUACUAUGGUGUUUAUCAUCUUUUCUACUACUUGUUACUCUUAAUGCUUGUCACUUUGGGACCGAGUGCCAUGAUUUCAUAUCUUAAUUCAUUAUGUUUUCAUGAAUAUAUUUGUGUUCUAGAUCCUAUCUAUGAGUAGUAUGCACCUAUUAUAGUCCGGAAUCGGCGAUCCCAAUGGUGACAGCUUGGGACACCAAAGGGGAUAGACUAUAGUAUGAGGAUUCAAUGUAUUCACUGAUUGUUAAUGCUUUGUUCCGGUGCUCUUUGACAGGAGCACCUUAAUCUCCAUAAGUUCCUUUUGGCCCCGUUGAUAGCGGGAUGGUAGGACAAAAUAUGUUCUGCAAGUUCUUAUUGCAAGCACACACGACUACCUAAGGAUACAUGCCUAAUGUUUGAUAUAUGCCUAGAUGAUCAUUACUUUUCUAUGUGCCUUGCCCCCAAGUUAAAUACAUGAUAUCUCUCAUCCAUGACCAACCAUCCAUCUCCCUAUCCUACAGUGUUUUAAUCCCGCUGGUCACAAGUCACUUUACUUUCCCUGUUUUACUUUCGUUGCUUUAUCACUAUUAUUUCCGUUGCCACCAUCACUUCCAUAUCACCGUUGCUAUUAAUAUUUCAUUGUCAAGCGAGUAUCUUUCAGGUGCGGUUGAAUUGACAACUCAACUAUUAAAGCUUAUAAAUAUUUUUGGCUCCCCUUGUGUCAAAUCAAUAAAUUUGCUUAUCUUACCCGUGAAGACUGUUGUGAUCCCCUACACUUGUGGGUUAUCAAGACCAUUUUCUGGCGUCGUUGCCAGGGAGCAUAGCUUUAUUUACAAGUCUACUUCGAGUUAUUUUGCUUGCUGCGAUUUAUUCACUAUGGGUAAGAAACGAGACCCCAAGGUUCCAAUUUUACCAUCCACUACGAGAAAAGGUAUUGUUCUUAGCACUAGCGCUACGAUUGAUUCACCUUCCGUUAUGAGUAAGUUUGCUUCACCACCACCACAUGUUGCUUCUACCGAGUCUGUCACUAUGCCUGGUACAUUUGACGAUGCUGCUACUACUAUUGAUGAGCCUAGUUUACUUGGUUAUUUUAUUGAGUCUCAGAUUGCUAAGGCUGCAAAGCAGUCUGGAAUUGAACUUCCUGUUACACGCUACCCCAUUGGUAGAUCUUUAGGUUACCCACACUUGAGUGGUCUCAAGGAAAAAAUUCUUGAUCAUGAUUAUAUUGAACUUGAUGAUGAUUUAUGCAGGGAACUUACCGAGUGUGCUCACUCUGACCCUACUUCUGUUAAGAAGUUGCUUGAAAAGCAUUCUAUGAAGAACAAAUUUACUCCUGAUCCUAAAUUUUCGUCAUCUCCUAUUUGCAUUGAGGAUGCUGAUUUUGAUUUCUCUAUUGAUCUUUCACUUAUCUCCAGAGUUGAAGCUAACCCCUUCUAUGGCAGAGAAAAUGACGAUGCUAUUGCACACCUUACCAAACUCACUGAGUUGGGUGGCUUAUUCACUAUAGAGGACAAGAAGAGAAACUAUUAUGUUACUAAGCUACUUCCUUUCUCUUUGAAGGAAGAUGCUAAAGCAUGGUAUGAUUCACUACCAUGUGGGUCCAUUACGAGUCCUCAAGAUUUAGCUCAAUCUUUUGUUGCUAAAUAUUUUCCUGCCCAUAAGGAACAUGCUGCUUUACAAAGAAUAUAUAACUUUAAACAGUUGCAGGAUGAGCACCUCCCUAAAGCUUGGGGGAGGUACUGCACUUUACUCAAGGCUAGACCGGGACAUGGAGUCCCGAAGAAUGAAUUGCUUGAUAUAUUUUAUCCUGGUCUAACCGAUGAAUCUAGAACCUAUCUGGAUAGUUGUGCUGGUUGUGUUUUCAGGGAAAGAACACCUGAGAUGCUGAAGAAUUAAUGGGUAAGAUAGCUAAGAAUCAUGAUGAUUGGUACAUUAUUGAACCACCUCCAUCACCAAAGAAGAGGGGUAUGCUUUUCUCGAGCCCCGAAGUUAUGCAAGAAGCCAAGAAGUCUAUGAAUGAGAGAGGUAUUCAAACUGAAGAUGUGAAGAAUCUACCUCCUAUUAAGAAAUUAUGUGAGCCUACCACUCACCGACCUAUGGUAGAGGUACACUCUAUUUUAGAAUUCAAUGCAAGUGACAUCCCUCAUGGUAAGCCCCUUGAUCAAUGUUUAGAUGAGCUUGAUAAUUGUAUUGUCAAGCAAAAUCACUUUAAUGAGAGGAUUCAAAGCCAAUUUCAUGAUAAUUCCCUUGCUAUCAAAAGUUUGCUUGAUGUUUUAAGUAGAACUGUUAAUGAUGUUAAACGUCAUGUUAAGCAUUUUUCAUAUGGUUCAAACUCAGCUUGAACAAAUUUCUAAUGUGCAAAAAGAUUUGCUUGCUAACAAUAUCAAACAAGUUGAUGCGCAAGCAUAUGGUAUAAAGACCCGAGGUGGUACACACACCCAUGACCCCCUCUAUCCGGAGGGGCAUCCAAAGAGGAUCGAGCAAGAUUCUCAAUUGCAAGAAGAAGACAUUGUCAGCUCCCCGAAGAAGAAGAAGAAACACAAGGAAGCUGACAACUCCAAUGAUCCCAUAAUUGAUGAAGAACCUAUUAUUGACCCUAAUAGUAUAUCUAUUUCCGAUGCUAAAACUAAAGAUGGUGCUAAACCUGAUAAAGAUAAUGAGAAGAUUGAUCCUCCUGAGAUACGAGAAUAAGAAGCACCCGACAAGCGCAAGAGAUAUACUCGAGAAGAUUUUGGUGCAAGAAAACAUGGGAAGGAAAGAGAACCGUGGGUACAGAAAUCAAUGCCCUUCCCAGGUAAGUCUUUCAAAACCAAAAAGAAGAGCAUUACAAUAAAUUUUGUGAAUGGAUGAAACCUCUUUUUCUUCAAAUUCCUUUGACCGAUGCUAUUAAGUUGCCUCCGUACUCGAGGUAUAUGAAAGAUAUUGUUACUAACAAAACAAAAGUUCCUAAUGAGGCAAUAUCCACUAUGGUUGCUAAUUUCUUUCAGUGGCAAGAUUUCCGAGAAGCUUGGUGAUCCAGGUAUACCCACCAUUCCUUGCUCCAUAAAAAUAAUUAUGUCAGAAUUGCUUUAUGUGAUCUUGGUGCAGGAGUGAGUGUUAUGCCUUUCUCUCUUUACAAAAGGCUUUGUCUAGAUAAACUAAUCCCUAGAGAUAUCUCUCUUCAAAUGGCUGAUAAGUCAACAAACGUUCCCGUAGGUAUUUGUGAGGAUGUUCCCGUUGAAGUUGCUAAUUGCUUGAUCCUUACUAACUUUGUUGUGCUUGACAUGCCUGAGGAUGGGAGCAUGUCUAUUAUUCUUGGUAGACCUUUUCUUAACACCGCAGGUGCUAUUAUUGAUUGCAAUAAAGGAUAGGUGACCUUCAGUGUUAAUGAGAAGGAGCAUACGGUAUAUUUUCCGAAGAAGAUUGAUAAAAGGCAUGGCCUUAAUUCUAUUGAGAAUAUUGAGACCGUGAAGGUUGGAGAGUGGGAUUGUCCUCUACAUAUGCACCAAAAAUACAAAACCAUUAUGGUGGGGACAAUAUCCAUUGAAAUAAAGGUACCAUGAUUGCUUUAUAAGAAGUGAAACUUUUUGCUCAAAUAUAACACCUGUUUGGUAGUAAGACUUGAUCAACCUUACUAACAAAUAUGAUUUAUAUGAGUAAAAAGAGAAGCUUGUUAUGUUUUCAUUUCCUUUAUCUUUCAUCCUCUUUGUUGUACCAAAGCAUUAUGUUUUUGAAGCCUCAUAUGUUUAACCUUUGUUUUGAGCUUUCUGCAAAUUUUGCAGCUUUCGGUACUUCGAUUUUUUUUCAAAAGUGAAGUUUUCAGAAAAAUUCCAGAAAAAUUAAAUGAAAAAUUUCCAUGAAAAAAGAGACGCAGGGGCACCUGGAGACAGCCAGGGGGGCCACCCUUGGUCCAGGCGGCCAGCAGGCGCGACCUGCCCCCUGGUCGCGCCCACAAGUUGUCUGGGCCCACGUGGUCCCCUUUCCAGGUACUUCUUCUUCCCUUCUCUCUUUCUCACUCCUAAAAUCCCGAUUUUUCUCCUGGAGCUCGAGUUCUUGCUGCUCUUGGUGGCAAAUUUUGAUCUGUCUCUACAGCCCAUCAUUUGCAUUGAGAAUUUGGGCAUUUGAUCCUUGGUAUGUGACUCCUCCACUCCUCCAAUUAAAAUUUUGAUUGGUGGUCUUAUUUGUGAGUAUUUAGUAGUUCUUGGUGCUAUUCAUAUGAGCUUGCAUGCAUGUUUAGAAAUUUAUUUGUGAUGUUUUGAUACAAGUUUAUGCAUCAGGGAAGUGAGUAGAAUAGUUUGAUCCAACUCAUUUUUGCUUAAAUCUCCAUUUUUGUGAUGAACCAAAAAAAUUAGAAAUGAGUUUGUUUGGAAAAGCAAAAGGAUGGCUUGGGAAGAAGAGACCUGAGCCUACUGAUAGACUAACUAGAGCUGCAGCUUCAUCCUCUACUGUGAGGACAAGUUACAAUGACGAUAUCGUGCCACCAGAGUUGUUCCACGAGACGGACACGGCACGUGCCAUGGCAUACCCGUGUUCAGAUUUCCUGAUGGCGGCAGGUAUUAAAGAUGAGUUUGAUAACCUCUGUGCAGCUGUAGGUUUGACACAUCUCGUAACACGACGUGUGCAACAAUAUCCAAAACUCACAUAUUAUUUUGUCAACUGGUUUAGAUAUAAUGAUAAAAUUUCCAUGAUUGAAUUCAUAUUAUAUGAGGAUGUCUUUACCAUGUCUUUGGCAGAAUUUUUUGAUGUUAUAGGUGUGCGGAAUGUCGGGAUGAUGACCAAAAUGAAUGUUCAUCCCUACGAGCUGAAAUCCCUAUUCACUUCCCUUUUGCAGUAAGGACCCGCGAGUAAUUCACUUGGGGGAGAUCUCCAGCAUCUUGUUUCCCCACAUCAAGUAUUUCGCAUACUAUAUUGCUCGAGGGGUGCUAGUUCGUGACAACACGAGUAACAUUUCGGAUCCGUACCUUGCUAUCUUGGCAUCCUCCCUCUUAGGAGAUUACACGUAUAAUAUUGGUGCGUUCAUUGUUCAUUGCCUCAUUGCUAACAGCGACAAAGGGCCUCACUUUGGUGGCAUUUAUGCCAGGCUUAUCCUCGAGCACCUCAGGCGCAAUGUGCGGACGAAUGAUACGCCUUUUUCAUUCAUAAGCUUUGAUAUUACCGCUAUGAAGAGGCAUGAGUUUGUUACUAGGACUUCCGAGUUUGGUAACCUUAUUUAUAUUAUGAGGUUUGGCGAGCUUACUACUCGCGAGAUCCGUCUACAUGCACCACUUUUGUUUGAUUACACUAGAAGGAAUGGAUAGUCCUUCACCUCGAUUGAGCUAGACGAGUUCGUGAUCCAGCAGCAGUUCCACAACCCCAUGGAGGGGAUUGUUCCCGAGGUAGAAGAGCCUUCUAAUUGGGAGGCCAGACGGGCAUCAGUGUAUGCGCCCGAGGCCUCGUAUCAUUCUUGGAGCCACCCAUACCACUCCGGAGCCAGAGGAAGCUCCUGGAGCCCUCAAUAGCCGAGCUCAACUUAGGCGAAAAGCCUAAGCUUGGUGGAGUACGUAUCCUUCUCACCUUUCAUUGUAUCAUCCGUAGUUUCCUUUUUAAUCUUUUCGGAGUUUUUGCCCGUUCUUCUUUGUUCUUUCUUUGCAAAAACAACAAAAAGAUUUCUCUUUUCUUUUGCUUUCGCUUAACCUUUGGAAAACCCAAAAAGAUUUCUUUUCUCUCUUUAGUUUGCUUUGUUUGCAGAGUUCAGCUCACGUCCAUGGUUGCAAUUGCACUUGAUUAUAUCUUUCUACGUUCGAUCGUGCAAGUGACGAUGCAAUAAUGAAGAAGAUCGACAGAAGGAAUGCAACAAGGAAAGUCGGUAUGAACUCUAUUUGUUUCUACUUUUGUACAUAUGCAUGUACUUAUGAUCUAGAGACUAGCUUAUAGCGACAUAGUACUAUGAUUACAAUGAUUCCCAGUAGUUCAUGCUUUCUUUGUGACUAGUCUCAAAUAGUUGGAGUGCAUAAUGUGUUAUUGAAAUGAUUAGCAUGCAUUGCAUUGUUCAUGGUUUGGCAUAUUGGAGUGGUAUUUCCCUUCGGAGAAUUUCUGGAUUGACUUGGCACAUGCUUACACAUGUUUAUGACUAGAAGUCUAUCAAGCCUUGAUGAUCUUUUUAUUUCAGAAUAGUUAAAUCGCUUUCAUGCCCGAUUCAAAGUUGAUUUGUCGCUCUACAUGAUUAUGACCAUUAUUGCUCUCUAGUUGGGCGCUUCCCCAUCUUUCGCUAGCCUUCACCUGUACUAAGCAGAUUGACUGCUUGUGCAUCCAAAAUGCUUGAAACCAGUUGCGCCAUAUGACUCCGCCAUACCUACCUAUAUGCGGUACUUAUGUGUCGUCCUAAAUAAAUUUGCAUGUGUCAUAUUCUUAACUUUCAAAUAAAUAUUUUGUUUUGUAUGCCCGAAUCACUCAUGUAGUGACUAGGGGCUAUCAGUAUCUUCCAUGCUACGUAGGUUAUUCUCAAGAUAUGUGUUGAUUCACUAUCAUUCACGAGAAAGUGGCUGGUAACCAGGAUGCCCAUUUCCAUGCUCAAAAGUCAAAUCAAAUUUAAUGAAACAAAACUCCCCCAAGAUUGUUGUUUGUAUGGACGGUACCCGUCGAUUCGUCCCGCCGUGGAGUGUGAUUGAUUGGUGGAGGGGGUAAAAACUUUACCAUUCUGUUUGGGAACCGCCUAUAAUCUAUUUAGCAUGGAAGAUAUUGAGAUCUCUUAGUUGUUAUGUUGACAAUGAAAACAUACCACCCAAAAUUUUGAUUUAUGUUUGUUUUAAAGCUCAAGCUUUGACACCUCUGCAAAUCAAUGCUUCCCUCUGUGAAGGGCCUGUCUAUUUUACUUUAUUGUUGAGUCAUCCUCUUCUCAUAAAAGCACCAACUAAGAGAGCAUAAUUGUCAUUCUCAGUGUAAUGUGCAUUGUCCCAAAGUACCACAUUGUCUUCUGUAUGAUUGUGAUAUUACUUAUUCUGAAAUAUUUAUUUCUAGUCUCCUUUAAGACUCCGGAGGAGCGUUUGCAUUUAUGUUCUGCUUCACUCAUGGGAGCUAGCGAGAUACCACUCUAGUAUAUCCAAGUCAUGUGCAUUGUGAUCUCGUUAUGAUUUUCAGUUACAUAUUAUUCAUUCUUAGUUGUUUGAAACUCUUCACAUGAUCGAAGGAUUGCUUCGUGCAUUGUCUUUGUAGCAUUGCUUCAAUACUUGUUGGGCUUGUUCGUAGUGCAUGCUUAUAUACAUCUGAUGAAGCAAAAGAGUUUGUCAAAGUUUUCUUUGUCGCGUUCAGUUUGUUGAACUGAAUUGCUUGAGGACAAGAAAUAUGCUAAGCUUGGGGGAGUUGAUACGCCUCAAACGUAUCGACUUUUCCAAACACUUUUGCUAUUGUUUUGGUCUCAUUCUUGCUUGAUUUGAAUGAAACUAACCCGGACUGACGUUGUUUUCAGCAGAGCUGCUUGUAUGGUUUACUUGUGCGCGGGAAAAUGGAUAUUUAGACGUCCCGGGAAAUUCCUAUAAAAAAUAGAGAAAAUCCACGCACCAGGAGGAACCAUGGGCCAGAAUAUGGGCUAGAGGGGAGCCACAGGGCCCCCAUGCGACUAUGGGUGCGGCCUGCCCCCUGGCCGCGCGGGAGGCCGCCUGGGUGGGGCUCACCCCCUCUGGUGCCCUACUUUGGCACCUAUUUUUACCCGUGUUGCAGAAAUACGAGAACAGAAGUCAUUUUGCAAAUUCUCGACGCGGAGCCGCCGCCACCCUCAGUUCUUCUUCGGGGGAGCUAAUUUGGAGGCUGUUUCGGCCUCCGGAGAGGGGAAAUCGUCGCCAUCGUCAUCACCAUCACCACUUCAUCAUCCUCCCAUGGCUUCCCCCAUCAUGUGUGAGUAAUUCCCUGCUGUAGGUGAAGGGGGUGGUAGGAAUUGGAUGAGUUAGAUCAUGUAAUAAUUCGUCGGAUUGUUGGGGGCAUGUUGCCUAUCAUCUAUUAUGGUGUUUAUCAUCUUUUCUACUACUUGUUACUCUUAAUGCUUGUCACUUUGGACCCGAGUGCCAUGAUUUCUCAUCUGAAUUUAUUAUGUUUUCAUGAAUAUAUUUUUGUUCUAGAUCCUAUCUCUGAGUAGUAUACACCUAUUAUAGUCCCAAACCGGCGAUCCCAAUGGUGACAGCUUGGGACACCAAAGGGGAUAUACUAUAGUUUGAGGAUUCCAUGUAUCCAUUGAUUGUUAAUGCUUUGUUCCGGUGCUCUUUGACAGGAGCACCUUAAUCUCCAUAAGUUCCUUUUGGCCCCGUUGAUAGUGGGAUGGUAGGACAAAAGAUGUUGUGCAAGUUCGUAUUGCAAGCACGCACGACUACCUCGAGAAACAUGCCUAAUGUUUGAUAUAUCCCUAGAUGAUCAUUACUUUUCUAUGUGCCUUCCCCCAAGUUAAAUACAUGAUAUCUCUCAUCCAUGACCAACCAUCAAUCUCCCUAGCCUAUAGUGUUUUAAUCACGCUGGUCACAAGUCACUUUACUUUCGCUGUUUUACUUUCGUUGAUUUGCCACUAUUAUUUAUGUUGCCACCAUCACUUUAAUAUCACCAUUGCUACUAAUAUUUCGUUGCCAAGCAAGUAUCUUUCAGGUGCGGUUGAAUUGACAACUCAACUGUUAAAGCUUAUAAAUAUUCUUUGGCUCCCCUUGUGUCGAAUCAAUAAAUUGGGUUAUCUUACCUUCGAAGACUGUUGCGAUCCCCUACACUUGUGGGUUAUCAGACGUAUCAAGGGGGGAGUUGUAGGCGUCGGGGAGGCGACGGUGGCAGCCAACACCGCACCCAUGUUGGCUCGGGUGAGUAGGAGGAGGACGGUGGGGCUAGGUGGGCUAGGCCGACAGUGUAACGAGUAGGCUUUAGUGUAGAGUACCGCUUGGACCCUUCCAUUUCUUUUUUUUCUCUUUGUUUUUUAUUUAAUUCCAAUAGUAAAUUACUUUUGUAAAAUAUAGUGUUUGACCCAAUCAUUAACUUGCAUUUUUAGGUUCAGCCACAAAAAUUUUGGGGCGCAUUUGUAAGUUUGGGAAUUUUCAUAAUUCAAAAAGGUAUUUAAGUAAUUGUUCCGGCCUCUCCUAUAAUUAUUUUGAGGCACCAAAUCACUUGAUAAAAUGUUGGUUCAUAUUUUAUAAUUACUAGGUGAAUAUUUGCCAAGCAACCAUGAUUUUAGUUUCAGGUUUGUCAAAAUAUUUAAUCCAUUUAUUAUUUUAAUUUUGAAUUUCAAAAGGGAAUUUCAAAUAAGAUAUGAUUCUAAGAUUGAUCAAGCAGUGUUUAGCAAACGCAUUAGCUUAAUCUUGGCCAUAACUGUAGCCUAAUUAUAGUGAUCACUAUAGCUUAAUCCAGGGGUGUCACGUAUACUUUUUGGGUAUUUAUUUACCAAUUUAUAUUAUUUUAGAGCACUAACCUAUUAACCCAGUGCCCACUGUGAGUUGUUGUUUUUUGUGUGUUUUUGGCUUUUCAGGUUUACGGUAGCAAACGAAGUCCAAUUGCCAUGAAACUUUUUAGUGAUUUUUUCUGGACCCAUUGGGGCGGACGCGCCCACAACUUAAAUUGAUGUAUCUUAUAUUUUGCCAAACAACAAAAUAUACUCUUGUCGCUGGUAUUAACAUGGCAUGAAAUUUCAAUUUUUCUCGAUAUAUCUAUUUAUUUGUACUGCUUUUCUCUACUUCAAUACCUGCUCGAUUUAGAUUGGGAAAAUCGUACAGAUUUUAUGAAACCUUAUCAUUUUUUUACUGAAUAUUUUGCAAACUAUCUCAGUUCCUUAAAGUCUACAGGUGGUCACGUACUGUGACUGAAAGUUUACAAGUAGUCAAGUAAUUUGACCAGCCAAGCCAAAAGAGAUGUGUACCAACCUCAUGAGAAUAAAUAAGUAUGUCAAACGGUGAGCACAUCAUACACCCUCAUUAGAAUAAAAAAGUACUAUGUCAAAGGGCACUCACUAGCUGGCACCGCCCAGCUCGAGGAGGCACGUCAAGGUCGCGUCCCAACACCUAGUUACCAAUACUAGUCGUCGACCCCGUGUAAUUGCACGGUCUAAUUAUUUAGACAAUAGCUUAGUGGACUUUUGUAAAUAUUGGUUAUACUUACAAAAAUAUAAAUGGAGAGGCUUUAUGUUGAGCUCUUCAAAAUGUACUUUUUUUAUGAUGAGGGGCGUUUUGGUAACGAUACAUUCAUAUAUAACAUUUACAAGAAGUUCUUCAUUUGUUAACUCUUCGAAGUAUAUGGAAAUUACAAAUAAAAUCAUGGAACAAACAAUAUUCCAAUAAAACUAAUAAAGAAAACUGCUCUUUACUUUCUUAAAUUUGGUGCAUAAUGAUAGUGCUAGAUAGAGUACGUAGUUUGGUGUAUAUAAUCAUGCCAUCAUUCCAAACAACUAAAAAAACAUGAGCACAUGAUACAUUGAAAAACAUAUGAUUUCUUCAUGUGUACUGAUCAAAAUAAAUUUACUUUUAUACAUCGUAGUACCCUUGAAAGUGGUAACUAUGAUAAGAAAUCAGGAUCGCAAAACUGAUACAGUAUUGUACGAAACCUAAUUCAAUUAUGAAAAGCUUUAGUACAGAAUAAGAAAUGUAAACAAAUCUUCUUGACAUAUGUCCACAUAUAUUACCUCUUCUCUGAAUCCACCAGCCAAUUAAAUUAUUUCUCUUCACUUAGAGAUCAAGUGGACUGUCAGAAUAAUAUAAUUAUUUCUGUAUAAAGGGCAUCUAUAAUGAAGUGAAAUUAGACUAGUAAUUUGAGAAAGAAUUUUGUUUUUUUUUAACAUGCACACGAACACAUCUAAUAUUUUAUUAGGGAAAUAAAAGAAUAUUUGGAUGUACCCAAUAUGUCUGGUAAGGAUAAAUGUCACCUUGCUUUAUAAUUUCAAGAAAGAACCGUCUGAAGUAGAGAUAGAGAAAAAUGUACCCAGAAGCAACUCCUCGAGAGAUAAAACUUGUUAUAUCCAGUUCUAUCAAGUGACUCCUAGUCUAGAUUUGCACUUUCUGGUGUGAUAUUGAUGAUUCCUGCCAAGAAACGUAAUUAGUAUAGUUGUGGAGUAAUUAUGAAGAGUGGAAAAGGUAAUUAGUAUUUAUUGGCUAGGCAUAUAAUUUUAUAUAGUGACGGAGGUGUAGUAAGAUAUUUUUUCGGCGAAAAGAGGUAACAACACAAUCAUAUUAGAACAGAGGUGAGAAAUAGGUAAUGCUGAGAAUGUUGCGAAGAACUGAAAUGUUUUAAUUCUGACAAAAACAUAUACCUCUCUUUGCAUCAAGAAUUAUAUUGCUGAGAUAAUAUAGAACAAUCGAACAUAUGAGAUAAGACGAUUAUCUGGCACAUGCCAGUGUGUCCGUGAUUUGUUUUCCUUUGGUCGAACAUAGAUGGCAUACUUGAGUAGUGCUGAUGAUGGAGACCAAAAGGCCAUAACUUGCGAAUAUAGUUAUACCAAAGGUUAUAAUUAUUAUCAUAUAAACAUUAGAUAAUUUUUCUAGUCUAAAUGACAAUUCUAAUUUUCGAUCUUGAGGAAAUGUAAUACAUGUUGAAGACUACUAUUCCUCAAUUAAUCUACAUCGACACUGAUAAAAUAUUAUAUUUGACAGCCUUUAUAGAGUGGACUCUGGAGACCCCAAAAAGACACACUAGUAGAAAUAAGGGCUUUCGUCCCAGCUCGAAAACACAUUAGUCCCGGUUCCUUUACGAACCGGGACUAAUGUUAGUAUUAGUCCCGGUUCGAGCGGCAAAGGCGCCGGUCGGGCAUUAGUCCCGGUUCAAAUGGGACCUUUAGUUCCGAUUCGUGUCUCGAACCGGGACUAAAGGGUUUGGAGGAUUUAGUCCCGGUUCGUGUCUUGGACCUUUAGUCCCGGUUCGUAUCUCGAACCGGGAGUAAAGGGUUUGGAUGAUUUAGUCCCGGUUGGUGUCUUGAACCGGGACUAAAGGUGUUCAGAUUUUUUUUGUGUUUUUAAAUUCUUGUUUGUAGUUUCUGUUUUAAAUUGCUUAUAUCUUUUAGGAUAUUUGAUGUUUUUUAUUGAUUCUUUUUGCAUUAGAUUCAAAAUUUUGUCUAGUUUCUGUUUGUGCCAUUAGUUUUCAAAUUUGAAUGGUUUAAAUUUGAAUUUGUUUAAAUUUGCUUCAAACCCAGUUUUUGAUUAACUUGAGUUUACAAAUAGUUUUUAAUUUAAUUCUUUUUGCUCCCACUCAUGUGUUAGAUUGUUAUCACAAUAAGAUUUAUUUGGUUAUUUUUAGAAUAAUUUAAAUUAGGAUUUUAAUUAAACAAAUAUUGUUUUGCUUAUAUAGUUGUUUUAGUCAUCUAGUUGUUGUUUUUUAUUAUGUUUAGUUAGUUCUUUCUGUAGAUUUUAACAUGUUGUAGUAUGGUGCAUAUUUAAUGCACAAAAAAAUCUAUAGUUCAAUUAAUUUUAAAAAAAUGCCUUUGUAGCAGAUGGGUUUUCGUCUGAAACCUUGAUACUUUGAGUUUUGUACAAAAUAAACAAAAAUGAUAAAAUCUUCAAAAAAUAAACAAAAAUGAUAAAAUCUUCAAACAAUAAAAUCCUUUGAGAUGUUGUUAGGUUUUAGUGUCUAGUCGGUAUAGAAAUUUUGAGAUAUGAAUUUUGACCAUUUUGGCAAAAAAAGGAAAAAAAUAAACGGCCAUAACUUUUGCAUACGAUGUCAAAACAAAUAAUAUAUCAAAAAAAACUAGAAAAUAUUGGUACUCGAUUUCACCCGGGCUUGCCCGAUGAAGUUUUCUCACAUGCUCAAAAUUCCAAAUGGAAAAAAAGUUAUUUCAAAAAGAAGUUUUUCCAAAAAAAAAAGAAAAAUAGUUUUAUUUAAAAAUAUUAGGUUGUUUUCAUUGAAAUUCACUAUUAUUGUUACUUAUUAAGUGUAUUUUAGUAAUUGUUUUUAAUUCAAAAAAUUAAAUCAUGUGACAUGACAUCAAGACCCAAGUUGUUUAGGAUUGAUAGCUUACUAUUGUCAGGAAAACAACAAGUGCACACUUGGCAACUAGGGGCGAUAGAACCAGAAAGUUAAGGUGCUCGGGCUGAAGCAGUGAAAGUAUGGGUGAUCGGCCGGGAAGUUAGACGAUUUGAAAUGAGUGAUCCACGCUAGAGCAGUGAGGAUGGGUGAUUAGAGAUUAAAUUGUCAAAUAAUUCAAAGAUUAGAAAAUUGGAAUAAAACAUAAAAAAUAUUCAAAAAUAAAAUUUGAAAAAAAUUAAAAAAAACUACAUUUUCGGGUCAAAAAAAACAGACGGAUCCUUUAGUCCCGGUUCGUAAGUAGAACCGGGACUAAGGGUGUGUUUGAUCCUCCCGCGGCGGCCGCCGGCCGCGUCGGCCGCCCAGAGUGGUUGCCACGCCCGCCCAUUGUUGGCGAUUGGCCACAUCCCUUUGUUUGGAGAAUAUUCCCAGCAUCUUGUUGACUCUAUCCCUCCUCGCCCCAGAUCCAAACUCAUGGCAACCACAGAAAAAACUGGUUAUCCCUGUCCGUGGGAGGAUAUCCCUCCAACCAAAUACACCCUAAAGAUACUCCCUCCGAGGCGGCCACGUGGAGCACCUUUGGUCCCGGCUUGGAACAGGGCCGGAACUAAAGGUUAGGCCUUUAGUUCCGCCCCUUUAGUCCCGGUUGAUGAACCGGGACUAAAGCCCCUUACGGGCCGGGACUAAAGGCCCUGUCACCACUAAUGACACUUACUAAACUAUCAAUCUAGCCGUACUUGAUCAAAUAGAAAGGAGCUAUAACUUGCACAUGGAGACAUGGCUAAACAGCAAGAUAGCAAUACACAGUACCCCUCACAGUUUGUACAUCCAGAAGACCUGAUCAAUUUUAACACGUACAUAUGAACAGGAAAUUCUACUAGUCUUGUAUCACACGUGAUAAAAAUCCUUUACUGAUAAUCAAUUUCCCCAUGCGCCUCACACCCUAAUUUUCUGCAAGACCAAGAAACUCAAUUGAUGCGAUACUGAAUAUCCCAAGAUCUACUUUUUAAAUCUUAUUCACAUUGUGCUAGACUCAUCUUGAAGACAUCAAUAGUUUUUUUUUUGCAGUGAUGAAGGCUUGAACAGUUUACUUAUUUACAACAGAUAAAAUAGACGGGCAAGGCUAGCAUUAGCAACGAUCCUGCGUAGCAGUAGCUAUAUACAAUCAAACCUAAACUAACAGCAUGAGUCGACUAAAAAAGUGCCAGUGUCCUCACCUGAGAUUAUGUAUAUUUUGCGUCAUCUCUGAUAAAGAAUUAUGAAUUAUGAUAGACCCGGAGUGUAUGGGGAUGUAUCUGCCUUGCCGAGUAGAAGCCUUCCAUAGACUAUGUAGCUCCACACCUGUAUUUGUAGUACGUCUCAUGUCAUGGCUCAUGGGGCAUGGGCCAUGGGCCAUGGAAUUCGCUUUCUACUGAAAGAUGUCUCUGUCGCUUCUGUCCAAGGCAUCACGACAGCUAUGGGCUCUUGCAUCGUAGCACGGGCCACUGCAUCACCCGCACCUUGAGCAAUGCUACAUCUACGUAAAUGUUUACGUAAGUUUACGGGAUAGUCUUGAUAGAUCCCGUGGAUCUUAGGCCAGAUGUGUUCGGUAUGAUGUGGAGAUUUAUUACCUUUUAGUUUGCUCGAUGAGCUCCCUCCGGUCGUCCAUCGUGAGGUGGUGACGACGGUGGGGAAGGAGAGAGAUGUAGCAGCGGCGGCGGUGGACUUCCCAUCGCUUCAGUGCAUCCCUCUAGAUCGGAUUAGGGUUAGAGAGUGGGGAACCAGUGGCGGCGGCGAACCUCGUGUCUUGUGCCAUGGUCCUCACCUCCUCUUUAUAGCACUGCGCGACAGGGGCCCACCAGCCUUACUUGGGCUGGACGCCCCCGAUCAGGGUGUGAGUCAAGGUCCAAUGGGCCGUUGGGCCCAUUGGGGAAAGAGAUCAACCUAACAUUCUCCCCAUUGAUCUCAUCAUAUACUUUUAACUUUACCCGUUUCGUAACAGAUCAAUACAUAGGGCAUGUUUCAUGUCACGGCUCAAUUGCUGAUGGACUCAGACAGCCACAAUGUACCUCUCUAUUUUGAGACAGAUUCUUUAACCUUGGGCCCUUUAUUGUCCGGAAAUUUUAGACUAUACCAAAAAAAACCAUGUCGAUUGUGUGUUCUCCGAACGCACUGGGCGGUAAGCCUUUGAUAAGAAGAUCUGCAAACACUUGUUUGUCGCUUUUAUGCUUUCAAGCAUUUUUCCAUAAUUCCGGACUUUCUCCUUCACAACACAUAACUCUUUGUCAGUGUGUUUGGCAUCAACACUUGACUCGUUGUGACAGGAGCGAAAGAAUUUAAAAUGGUUAUCGUUGUUGUCAACCAUUAUCAACUCCGGGUACAGGUAGCCUUAACCAUGUUGCCCGUCCCUCAGCCUCAUAUCAAGCUAUGACAUAUCAUUGCAUCAAAUUGAUGACAAUCGUUUUUACUCAUUUGGAGAUUUUCCACACAAAACACCGAGUAUGAAAGUUAGCGACAAUUGUGGAUUUCGCUAUACAUUUCACAAGUCCUCUUUUGUACUCACAAUGUUUUGAGAGCACUUAUUUCUUUCAUCAUGAGGCCGAUAUCUUUGACUCCAUUCCAUUGAUUUAUCUAUGGACUGGACAUUUCCAAAACAACCUGGAUAUAUACGUGAACUGUGUCAGGGUAAUAUCUUGAGCUUCCAACAACUGAAGCAUAUGGUACCAUAUCCGUUUACAAUCUUUCUUAUUAACUUUUGGAACACCAUAGUUUCCACUUCCAUUACCCAUGACUAUAAGAACAGGCAUAGGUUUUCUCGUAUGCAUACUUUAGAGAUCUUUCUUAGCAUGUUCAUGCGACAUUCCUAAUACCCCCUUUUAUUCUUUUGAACUUUGAGGACAAGAACUUCUUUUCUCCUCCUGCAGUAGAUUGACAUCACCACUAGCAAGUAGGACAUCAUCCACAUGCAUAGGAAUUGGGAAACGAAUUUCCCAUUCUAUGACUUUGCAUGAAUGCAAUUGUCCUCUCAUUUUCUUUGCACAAAAUCUUUCGAUUUAAGUCAUGUUUCACACAUUUACAUAUUUCCUUUCGAGUCACAUUUGCCUUGUAGACCCUUCAUAAAGUCUAUGUUAGNNNNNNNNNNNNNNNNNNNNNNNNNNNNNNNNNNNNNNNNNNNNNNNNNNNNNNNNNNNNNNNNNNNNNNNNNNNNNNNNNNNNNNNNNNNNNNNNNNNNNNNNNNNNNNNNNNNNNNNNNNNNNNNNNNNNNNNNNNNNNNNNNNNNNNNNNNNNNNNNNNNNNNNNNNNNNNNNNNNNNNNNNNNNNNNNNNNNNNNNNCUAACAUAGACUUUAUAGUAGUCACAAGUAUCUGAUUUUCACAUACCUAGAGAACAUUAAAAUCUCAGGUACUGGCACUUCUUUCAUAUGGGGUUGUCGUUGCUCUGUCAUUGCCAAGAGGGAAUUAAUUCUAUAGUCACCCAUUUCCAAAAGGCAAUAGGUUUUACAGGAACCUGUAUCACAAGAUCCCUUGUAGAGCUAACAACAGGUGUUGUAUAGGUCAUACAACAUGCUCCCCCAGAAUACUCCAUCUUCACACAAGAAAUGGCGUAUCUUUAAACUUUCUUCUUUAUGGCACUUUAAGCACCACCGUUGUAUUCCUUAGUCUGCUUUCGGAACUAUAAAAGAUCCGAAAAUACAAUUGUUUCUUUUCUUUAGGGGUAUCAUAAUGACGGUACUCCGAUGACUGUCGUACUCCCCUUGACAAUCACAUUCUUCAUUAAUGGAUCACUUUAGAUGCAUAAUGUGCAUCACAUCAUCUGAAGUACAGAGGAGUCAUGAAAUACACUACAAUGUAUUUCAUGUCUCUAUCUCCCCCUCGAAAUGUGGAAAGAACUUUUCUGCCACAAUUUUGAAACCCAUUCAUAGCUCUUUUGAAAUGAGGAAACUUCGAUUAUCUAGCUCAUUCAUCUUAUCACUUCAUGUAAAAUGAAGUUAUAAGUUAACUAGUAUGGGAGUACUUUUUCCUCAUUUCAUUUCGGAAACUCAAUAGAGUUCUUUAUAGUUGUCACUUUUGCAAGUUACACUUGCAUAUCAUUCUUGUCUUUAGGUUCGUCUGUUACUUUUAUCCUUUCUGGAUUUAGUGAUUGCAUAAUGACCGUUACACAUAAAGUGUACGGUCGAUAAUAGGAAAGCUUAAUAGCUACUCCAUACUUUUCUCCCAUAGUGGGACACAUUAACCGCACAUGAGUCAUCAUAACUUUCUCCUGUCAUAUAGGAUAAGACCUUUGCCAAAAUUUCUCCCGCCAUACACGGAUUGUUAACCUAAUACAAUGUCAACUUUACCCGGUGACGCAGGCAUUCUUCCCAGACUUUUCCCACCAUGCAGGUAAUUCCCUUUAAGGGACAUCAUAAAUGCCAUAAUUGGCUCUUUUGACUGCAUCAAAUUCAGAAAUAAAUCUGAAUUAUCUUUGACACACAUGUUUGAUCCGACGUUGGUCAAAUUAAACAUGCAUGUUGCUUGUUUCAUUUCAAUCAUGUUGACUGAAAAAAGGAGACUCCAUCAUAGAGAGUACAUGAAAGACAUUCGUCAACCAAGACUCUCAAUGAUCUAUCUCUUUUCUUUUCUUGAAUUAAUAUCCAAGAGUUCUUUUCUUUUGAAGCCAUUCUUUAGAGAGAAUUUAUUCCCUCAAGUUAUGACCUUUCUUUUCCAUCUUUCAGGUCACUAGUGCCCAAACAUUCGCUUUCAUGAGUGAAAGCUUGAAUAACUUUUAGUCUGAGAAAACAUAGCCAAUAAACAACGGUAAUGAGCAUUAAAAAUAACCCUACGUUGGUCUGAUUAAAAUCAUGCACAUUAAACCUUUUAAAACUUUCUGGAAUAUUCUAAAACACCGUUGUGGCAGAAUUAGAAUAAAACAUCAUUCUUCUGCAUUAAUUCCAUAUCAUCGUUGGGCAGAAAUGGAAAUAAUGCAUAUAACUCAUAAACAAUGUGAUGAUAGUAUUUCUAUUGAACAACUUUGCUAAUAAAUAAUCAUCAUCAUCAUUAACCAUAUUGCAGCAGAAAUAGAAAUAUGCAUUUCUUUAUCUCUACUCCGAAAAAUUGAUCACUUUGAUACAAAAUUUAUCAGAGAUUUAAGCUUUAAACAUAAGAUGACUCAUACAAUUAUGGUAUUGUUAUCAUCAACGUUGGUCACAAAAUAACAAUACCAUAUUUAACUUUAAAACAAACAUCACUCUAUUGUCAUAGCGGAAACUGUUUGAAUCCUAUUUCACCCACAAGGGAAAAACUUUGCUAAUAACAGUUCUUCUAAUUAAAUUUUCCCAUUGGUUUCAAUUUAAUUGGAGGAUUAAACAUUUACCUUGCAGCGGAAAAACGUGAAUAUAAAAUUCAUGCACCUUUACAGAAAAAUAUUCUGUUAAAAUCAAAAUUCAUGAACUUUAUUUUCCUUAUAUAAAAUCCAUGAACUUUUCAUUUUCUGAAAAAACUCUAUUUAUUUCCAGAAACAUCUACUUUUCUUUGGAGAAAUUUUUUGUCUUUUAUUCUGCACACACCUUUUAUUUAAUUUGCAUAAGGAUGCCUUUCCCUUUUCUAUUUUCUAAACAUAAUUUUCCAAGAAAAUUAUGCAUAGAAAAGACUAUUUUUCUACUUUACAGAAACUUUUCUUUUUCUGAAAAUUAUCUUUAAUUUUUCAGAAACUUUUCUGUUUUUCUUAUCAAGAAAAACUGUCAAUACUUUCUGGGCCGAAACGGGCCCAGUUACCCAGCAGCCGAGCGUGCUCCCGUGCAGCUCCUGACCUGGUGGGCCGCCGGCCUCAGCCGCCUCCCUUUUGGCCCCUUUGGCCCGAAAACUGGCCUGGGAGCGUGUCAUGUACCGCUGGCGGCGCUGGCCCGCUCUUUGCGGCCUAGUUGGCCCGGCUGGGCUAGGGUUAGGCACAGGAGCCAUCCUGGCCGCCCAUCUUGAUCCGACGGUCCCCCGUGGAGAUCGGGGAGACCAAAAACGAGACCGAGCCGGCAGGGGGAACCCUAGCGGUUCAUUCCCUCCCCCCAGCGCCGCUCAUCUGUGUCUCCCGAGCGCACAACCCCUUCCUGCCGCCGCGCCGUUUCGUUCGCCGCCGGUGGCCAGGCCACCGCUUCGCGCGCUCGCCUUUUCGUUUCCCUCCUUAUCUUGUGGCACAUCAAGAGUGAGGGACGCACCAUGCCUCAUGUCUUCCCUCGCGCGUUCUGUUACCGAACGGUGACAGCUCGGCCGCUCCGGCCACCAGCAGCGGUUUCCACCGCGCCGAGCGAGCCCUUUUCCCCUUCCUCUAUUCUUUCCUCCGGCGAGCGAGAGUGAGGGCAGCGAGGCGCGGCUGCGCGCCCCCUCUGCCCCCCGUUCCUAUUUUAGAUCCAGUGAUCUUUCUUUCAGCCACCACCGCCCCAGCGAGAAAGAGACGCGAGCAGAGCCUUCGUCUGCUUCUCUUCGCGCCCGACGACGGUUUCCAGAUGUGGCAGUGGCUGCGCCCCUGCCGACCCCUUCGCCGGUCGUGCGUUCCCCUUGCGGUGAGCGCGCCGCCGUCGAAUGGAUCGGUGGUGGUGCUUGUACUUUGCCCCGAAGGGUGGAUUUCUUUGCAUGUUUUUUUUGUUUGCUUUUUUCGGAUCCAAUCUGAUUCCUUUGUUGGUUUUCCUUUUGGAUCUAAUCAGAUCCAUACUUUUCCUCCAAGGAGGUUGGUUCUUCUUCCCCACACCUCGGCUUGCCGAUGCGUGCGGGGAUCGAGAGGAACAGGCGCGGCCGAGGCGGCACUCUUUGCCGGAGAGGACUCCGGUGAAACCUUUCUUUUCUUUGAUCUUUGCCCUUCUCGGGUUCAUAUCGGGGAGGGGGAAACUUUUCUUGUACAUGUUUCAACCGAAACUCAUCUAAAGCCUCGUGGCUCAUGAUACCAUUGAUAGAUCCCGUGGAUCUUAGGCUAGAUGUGUUCGGUAUGAUGUGGAGAUUUAUUACCUUUUAGUGUGCUCGAUGAGCUCCCUCCAGUCGUCCAUCGUGAGGUGGUGACAACGGUGGGGAAGGAGAGAGAUGUAGCAGCGGCGGCGGUGGACUUCCCAUCGCUUCAGUGCAUCCCUCUAGAUCGGAUUAGGGUUAGAGAGUGGGGAACCAGUGGCGGCGGCGAACCUCGUGUCUUGUGCCAUGGUCCCCACCUCCUCUUUAUAGCACUGCGCGACAGGGGACCACCAGGCUUACUUGGGCUGGACGCCCCCGAUCAGGGCGUGAGUCAAGGUCCAAUGGACCGUUGGGCCCAUUGGGGAAAGAGAUCAACCUAACAAGUCUCACUUGACAAUCAUUGAUUGGAUUAUGAGGAGGAUGAGGCCCACCCACCCCUGAAAAUCAGGGGGGCAUAUUUAGAUUAGUUGAAAGGUUUAGUAAACGUAAGUAAGAUUUAGUAGGUCUAGCAUUUUCGCCCGCACCAUACGUGAAGCCAUGCAUAAUCCUGCUUUUGAUCUCAUCUACCGCCAGGGAGAGUGAGGACGUUUCAGGAGGAGAAGAACACACCAUCAGCCACAGUCGGGCUAGUGCAUCUCCUACUCGAGCGAUGCGGACUUCACAUGGGAGAUGUGCUCCGAGAGAAAUGCCCAAUCGUGGGUGUGUGUCCAUGCCGCAUGGCACCUGGAAGCUAGGGCGCUGCUCCUGUAUGACUGGAAGAUGAGGAGGCCGAUGGAUGGAGACAUGCUGAAUAGUAAUCUCGUCCGCACCAGAUCAAGAAGGAAUCAACAAAGAAGUGGUUUGCAUAUGUACCUUGCAUCUGCACAGCACAAACCAAUCAGAGGCAUGGCUAGCUGCUUGGCCGAAUAAUAGGAGAUCGUUUGUUUUCUAGAAGAAAAAGAAGAGAGAUGGGUUUUCUGUAGGGAGAGAAAGGAGAGAGAUGGACGAUAGGAAUCGUGCCGCACAUGGCUACCCAAAUGUACGCGUUCAUGUAUUCAAGAAAAAAUAAAAAAAGGUAUGCGUUUAUCAUACAACUUUAGAUAGAUCAAUGGUUCUGCUAAAAGAAGAUACAUUAUGGGUUAAAAGAAACUAAUCCUAUUGAAAUAUUUGCACCAUAAAAACUUGGUCCCACCCGAGGAAGGGAUCUCCGAUGAAAAACUUUUUUAACCCUGUCGAAAGAUCUCCACCGUAAUAACUUGGUCCCACAAAAUAAACGGCUCCUAAUUUCUGAUUAACAUGAGAAUUUCUAGAGAGUCCAUAAUUAGUAUAAGUAUAAAUAUAGAUUAUGCAUGCCAUAAACUGAUGCUCAAUAAUAAAACCAACUGAUCCUCUUGUAAAAUUUGAAAGAUUUGUAGGCCAAAUCAUAUUAAAUCAAAGCAUAUUUCCACUCACCAAUUUUGCUAUGAAUUGAUCUAUGCGACGUAUUUUGAAUGGCGACAGGCAUAAUGUCUCAACUCCAUGCAAGCAUAAUACAGCUAUACGUAUAAAUUUCCACUAACACAUACCUUGUCUCACUCUCCAGUUGAACUAAGGACAAUGCUAGAAUACUGCACCAUAUUUUUUGAUACAUUCUUAGGGCGAUUGAUAAACAUUGGUGAUUACCAUAAUGUCCAUGUAAACUUCAUCCACCAAAGCCCGUAUAGCCGAAAUAAACAAAUGAAGUGAUAAAUCAAGUAUUUCGGCCCUUUGGAUCAACAACGAACUUAUAGAUAAUCAAAUGUAUAGUGAUUUGGUAAUACCCCUUCAUGAUAUAAGAAAUUAUAUUGCAUCCAUCAAUCUAAAUAAGCCCAUACAGGGUAACCGAUCAUACAUCUGACGUAAUUGUUUUUGCUUCCAUCCUACUAUUUCUUUCCUUUUGUAACACUUGUUGGAAUAGAAGGUUGCACAUCAUUUUUAUUUUUCAAAACCCAAGUCAUGUUGUUGUGUCUCAGCUCUUGUGCACUAAGCUUUUAUAGUUCCUUCAUUUUCCAAUACGUUAAGCCGAGUGGACGCCUCGACUGUGGUUUUUUUUUUCAAGCAAUGGUAACUCUUUUUUGGCCUUGUAUACUCUCAACUUCUUCCCUUCAGAUUUUGCACUUUAAUUUUAACAAUUGAUUGCUUCACUUCUUUACCUUUUGUAGCCAAUACUAACUCUUUAAGUGGUUCCUUAUAUUUUUCGACCAAACCUGAAUUGGCACUCUUGAGACCAUCUUUUUUACUCGAUAUACUUGUUUGAUCACCUUUUCUUUUUUCUUGAGCUCCGAAUUAUUGAAAUGAUUUUGAACAUAUGACUACUCAUUGAAUGUUAGUAUUCUUGGAGCUGUAUAAUAUUGGUGAUAUGGUUAUAAGAAGAUGGAGAAUGUGCCCUUGAAUCAUACCUAUCCCAUGAUGGAUACAGAUUUACGCGAGCAUAGGGAGGCAUCCACGACACUGGCAUUGGCGGCCCAAAUUAAGGAUAUGAAUAUGUUGCAUUGAAAUUCUCGCUUUCUCAAACCGAUCCUUGGUUCUGCGCCUAGGGGGUGAUCUUGAUGCUUUUACAUUAUUUAGUCGAUAAGCCCUUUUUAGCACAUUCAAUUCUUAUAUUUAAAGUUUUGAUUUUUUUUAUCCUUUUGCUUAUUUUGACCUUUUUUCUCCUUUCUUGCAUCAACCUUUGGAUUUUCUUGCUUCCCCCAGAGCUUGACGUCUUCAUUCCAGCUUCGGUGGAAUUCUUGUCGUCAAUAAUAUCUUCAAUGUGAAGUUGAACAAUCUCUUUAGAAAGCUUGAUUCCAUCCCCUGAAGUUUUUGCCUUCUCUUUAAAUGGAUGGUUUGAAGAAACCCAAGAAAAAACUUUUUGCCAUCAUGACCCAUCGGAAUAGACUGGUCAUCCCAUGUUCUUUCAACAAAUUUCAAUUUUCCUUUUUCAAUGGCCGAUUUAGCUAUUUGACGAAACAUGUUGCAAUCCUCAAAACUAUGUUUGAAUGAAUCGUGCAACUUACAAUACAUUUGUCCUUAGAUAGAUGGCUUUACAUGGUGACCAAGAAUUCUAAUAUAAUCAUUUUUAGCAACAAAUCAAAGAUUUGAUCACACAUCCUUGAGUUAAAUGUAAAUCUCUUAUUUUGCCGAUCUUUCUAUGAGAAUGGCUUUGGAAGUAAGAAAAUGAAUGGUUUCGAUUUGGCAUCUCCCCAUUCGCCUAUGAAUUUCUUUCGCAUUCUUUUUCCGAUGUCAUUGUGUAAGAAAUUAUACUAGCAUCGGUUUUCUCAAAAGUAUUUAACCUUGGCUUCAAGUUACUGGAAAGAAAAUAGCUAGAACAUACAUGCCUCAAUUGAGGCCAAGUGUAAGCCAAGUAUGAAACAAGCAAAGCUACCCAUGUAGAUAUAAACUCUAAAUAAAACAAAAGGGAAAGCUUCAAUUGUAAUAAUUUUUCACUAUCCGUCUUUUUGAAUGGUGCGAUAUGUUGACCAAUAUGCUUUGUCAUAAUAUGAUUGCUAACAAUAAAUUACCCUUAUUCAUUGGUCUCUCAGUAUUACUUAUGAAGAUUUUUCUAAUAGAUGCAUCAACAACAAAGUUAUGAACAAAUUGUAAUAGAGGUAAAUUACUUGCUAAACGUACCUCUUCGGUUAGGUUGGGAGAGAAUGAUGGUUGCAUGACAUGAAUAAUAUCAUGCUUUGUUUAUGGAUGGCUUCCCAACACCUCAAAUCCCUGAUUUUCUUGGUUUGUGCAUCAUUACAUUGAAGAUGUUUGUCAACUGAACUUUGUUCAGCUACUUGUUCUUGUCCUUGAAGCUCGUCAAUUUGUAUGGCACUAGACUCAUAGGGCAGGAAGUAGGUUCCAUUAACUUCAAAAUAAUCAAACAUGGUUACUAUUCUAUCGUUGCCAUGACCUUUCUCAAUAAUCCUUUCCUCUUUGGAUUUGAUGGAUUCAUAAUAUAUACUACUUGAUUUGGCUUUUUCAACCGAGCACUUUCAUGUUCAGAAUCAUCCUUAUUUUCAUUGAUUCUACAAACUCGCAAUAAUUAUUGAAAGGAUCGAUAUGGUUGACUAUAGGGGUGGCUAAUAGAUAACUAACAAUUUUUAAGCUUUACUUAAUCAAUUAAACUUUAGCAACAAAUAGGUUUUCUAAAUAUGCAACUAAGAGAAUGACCUAUAUGAUGCUAGCAACAUGAAUAACAAGUAAGUAAAUAAUGCAAGUAAGGGAAAGAAGUAACCACAAGUGGAACUGAUGAAGACGAGGAUGUGUUCCCAAAGUUCCUUCCCACAUGGGUAAGUACGUCUCCGUUGGAGCGGUGUAGUGGCACUAUGCUCCCCAAGAUGCCACUAAGACCACGAUAUUCUCCUCACUCCCUCACACAAUGCGAGGUGCCGUGAUUCCACUAGUGGUGCCCUUGAAGGUGGCGACCGAACCUUUACAAAAAUGGUUGGGACAAUCUCCACAGCUGAAUUGGAGGCUCCCAACGAUACCACGAAGCUUCACCACAAUGGAAUAUGGCUUCGAGGUGACCUCAACCGUCUAGGGUGCUAAAACACCCAUGAGUAACAAGAUCAGCGAGGGAUUAGUGGGGGGAUCAAAAAUUUCUUGGUGGAAGUGUAGAUCAAGGCCCUCUCAACCAGACCCUCGAGUAUCAAGAAGUUUUGUUGACUAGGGAGAGAGAUCGGGUGAAAAUGGAGGAACAAUGGAGCUUAGGGUUAGGAAAGGUGAGGUUGUUUGGGAAGAAGAACCCCUUUAUAUAGUGAGCGAAAGAACCUGCCCGUAACCCACCUGUUCUGCCCGUACAAGAGCGGUGCUACCGAUGAUAAGAGGUAGUAUCGCUCCAAAGUGAGCGGUACUACCGCUCACGCACAGGACAGCCGAUCCGAGUGAGCGGCAGGGGCUAGUAGUACUGCCGGAGUGGUACUACCGUUGCCAGAAGCGGUACUACCGCUCAUAAGAGUUAGUACUGCAUCCUACAUCCGCUCGGGGAUCAGUUGCGGUCCUAGCCCAGAAAAAAAAGGACUCCCGACAUGGUAGUAACAAGCGGUAAUACCGCCCAACGGGCGGUACUACCGCACAGUCCGACACAAAAAGUGUCGAGAUCCGCGGGCAGCAGUACUGGCCAACGGACCAAGCUCGGCAACAUCCGCCCUGGAGCGGUACUACCGCCAGCCUGUGUGGUACUACCGAUGACAAGAGGUAGUAGCGCUACCAGGAACGGUACUGCCGCUUGGGUAUUUAUGGACAUUGUUGGGCAAGGGAAGAAGCUCCAUUGAGGUGGGAAAGAUGUUGCGAGGGAAAGUGUACGUGAUGAUUCCACCCAGACCUUUCCGAGGCGGACCCUCUGUUAAUAGUAUGGCUUUUCGUGCGACUCAAGUCCACCGACAACGAAACGUAAGAGAGAAAGCCGUCUUCAUAUCAAUACACCGAGGGGCAUGCAUCGUCUUUGUGCCAAAUGAGGAAAUACCUGAAAGGCUUAGGGCACAUGAUUAGUCCGCAAAAGUAUUGUCAUCAAUCACCAAAACCACUAGGGUAGAAAUAUGCCCUUACACUUAUUUUAUUUCAUCCAAUUAUUUUCCUUCUUAUUUCUAACGGCGAGCGGCAAUUUUGGUUUUAAGUUUUUUCUCAAUUUCAGCCCGCUCAAGAUAUGAUUGCCUCCAAAUCUUUUAGAUUCUUUCGCAAUGACACACUCGUGUUGUCGAAAGUUGGCAAUUGUGUAGCGCGUGUAUAAUAUGACAUAGGACUAGGUGAAGGUGUAUGUAUUGUUGCAAAACCAUAUUUUUGCUCGCCAAUUUUAUCAUUUGGAAAAGAUUCAUCCUCUUAUAAAACUCUACUUUUAUUGCAUUAUAAUGAGGAACUAGCCCCUUAUCAUGCUCUUCAAGGCAAAGAGCACUUCCCUUGUUGUUUCAGGACGUGUCUCUUUUUAAUAUAGGUACUUCCAUCCCGGCCGUAAGGGAUUGCUCCACAAUACUUUUAGAUCUCGACAAUGCGAUGUUGCCAAAAUUGUGCAAUUGCGUAGAGGAUGCAUUAUAUGCUACAAUAUUAGAUGAUGUCAUGUGCACUCCUGCACAAUUUUCACUUAUUCAACUAUGACCAUGAAGCUUUGAAGUUGAAUUGUGAGCAUCUACAGUUGUGUACGGUGCCAAAAAAUUACUAACACAUGAGGUGUAGCAUAUGACGGUUGACAGUAACUGGUCGAAUAGUUAGUGGUAGCAUGGCCAAUUCUCCCAUCCAUCAGCAAUGGGGUAUUUAUUCCAGGCCGGCGGUAUCAUUGUUGAGCGAUCGCUCGGUUGAACUAGUACAUUGUAAAUUAGCUGUCCAAGAAUAAAAAGGUCAAACACUUUGUUGCAUGCUAUUGGAACUUCCUACACAAUGUGUUUCAAUUUGAUUGACCAAACUCAUCAUGUUGUUCAUCCGCAUAACGAUUUGUGGAGUUGCUGAUGGAUGAGAGUUUAAAUACAUAUGGUGCAUGUUACUAGUAUCAUAAGUUGAAGCACGUAUAUAACCUUGAAUUGGCCUUUGCAUGUGAUUAGAUGCAUGAUUGAAACAACUAGGGAUGGUCGAUAGAGUAUACUCAUUGAACGAUCUAGUAAUACCAUAUGAAUUAUUUGUAUGUACACUAGGGAAUUGGGUAUUCGUAUCACCUUUGUAGAUUUCAAACCCUAGAUGACGGUCUCUUCAUACCAAGAACGGGUUAGGGAUUGUUCGAAGUUUCGUCCCUAGCAGAGUCACCAAAAAGUGUGUUCGCACACGAACACAUUACUGUGCACCCUUACUGUCGAGGGUGACACAUUAAAGGAGACCAGUUUGAAAAAGCGGUUCACAAGUAGUCCGACGAGCACUUUUGUAGAUCCGAAACUCCCACAUGGCCGAAAGGGACCCCGUCAAAGCGCAUGGUGGCUAUGGGCUACAUUAGGUCGACCUGACCGCCCCUAGGGCCUUGUGGUUCGCCCAAUAGGAAGAACGAACAAAAGAACGAGGAAGAAGAAGAACUAGGGUUAAGGAGAAAAGUUAAAGGUAAAAAUUGGUAGAUUGAUUUUGCAGUUGUGUGUUGUUCAAUCGUCUGUCAUCUCUUAUCUAUUUAUGAGGCGAUUGGACUUUCCAUACAAGAAAAGGACAAAAAAAAUCCGUUUCAAAUAUCUAAAAUCCUAACCUAACUCGGACAGGAAUCUUUUGUAAUUUUCCGUCUUAAUUCGGGCCCUCCAAGUGGUUUCGUUCAGUCUCACCGAGUGGACGUUGCCAACUUUCUGUAAUCUUUUGUAUCUCACUCGAAAGUUCCAAAUGGGUUUCACUCGGUCUCACCGAGUGCACUGGAUGCUUCGUGAAUUUUUUUUCCAACACCAACUCGGUCUCACCGAGUCAAAUACACUCGGUCUGUCCAAAGUGACUCUGCGGUUUUUGUUCUUGACCUUAUUUUGACUCCACAGGUCGCAUACGAUCUAAGAUUAAGAUAAUUUUUCUAUCAAAUUCAACCAUUUCGAUGAGCCAGACAACUUUGAUGUUGAACACAUUUUCAUCAGAGUCCAUCUUAAUUAUGUUUCAUGACAUAUUAUAAUCUAAUAUCAACACGAGCAUGUGUAAAAUUUCAUAACUUUUGCAUCUGAACUCCAUUUUGGCCCAUCCUCGUAUCCAUCUUUGAUCUCCUUGAAUAGAACAGAACCAUCCGAAGGUGACUUUCAAUCGUAAGUUUGAAUUAAUUUUGACAUAGCUUAAGUUACUUUUAUGACUGUCACUUUUGAGCGCCGACAAUGGCCUAGUAUUUUCCUGGAGUUGUUGCCACUCUCUUAUACUUCUCCCGGAAGAGUUUUUCUGAUAGCCAUUCUGUCCAAAUCGUUCUCCAGGCUUUCUUCACUGUCUUAUUCUUUAAGAAGGCAAUGAGUUGUAUCUGUGAAAUUCUGUGUCAGCAAUUAGUUAUAUCUGUGAAAUUCUGUGUCAGCAGUGCUAUAUCGGGCUCUAGUGCGCCGCCCAUACUUGACAGCGAACCCAGCCUGUGCCAUGGUAUACCAUGAAGCGGAGACGUGCUCAUGGGCCCUGCGCUGAUCGCCGUCCAUAUCCGAUUCCAGCGAUUUGACACCGAAUCAGCCUACCUAUCUCACUGGGCAUGUUGGACCUCCGGUAGGCACACGUCGACAUUGCUUUCCAUAUAUUGUAUGUUGUCAUCCUCACACCACGAAAUUGUACUCUGCACAUUAGUUGAUGGGUAAUAAAGCAACGAAAAGGACAUGCACAACGCUGCACCCUCGCAGAUUCACCCAAAGGCUAGGUUGUUCACGCAUCAGGUGGACACGCUCUAGCUCUCGAACUUUCAGAAGACCAGAUGGUAUGUCAGUUGGCAAUCCUUUUCCCUUUCUGUCGUUUCUACGGACACUGUAACUUGCAUGGUUAAUUAUCUGCCGCGGUAUACCUUUAUUCUUGAGGUUGGUCCGUAGUAUGGGUUGGAUCAAUGGUGUUCCCAUUGCGUUGGUCAUAUUUCCGUUGUUCCUUUUCCUUCGUAGUACCUGCUCACGAAUAUACACGUCGAACAGAAUGCAUAAAACAGAAGCGCUUACAUCCAAGUUGGCAUAGAUGCACGUACUCCAGACUUAACUAAUCACACCAUCAUCACCAUGCAUAAAAGGGUUAUGCACUACCAGCUUUGAGCGGUGCCCAUGAUCCAUUGUCAUCGGCUUCCGCUUUUCAAAGUAUAAUAGACCAAACGGGAGAUCAGCUCAUAUGCCGUAAUUAUUGUUGCCCACGGAGCUGACAGCACAUCUUAGCUUCAUGUUAUCUGUAAAACUCUAACUCGUCUCGAACGUAGCUGUGAUGUCCUCUGUUUUCACGGCAUGCACGCAUGAAUAAGAAUAGAAUGUACUCCAUACGUGCUAGCUCGUUGUACAUCUAAUUAGUUUAUUACUAGACCACUCUUCGAUUAAAAAGUAACAUUAUCAGGCCCUUCCCGAUUGAUGAUCCUAGGCAGUAGCACUGGCGUAUUCCGCGUUCAUCUCACGCUAUGCACUAUGAUUAUCUCACGGCUCUCAAUCGGUAACAGUUUCCAGUAGUACCAAAUCAAGUCCAAUGUUCUGAACCUAACGCUAUUGUAGCUGCAAUGUUCGUAGCUAGCUAGUGUCCACGCACAUCAUUGCGCUCUUGCACACGAUUUGGUCAUGUGGGAAUCAUCAUCCUUAACCUGUGCACCUCAGUCCACUCAACGUAGCUGCAUUCAUUCAGGCUAAACACAGUAGGAGUAACUUAGAGCAUCUCUAACAAACCUCGUAAAAGGACACCACCCGUAUAAUUCUGACGAGUAUCUGGUUCUGGUGUGUUUUUCUUAUCAGGACAGACUCCAUAUCCCGUGCGCGGCCCCUAAAAAGUUUAGGGUGGCCUGAAAAAAGGCCCUCUCCAUCAUUAUUUAUGUGGUUUCAUUGUUCGGAUACGGGUCAAACCCUAUCCGCCUUCGCCGCCGCUCCACCACGAUUCCCCUCCCCCUUCGCCCCAAUUUCUCGUCAUCGACGAGCCUAAAAAAAGUCCUAGCGACCCUUCCCGACCCAUGAACGACUACGGAAGUGGUGGGGAUGACGCGAAGCGCCGCCGACGCCGCACGCAAACGGAAGGGGGGGAGUGGAUCAACUAUGGGAGCCGGCUACCACCGACGUUCGAACAUCGCGAGGUCGACGAGUACGAGCGAGAUCUCGCGGUCCACGUCCAAGGAGAUCUUCCUCGAGCAGGGUGUCGCGGCGUCGCACGCGCAAGCGUCCAAGGAGACGGACCUGAUCAUCGACCUCAACUCCGACGAGGACUGAGCACAUCUGGCUCCUCCGUCAUAUCAUGGCCGACGCAGGCUCGUGUACACUGCACGGCCCGCAGAUCUCCCCCUAUGUAGCACUAUGAUGUAGUAUGAUAAGCAACUUCUAUGAUGCAGUAUGAUAAUCAACUAUGUAUGAUGAAUGCCAUUGUAAGUUUCUCCCAUUAAUGUUUUUUCCCAAAUUUUAUAGUUUCAUAUACGGGGUCUUUAUCUGCAGCGCAUAAAUUAGCCCCGCAAAUCUGAUCUGUGGCGAACUAUAAACGUGCUUUUCGGGUCCAACUUUUACGGGGUCUGUUAUACAAGUACAUAACACACUUCAAGGCAGGUUUAUUUAUGUGGCAAGCAGUUUAUAAUGCAAGAGGUGAUUCUGCUAUAAUAAUACACUACCAAAAGAGUUGGGCGAGCUUUACUGCACCAUUAGUGUUGUUGGGUUUUCAUGUUUUAUUGUCUCAAUCUGUUUCAAAAUAUAAGGUCUAUUAGUUUUUUAAAAGUCGAACCUCUUUAAGUUUCAUCAAAUCUGCAGAGAAGUAUAUCAAAAUCCAUAAUAUGAAUUUGGUAUCACUAGAUUCAUCAUGAAAUAAAUUUCUAUAUUUUAUUUUAUUUUAUUUUGUAUUGUGGAUGUCGAUAAUUUUGGCUGUGAACUUGAUCAAAGUCAAAGAAAAUUGACUUUUCAAAAAACUAUUACACCUUAUAUUUUGGAAGUGAGGAAAUAUUUGUUUUCGCGAGUGGGAAAGAUGGUGGCGUGUGUUUUAUUUUAAUUUAUAUAAUGUGGUGUUUUGGUGUGUCUUUCGCACUGUGAUUCUUUGUUAUCUGCGAAUCAACUCAUAUUUAUGUGAGGAAUUUUUUUGCGUCACUGAGUGCAUGUACUAAAUUGGUUCUAGUGUAUCACAUGGUGGUGCUUCUUUUGUCUAGGUGAUGAGAGGAAGCGCGGAAUUGAUGUGUUUUAUAGGCUGGUUGUUGCUAAUUGAAUUGAAAAAUCGUUGGCCGGUAAAAUCAUGAAUCAAAUUCAAAACUGAAUACCUCAUUCGAAUGGAAGAGUUUCAAAUUUAGGAAGCAUGGUGAAUUAAUUGGAAUGAGAGAACUCCUUGAGAAAUUGAAUGAAAUCGGAUGACCCAAUUCUAAAUUGGGGACCUCAAUUGAUUAUGAGCGCUUCAAAAUCAGUGAGCCUCGUGUAUUAAAAGAAUUGAAUGAGUGAACUCCUUAAGAAAUUUUUGACCCUAUCAAAAUCGUAUGACCCAAUUUUAUUGAUUGCGAGGCCUUAAAAGUUAGGGAACAUAGUCUAUAGUACUAGAAAGACUGGACGUGAUUUGCUGCAUCGUUGGUGUUGUUGGGUUGUUAAAUAAUUACCCAUUCUGUUUCAAAAUAUAAGAUGUAUAUUAUUACGUUUUUGAAAAAUCAAACCUUUUAAGUUUGAUCAAUUUUGUAGAGAAAUAUGUCAAAUCACAUAAUAUUUAAUCAGUGUGAUUAGAUUCAUCAUGAAAUGAUUUUCUAUUAAAAAAUAAUAUUGUGGAUGUUGAUAUUUUUUGCUCUCGUUGUUGGUGAAAUUUGACUUUUCGAAAAACUAAUACCCCUUAUAAUUUGAAAUUGAUGGAAUUUACUUUGGCCGAUGAAGGAGAUGAUGGACUGAGUUUUAUUUUUAUUUAUAAUGCGUUGAUGUGAUGACCUUUCAUGGUGUGAUUAUGUGUUAUCUCGUAACUGAUACGUCUUCAACGUAUCGGUUAUUUAUGAAGUAUUCAUGUCAUGUUUGUCUAUGUUUACAACACUUUUAUAUGGUUUAGAUGCACUUUAUAUGAUUUAUUUAGAACUAACCCGGACUGACGCUAUUUUCUGCAGAAUUAUCGUGGGUUUUUUUGUGUGUGUUGAAAAUGAAAGUUCUCGGAAUCACCCAAAACAUUUAUAUAUUUUUUCUGGAGGAAAUAAGCAACAUUGGAGCGAAGAACUACCGGAGGGGAGCCACCUGUGGGCUACAAGCCAACAGGCCCCCACCCCCUAGGUCGUGUUGUGAUGGCUUGUGGGACCACAUGGCUCCGUUUGGCGUGAUUCCAACACUGAAAAAUCCUAUAUAUACUAAAACCUCCAGAAAUAAAGAAAGACCUUCUGCUCGGCUGGCACAACUCUCACUACUAGGAAAAACCUUAUAGGCAUUAUGUUGCAUAUUAUCGUUCAAAUUAUGUUGCAUAUUAUCGUUCAAAUCAUGCCUCUUUGUUUUCUUAAGUACAUUAUGUUGCAUAUUAUCGUUCAAAUCAACAACUCACGAUGCAGGUACCUAGAUCAGAGAUGGCGAAGGACUACUACGCCGUGUACGUUGGGAGGGUUCCAAGAGUCUACGACCACUGGCCAGCCGCUCAGGCCCAGGUGCACAGGUACCCGGGUGCUAGCCACAGAGGGUUCGACACCAGAGCCGAAGCGGAAAGUAGUUACUUGAGGUGGGGUACUACAUAGCCGCGCUCUUCAUCAUGCUGAUUGCUCUUCACUUCUACAUCAUGUUGUAGAUAGAGAUGAUGAAACUUGUGGGUGUGUCAUGACCAUGCAGUUGUACUUAUUCGAGACAUGACAUGAUCGCACUUAUGUAUUGCUAUUUUUGAGAUGAUGUGAUGAUAUUUGUGUUGAAUGAUGAUGAUGAUGAUGGUAUGACGAGACUACUGUAUGUCUAUGAUAUGUGAGAAUAGUGUAUGUUUAAUAUGAUGUGAUGAAACUAUUGUAUAGAGCAUGUAUAAAUACACCACAAAUACGUAGAGGGUGCAAAUCUGUGAAAGCAGAAAUACUUACCAGUAGCGCUUAAAAAUACUUACCAGUAGCGCGGCUUAGCAGCAACGCGCCAUAUGAACAAGCGCUACAACUAUAGUUAUCAGUAGCGCUGGACAAGGAAGCGCUACUACUAACACUACUUACCAGUAGCGCUGCCCAUACCAGCGCUACUACUAGGGUUUAGCUGUAGCCGAUAGCAGUAGCGCUUGGCCCAGCGCUACUACUAUGCAUAUUUCAAGCGCUACUACUAGGGUUUUCCCUAGUAGUGUCUGUGUAUCGACGAGAAACCAAUCUGAAUAGAAAAAACAGUAGCGAAAACAGGAGAGAAAUAGAGAGAGGGGUCCAAUCUUGGAGGGGCUUUCGCCCCUCCGGGAGCCAUGGUGGCCAAGGACCAGAGGGGAGAACCUCUCCCCAUCUAGGGAAAGGCCAUGAAGGAGGAAGCCUAAGGGGGAGACACUCUCCCCUCUGUUCCUGCAGCGCUGGACUGCCUUUGGAGGAACCAUCCCCGUGGUGAUCGUCUUCAUUAACAUCACCGUCUACAUCACCUUUGCUCAUCUAUCUAUGGCGGUUCACUCUCCCACAUCCCAUUGUAAUCCCCUACUUGAACCUGGUAUUUCACGCCACAUAUUAUUAAUCAAUGAUGUGUUUCCAUCCUAUGAUGUUUGAGUAGAUUUAUGUUGUCCUUUGGGUUGAUUGAUUUUUGUGUAUGUUUUAUUUUGUGUUGUCCUAUGGUGCCCCUCGUGUAGCACGCACGUGAGGGAAUUCUUGUUGUAGGGUUUGCAAUAUGUUCAUGAUUCGCUUAUAGUGGGUGGCUAGUGUGACAUGAGAUUACAACCGAGUAAGGAAGUUGUUUGCCUACGGGAGUAAAGGAGACUUGAUGUUUAAUAUUAUGGUUGGGUUUACCUUCAUGAUCUCUAGUAGUUGUCGAUGCUUGCUAUAGAUCAAGUCAUAAGUUCAUAUGAUCCAAGUACGGAAAGUAUGUUAGCUCAUGCCUCUCCCUCAUAUAAAAUUGUAAAAAAGAUUAUCGAUCUUUGUUAUCUAUUGCCUAGGAUUAUUCCGCACUCCAUACCAUCAUUCUUCCACACUAACUAUUUGUAAUAUAUUCUAAGUUUAUUUAAUGGAACAACUAUUUUCAUAUUUUUGUUCCCCAAUAUCAUGCAAAGUUACCCUCUUUAUACCCAAAAACAUACUUUUAAAUAGCGAAGAUAGCAUCCGCUAUUGCGUCCGCAACAGCGCUAGCGCCAUAGCGACCGCUAUCACUAAAAUUAAAUGGCAUUAGCUUUUCUUCAUGUUCUAGUGAUAUAAACAAGAAUUUAGUGUUUUUACAAAUCUGUUGCGCAGACAAAGCACCUGCAGUCUCGCGUGCUAUCCUCAUUCCACCAUGCUUAACCCAAUCCGCUACGAGUCCGCUAUCCGCUAUUUAAAACCAUGCCCACAACGCAAUUUUAUUUCUUGUUACUAGAUAGAAGCAAACGUUCGGUGUAUGUAGGGUUUGGUAAAUAGGACUUGAGAUAAUAUUGAUCUUACCUUUAGCUCCUUGUGGGUUCGAUACUUCAUACUUAGAAAUUCCUUGUGUAGAAAAUGCUAUGAUGAUUUCUUGCACUUGGGGAUUAUCAGUAGCCAACAUAUAUUUAUACAGGAAAUUUUAUGUGUCGGCAACUGCAUUGGUAUGUUGAUGUUACAUUAUCACAUGAUGGUGUUUAUUUUUAUGGGUGGUGGGAGGGUGCAUGGAAUUGACAUGUUUUUUAGGCCAGUGGUGCUCACUGAUUUGAAAAUCGAUGGUCCGACGAUAUCGCAAACCGAAUACAAAAUUGAAUACCUCAAUUAAAUGAAAGAUGAUGAGGAUAUGGCUACCUUGGGUACGAUAAAUAAUAUUUUAUAUUUGCAUAUUUAUGUGGUGAUUUAUUAUAAUAAUUAUGUAAUAAUUUAUUUGUGUUAUCCGGAACAAAAAUACUUCACCUAUUUUUACUCCAUGCCUAAAUGUAGAAUUAUCGAACGUUUGCACGAACCACAUGUGAAGAUAAAGAAAGAGGAAAUAAUUAGGUGUUGUUAAAGAAGUCGUUUCACAUCAAAGGAAAUUAUUAUGUGUUGUUCAAGAAGUUCUCUCACAUUACUUUUGGGCCAAGAGAAGAUAAAGUUCAAGUCUCUGACGUUCUUGACUCAGAUUCGGACUGCACACACAUACGUGUCUCAAAACAUCAACAACUUUUUCAUACGGACUCUGAAUUGGGUGAUUCUUUUUUUUGUAAAUUACAUUUUAUGUGCGUUCCAUCCCAAUUAGAAUCGCCUUAAAAUUCUUUCGGACCGUGGAGAUGUCGACGAAACAAUCUGACGUUGCACGAGAAUUCGAGUCAAACUACAAGUCCAAAGGUGUCGCAUCACCUCCACUUGGGCCCAUAGGCCUUGUACGACCUAUGGUUAGUUUUAGGCUGCCUUGGGUUGUCCUCCCACCUCCAUGACCGCCACCCCUUGAUCCUAUAUAAGUAGAUCUACCUAGUAUCUUUUUUAUGGGGAUUUGUUUAGUUAAAUUUAAUGGUAUUUCCGCGGCAGAUGCCAGGAGUGGCUUAGAAUGUGGUUUGGGGUCGAUGGACGCCAGCGACGUCUAGGAACGGGUGAUGGAGCGAGACAUAUGACAUCGAUCUAUCCAGGUUCAGGGUCCUCCGAUGAGGUAAAAAUCCAUAGUCCUGCCGGUUUGACUAUAUGAGAUCACAAUACAAUGGUCCUCCUUGAGCUAUUCGUGAGGAGGGACACGAAGCUCUUGCUGCCUCGGUGGUAUGUGUCUAAGGGUUCGCUAGUUUUCUUCUCCCAUUCUCUUAGGGGAUUGGGGUUCGGAUUUAUAGUGUAGCCAAAUGUAUGCAAUAAUGGGUAGAAAUGGGGUGCGGGGCCCGACUUUCAGCCUCUCUACCUGGCUGUGAGGCUCGCCGGCUGUCGGAUCUUGUCUGGCGCGGGUCCCGUCGGACGUGUGCUGCGGCGAAUAAUGCACCGGCCGCCAGGGAGUUGGUAGGGGUAGGCCCUAGCGGCCACCUCGCUCGGUCAGCCUCGGGCGUAACCGGUGGUGCUGUAGCCACGCCGAGCCUUGCAUGAUGACGCGUGUAGCUGCGCCGGCACUGUCAACAUGCACUGUAGCCAUGUGCGCCCCUGCGCUGAGGGUAUGGUCUUGUUCAUCGUACCUCAAUAUGACCGGAUGGGAUUGGCGCUGACCCACUUGCUGCUGCCAGCCGACCCGUCGUGCGCUGGCCAAACGAGCCGUCUGUGGCCAUCCGGCCAAGGGCGCCCAGCCAAAAGGGUCAAACGCCAAUAUUCGGCCCGUCACACGGUGGCUAGGCGAGCCGCGUGUAUCCAGCCGCCUAGGGGGGCAGACGGCCCGAAUGUCAAGCAGAGGGAUUCCCUCUGCUUUGGUAUACCCAAGGGCCAUAACCCCGUUAGUAGCCCGCAAAACCGUUGGGGUCUGGAGGCCUCCAGGCGAGGGGCCAGUGGUUUAUCCCUCCCCUCCGCCUGAAGGUGUUAUCGAAGUUGAUACGCCCGCCGGAGCCGGCGAGCGGGGACGCGUGUCCCCAGCCGGCUGUGGUGGCAGCCGGUUGUGUCUUAGUCGAACAUUGCGGCGCCUCGGAGGGUCGGAGGUAGAUAAGAGGCCCACCACCACGCGCGCGAUGGGACAUCGCUACAUGCCCGACCUGGCACACCUCAGCCCACGCGCGGUAUCAUUUGUGGCCGUGGACCGACGGUUGUGGUUACCCACGCUGUUUAAUGCGCGUGGGGAUCAUGUGUUAGUGGGGGACGUGGGCGUAACCGAUCGCACGCCCCCACGUCUCCCCCGAGGCUUUAAAAGGGGGGAGACCCGUUUCGCCAUUGCCUCCCCUCGUCCCACCUUCAUUUUUCCCUUGCGAUGGUGCUCUCCGUCGUCGUCCUUACUACUCACGCCUGGAGCACUCGCCGCUGCCGCCACCCCUCCUCGCGGGCGGAGCGCACACCGCCAUCUUUCCUCCAUCCUUCGCAUGUAGUGCCUCCCUGUGGUCGAUCCUAUCGGGAGUUGCAUCUCUCGCCUCCUUUUCUCCGCUUCAUUGCCGGCGACCGACGAGAUGGUCGGACCACCCGCCGGCUCGUGGGAGGGCUCGAUCAUGACGGAUGAACACAUCGACUACCUCCAGCGGACGCGGAAACUCCCGCCCGCGGAGCUUGAUACGUGUCCAACGUAUCUACAAUUUACGAAGUAUUCAUGACAUGUUUACAAUAAUUCUAUAUGAUUUUGGUAUGAUUUCAUUAGAACUAACCCGGCUCAUGUUGUUUUCAGUAGAGCUACCGUGGUGUUGUUUCUGUGCAAAAAUAAAAGUUCUCAGAAUAGGCUGAAAAUUUACGGAGAAUAUUUUUGGAAAAUAUGAAUAAAAUGGAGCAAAAAGAUAUCAGAGAGGAGUCCCAAGGCAGUGAUAAGCCACCAGGCCCCCCCCCUAGGGCACUCCCCUCGCUUAUAAGCCCCUCGAGCACUCCCCUGACGUGAUUCCAACGCCAAAUAUUCUUAUAAAUACAGAAACCCUCGAAAAGAAACCAAGAUCAGGAAUUCCGCCGUCGCAAGCCUCCACAGCCACGAAAAACCAAUCUUGUCCCUCUCUGGCACCCUGCCGGAGGGUGUCACCAUGACCGGAGACCAUGGACGAGGAAGACGGAGGGGCCAUAAUCACGAUGGAGGCCAAGGACCAGAGGGAGAACCUAUCCCCGCCUUGGGGCGGCCAUGGAGGAGUAGGCACAAGGGGGAGACCCUCUCCCCCUCUAUCAGGGUGGUCCCGGAGUGCCACCAGGACAACAAUCGCCGCAGUGAUCGUCUUCAUCAACAUCACCUUCUUCAUCACCAUCCUCAUGUUCUUUUAGCGGUCCACCCUCCCGCACCCCGUUGUAAUCUCCUACUUGAACAUGGUGCUUUAUGCCACAUAUUAUGAUCCAAUGAUGUGUUUCCGUCCUAUGAUGUUUUAAGUAGAUUCCCUUUGUCUCAUGGGCCGAUUGAUGAUCUAGAUUGGUUUGAGUUGCCUGCUUUAUUAUUGGUGAUGUCCUAUGGUGCUCUCCAUGUCGCGCAAGCGUGAAGGAUUCCCGUUGUACGGUGUUGCAAUACGUUCAUGAUUCACUUAUAGUGGGUUCUUGAGUGACAGAAGCAUAAACCCGAGUAGAUGGGUUAUUGCGUAUGGGAUAAAGGGGACUUGAUGCUUUAAUGAUAUGGUUGGGUUUUACAUUAAUGAUCUUUAGUACGAUUGCUUGCUAGAGUUCCAAUCAUAAGUGCAUAUGAUUCAAGUAGAUAAAACAUGUUAGCUUAUGCUUCUCCCUCAUAUAAAAUCGCAAUAAUAAUUAUCGAUCUUGUUAACAAUUGCCUCAGACAAUUCCGCACACCGACCCAUCCUCAUUCCACACUCACUAUUUGUAAUAUAUUCUAACUAUACGAUAACAGCACCUAUUUUUAUAUUUUAGUUCUUCGAUGUCAUGCAAAGUUAUUCUCUUCAUACCCACAAUGUAUUUUUAUUUCUCGUUCCUAGUUGGAAGCAAAUGUUUGGCAUACGUAGAGUUGUAUCAGUGGCAGAUAGGACUUGAGAGAAUAUUUCUCUUACCUUUAUCUCCUUGUGGGUUCGACACUCCAUACUUAUCACUUCCACCUUUGAAAAUUGCUACGAUGAUUCCUUGCACUUGGGGAUUAUUAAGCUCUUUUCUGGCGCCGUUGCCGGGGAGCAAUAGCGUGGGGUUGAUAUUCUUGUGUGUGCUUGUUUUCUUUCUUCACUAAGUAGGUUUUGUUUUCCAUUUUUUCUUUGUUUAGUUGUGGAUUAAAUAAAAAAUUACUUGCCUCUUAUAACUAAGAAUUUUUCAAAAAGAGAAGUGAUUGGAAGGUUGUGCAUUGGAGAAGUGACGGUCGACCUUGAGCACUUGUGUUCAUGAUCAUGGAAGCAAUGUAGAAUUUUUCAUGGAAGUUUAUCAAAAAUAAUUAUGCCCUUGUAUAUAUCCAUUGUAUUAUAAAAUAAUGUGCCAAGAUUUUCCUUUAGGAUGAUUGGAUUGCUUGUUUGGUGUGUUCAGUGCAAAAACAGAAAUUUUGGCUGUACUGCGUGAAUUUACGUUUUUUACUAGAAGGUCGCAAGUUUCUGAAUUUUUUACACAGUACUCCUAUGCAAAAAAAUUAUUUAUUCCUAAUUAUUCAGAAUUUUUUUAGUUACAUAAGUAUACGAAGUUUCCAGAUUGCUAAAAACUAUCUUGUUUUUGAUAGGUUCUGUAUUCUAUGCAUUGUUCUCUUAUUUUGAUGAAUCUAUGGGUAGUACCAGGGGGUACGAACCAUGGUGAAGUUGGACUACAGUAGAUAUAAUGUUAAUAUGAAUUUGGAAUGAGUUCACAAUAGUACUUAAGUAGUAUUUUUCUUUAUUAUACUAACGGAUCUCGCGAGGGUUUUGUUAAGUUUUGUGUGAAUGAAGUGUUCAAAGAUCGAGGAUGUAUCGAUAAAAGAAGAAUAUAGAGAGACAAUAGUUCAAGCUUGGGGAUGCCCAAGGCACCCCAAGUAAAUAUUUCAAGGAUUUUCAAGAAUAUAAGCUUGCGGAUGCCCCGGAAGGCAUCCCAUCUUUAUUCUUCAACAAUUAUCGGUAUACCUUGGUUUUUGUUUUGUUCACAUAAUAUGCUUCUUUAGUGUUUUUGUUCUCUUUUUAUGGACACUUCUAGUAUGAGAUAGUCCUUCAUUGAUUUAUAAAAUUCUUCAUGCUCUUCACUUAAAUAUUUUGAGUAUUUCUUUGUGGAAUGCUCUUUGUGUUUCACUUAAAUCGUUUGAGUAUGGCUCUGUAGAAUGCUCUUCGUACUUCACUUAAAUCUUUUGAGUAUAGCCUUAUAGAAUGCUUCGUGUGGUUCACUUAUAUAUUUUGAGCUUGGAUAUUGGUUGAUAUAUAUUAAUUGUAUAAUUCCCUAUGAACUUCACUUAUAUCUUUUAGAGUAUGAAUAAAAUCAUCAUCGGAAUUAGGCUUGGAAGGGAAUCAUUGAAAUAACCAUGCCUAACUAAAAGGCAUUAAAGAAAAGCGCUUGUUGGAAGACAACCCAACACUUUUACCUUCUGUUUUAAUGAGUUCACAAGAUUAAGCUACUGUAUUAAUCAUGUUUUGUGUCUUUUGUUGCUAUAAACUGCCAAGUAAAGCCUUUGGGAUGACUCACAAGAUGACUAGAAUUGAUGUUGAACCAAAACAGAAACUUUUGACUCCGGUACAGGAAUUUUUAUUUUUUACCGGAGCAUGAUAAUGAUCUUAAAUUUUUACAAAUUCUUUAUAUAUAAAUUAUUCUGGUUGUCCUAAUUUUUUCAGAAUUUUUAGAGACAGGUACGUAUGGCUAUACUACAGAUCUUCACAGACUGUUCUGUUUUUGACAGAUUCUAUUUUGCAUGCAUAGUAUGGUUAUUUUAGUGUUCCCAUAGCUUAUAUUCAGUAAUAUAAAUUAUGGUAAUGAUAGAAUAAAGUAGGUAUCAUGUGGUAACAAUUAUGAAUCUUGUCUUGACAGUACCUAAGUGAAUGAUCUAUCUUUUUUACACUAACCCUUCUCACGAAGUUCCGUUAAGUUUUGUGUGAUUGAAGUUUUCAAGUUUUGGGUGAGACACCGAUAUGAGGAGAACAAGGAGUGACAAGAACCUAAGAUUAGGGAUUCCCAAGGAACCCCCAAGGUAAUAUCCAUGGAAUACUCAAGUGCCUAAGCUUGAGGAUGCCCCGAAAGCAUCCCCUCUUUCGUCUCCAACGCUAUCGGUAAUCUUACUUAGAGCUAUAUUUUUAUUCAUCACAUAAUAUGAGUUUUUAUUGGAGCAUCAUUUUAUUUUGUUGAUUUAUGUUAGGUGCUAUAUAUAAAAAAAAUCAAUAAAAAAGUUUCAAGAAUUGCAUUAGGAUGCUUGCAUUGCAUGGUUUGAUGUGUGUUAUGUAAAAACAAAAACUCUUUAUGUAGUUUUUGAAUUUGCAUAUUUUACUAGAACAUGGAAAGUUUAUGAAAUUUUUACACAGUGUUAUCAUACAAAGUUUAUAGCAUGUCCUAAAUGUUCAUAAUUUUUUGAGUUACACAAGUACAAUGUUUUCAUAUAUUGCUACACACUGUUCUGUUUGGACAAAUUGUUGUUAUAGUUUUGUUAUCUACUUAUCCUAUAGUUUCCAUAGCCUAUAUUGGUAGAUAUAAAUUGUGGAAAUGAUAGUAAACAGUAGAUGAUGUUUGAAAAUUAUUAUACAACUUGUCUUGGCAGUAAAUGAAGAGUUGAUUUAUUAUUGUGUGGACUAACCUAUCUCACGAGUUCUUUUCGAGUUUUGUGUGGAUGAAGUUUUUGAGAAUAGGUGAAACCAUGAUAUGAGAGGAUUGAACGAGAUACGAAAGCUCAAUCUUGCGGAUGCACAAGGCACCCCAAGUAAAUAUUUCAAGGACUCUCAAGCAUCUAAUCUUGGGUAUGCUACGCAUCCCACCUCUCUUCGUCAACUAUCGGUUAGCCUAUGUUGAGCCUAAAUUUUUAUUCGUUCACAUGACACAUCCUAUUCUUGGAGUGUUAUUUUUCUUUUGCUUGAUGUUUAAAUAAAAUACUCAGAUCUGAAAAUCUUUAUUGAGGGAGAGGGUGAAAGUCCUCACAUAGCUACUUAAUUGUUUGACUACUCAUUCAUCUUCACUUAUAUGUUUUGGAGUAGUUUUGUCAUUUACUCUCGUGCUUCACGUAUAUCCUCUAAGUAAAUAGUUGAGUGAAUUGAAUAUCGUAAAUCUGAAAUUAUAUAUAUUUUAAAUUAUAGGUGGUAAAAUUUAUUGAACGUUAGCAAACAAUGCAUUGGCCACUUGAUCAAUUCAUGAAAUAAUAUUGAAGGAAGAGAGAGUCCACAUAUAAAUAUACUAUCUUGGACAUCUUCUAUGAUUGCGAGCCCCAUUAAUUAUUUUCAAAAUUCAUCAAAUUAGUUGAUGUUCGGCAAGGAAGACAACUUAAUGAGUUAUGUUUGGGUAUAUUUGCAUAGAAAUUAUAUUGUUAUGGAUCCUCCAACAUGUGGUGCUUGUUUAGAACCUUUUGCUAGCCAACACUGCGUACUAAGUAUAGAUACUACUUGUGCAUCCAAAAAUCCUUAAACCUAGUUUCUUGCCAAGAGAGUCCACUAUAUCGACCUAUAUGCCGUAUUUACCUGCCGUUCCAAGUAAAUUUGCAUGUGCCAAACUCUAAACCUUCAAAUAAUAUUAUGUUCUGUAUGCCCGAAUCGCUCAUGUAGUGACUAGGGGUUGUGAGUAUCUUCCAUGCUAGGUGGGUUAUUCUCAAGAUAUGUGUUGAUUCACUAUCAUUCACGAGAAAGUGGCUGGUAUUCGGGAUGCUGAGUUCCAUGCUCAAAAAUCAAAUCAAAAUAUAAGGAAACAAAACUCCCCCAAGAUUGUUGUUUGUAUGGUUGGUACCCGUGGAUUCGGCUCACUAUGGAGUGUGAUUGAUUUGUGAAGGGGGAGUAAAAACUUUACCAUUCUGUUUGGGAACCUCCUAUAAUGUAUCUAGCAUGGCAGAUACCAAUAUCUCUUGGUUGUUAUGUUGACAAUGAAAGCAUACUUCUGAAAAUUAUUAUUCAUCUCUAUUUUAAAAACUCGAGCUCUGGCACAUAUGCAAAUCACUACUUCCCUCUGCGAAGGGUCAAUCUAUUUACUUUCAUGUUAUUUACUAUUCUUGUUGAGUUAACUUAGUUUUCCAACCUCAAAGUAUUAGUUGGCAAGCAUCAUGUGGUGGGGAAAGAUCCACACAUAUAUAUGCGAACAAAUAUAUUUGAUCAUGAAUUAUAAUUGUUGACAAUUAUAAAUAUGAUAAAUAAGUUGUGAGGCGAAACUUUAAGCCCCUAUCUUUCUCCUUGUUAGAUGGAUGUUAUUUGUUCUAAAAAUAUGCUUUGAAUGUCAAUAAUCAUGGAAUCCUUCCUAAAAAUAAGAUGAAUUGCAAUUAUUCGAUGACUGAAAGCAUAGUUUGUUAGUUUUCAAGAAACUUUAUGGUCUACACUUUAACACGUGAAUAGCUUGUUACUUCAUCAUGAUAAGUUUUAUGAUAUGAGCUACUGUUUAUGAUAUAUAAUGAUGCUAGAAAAAGUGUUUGGAACUAUCAUUGAUCAAAUUUAUACACUAUGCUAGCAUUCACACUUCCUAAAUUAUUUCUUUCAUCAUUUACCUACUCGAGGACGAGCAGGAAUUAAGCUGGGGGGUGCUGAUACGUUUCCCAUGUAUCUAUAAUUUAUGAAGUAUUCAUGCCAUGUUUACAAUAAUUCUGUAUGAUUUUCGGUUGAUUUUAUUAGAACUAACCCGGACUAAUGAUGUGUUCAGCACACUAUCACGGUAUUGUUUUUGUGGAGAAAUAAAAGUUCUCGGAAUGUGCUGAAAAUUUACGGAGAAUAUUUUUGGAAAAUAUGAAAAGUAAUGGAGCAAAAAUAUGCUGGAGAGGAGUCCUGAGGCAGCCACCAGGGCGGCCCCGUAGGGUGCGCCCCCUGGCUUGUGGGUCCCUCGAGCACUCCCCUGGCGUGAUUCCAAUGCCAAAUAUUCUUAUAAAUAUAGAGGCCCCCAAAAAGAAACCUAGAUCGGGAGGUCUACCGCUGCAAGCCUAUAGAACCACGAAAAAACAAUCAGGCCCUCUCCGGCACCCUGCUGGAGGGGGUCACCAUCACCGGAGAACAUGGAGGAGGAAGACGGAGGGGCCAUCAUCACCAUGGAGGCGACGAACGAGAGGGAGAACCUCUCCUCACCUUGGGGGCCAUGGAGGAGGAGGCACAAGGCGGAGACCCUCUCCCCCUCUCUCCCGGUAGUGCCGGAGUGCCACAGAGGGAACCAUCGCCGAGGUGAUCGUCUUCAUCAACAUCACCUUCUUCAUCACCAUCCUCAUCUUCUUUUAGCAGUCCACUCUCCUGCACCCCGCUGUAAUACCCUACUUGAACAUGGUGCUUUAUGCCACAUAUUAUGAUCCAAGGAGGUGUUGCCAUCCUAUGAUGUUUUGAGUAGAUUCCCUUUGUCUUAUGGGUUAAUUGAUGAUCUAGAUUGUCUUGAGUUGCAUGCUUUAUUAUUGGUGUUAUCGUAUGGUGCUCUACGUGUCGUGCAAGCGUGAGGGAUUCCUAUUGUAUGGUGUUGCAAUACGUUCAUGAUUCGCUUAUAGUGGGUUGCUUGAGUGACACAAGCAUAAACCAGAGUAGGUGGGUUGUUGCGUAUGGGAUAAAGGGGACUUGAUGCUUUAAUGCUAUGGUAGUUAGCUUAUGCUUCUCCCUUACAUAAAAUUGCAAUAAUGCUUAACAAUCUUGUUAACAAUUGCCUAGGACAAUUCCGUACACCGACCCAUCAUCAUUCCACACUCGCUAUUUGCAAUAUAUUGUAAUAGAUUCUAACUAUAUAAUAACAUCACUUAUUUUCAUAUUUUAGUUCUCUGAUGUCAUGCAAAGCUAUUCUCUUCAUACCCACAACGUAGUUUUAUUUCUCUUUCCUAGUUGGAAGCAAACGUUCGGCGUACGUAGAGUUGUAUCAGUGGCAGAUAGGACUUGGGAGAAUAUUGCUCUUACCUUUAGCUCCUUGUGGGUUCGACACUCCAUACUUAUCAAUUCCACCUUUGGAAAUUGCUAUGAUGAUUCCUUGCACUUGGGAAUUAUAAGAGCUUCUCGAGGCCUGCGCGCUCGGCGGCGAGCAAGUGCCGGAGCCUCGAGUCGGCGAGCGUAUCGUCUUCGGCACACACUUCCUCGUCGGCUUUGGGCUUCCGGGGAGCUGCUUCUUGUGGAAUUUUCUUGAGGUCUAUGGGAUCCAGAUGCAUCAUAUGGGGCCUAACUCCGUUCCGUACCUCGCGUGCUUCGCAUUGCUAUGCAAGGCAUAUAUGGACUUCUGGCCCUUUCCCUCCUUCUUCCGCCACUUCUUCCAUUUAUGUGCCCACGCGCACGAUAGUGUGUCGUACUCCUGUGGUGGCGCGGUGGUGUACAAGAAGCGCGGCAGGCCGUUUCCGCAGAUGAAGUGGAAGGAGUCCUUCAAGAAAUGGCAGCACACCUUCUUCUACGUCCGCAACAUCGGCCUGGGGCGGGACUGGUUAACCUCCCGCCCUUUGCUGACGAGCCAACGACUGGGGAGAACUAAAAUCUCGAGUUGUGCAAUGACUUGCUGGUGUCGAUUGGCGGCCAGCUGCAGGAGCUCAUGGGCUCCCUAGGGCUGGUGGCCCCGGACCUGGUGGCGGCCUUUGUCUCUCGCCGAGUGCUGCCUCUGCAGGCACGGCCGCACCGGAUGUGCGACAUGAGCAUCCGCAAGGAACCGUGCUGGCUGUUAGUGGUGGACCUGCCGUUGAGCAAGGUUGCCGCCAGGGUGAACAGAAUCACCGACUUCCAUCGUGGCAACCAUGGACCGCUGGUAAGAUUUCGUCCAACUGAGGUCAUCCCCUUUUUUCCUUUCCCGUAGUAUGUGACACAUGGUCAUGUAUUUCCUCAGCUUUUUGUUCGGCAGAACACAUCAAACGGACCGAAUCCGGAGCGCUUUUCCCCAUAUUAGGAUGAAUCCGACGCCGAGGACUACGAAUUGAACGGGGACGGUCCUGAAGGCCCUGAAGAUUUGUACGCGACGGAGGCGGCGGAGGAUGAUGAUGGUGUUGAGGAGGACGAGGAGGAGGCGGCCGGUGCCGUGGCUGGCAAGGUGGGGACGUCAAGUACUAAUGACCCACAAGUGUAGGGGAUCUAUCAUAGUCCUUUCAAAAAGUAAGAGUGUCGAACCCAACAAGGAGCGGAAGGAUCUGACGAGUGGUUUUCAGCAAGGUAAUAUCUGCAAGAACUGAAAUUAUCGGUAACAAGUAGUUGUGUGGUGAGAUGAUUCGUAGGAAGUAGCAAGUAAGAAAAGUAACAACGGUGCAGCAAAGUGGCCCAAUCCCUUUUGUAGCAAGGGACAAGCCUGGACAAACUCUUAUAGGAGGUAAAACGCUCCCGAGGACACAUGGGAAUUUCUGUCAAGCUAGUUUUCAUCAUGUUCAUAUGAUUCGCGUUCGCUACUUUGAUAGUUUGAUAUGUGGGUGGACCGGCGCUUGGGUACUUCCCUUACUUGGACAAGCACCCCACUUAUGAUUAACCCCUCUCGCAAGAAUCCGCAACUACGAAAGAAGAAUUAAGACAAAGUCUAACCAUUGCAUUAAACUAGUGGAUCCAAAUCAGCCCCUUACGAAGCAACGCAUAAACUAGGGUUUAAGCUUCUGUCACUCUAGCAACCCAUCAUCUACUUACUACUUCCCAAUGCCUUCCUCUAGGACCAAAUAAUGGUGAAGUGUUAGGUAGUCGACGUUCACAUAACACCACUAGAGGAAAAACAACAUACAACACAUCAAAUUAUCGAACGAAUACCAAAUUCACAUGACUACUUAUAGCAAGACUUAUCACAUGUCCUCAGGAACAAAAGUAACUACUCACGAAGCAUAAUCAUAUUCAUGCCCAGGGAGGUAAUGAGUAGCAUCAAAGAUCUGAACAUAUAAUCUUCCACAAAGUAAUCCAACUAGCAUCAACUACAAAGAGUAAUUAACACUACUAGCAACCUUACAAGUACCAAUCGGAGUCGCGAGACGGAGAUUGGUUACAAGAGAUGAACUAGGGUUUGGAGAUGAGAUGGUGCUGAUGAUGAUGUUGAUGGUGACGAGUCCCCUCCGAUGAGAGGAGUGUUGGUGAUGACGAUGGCGACGAUUUCCCCCUCCGGGAGGGAAGUUUCCUCGGCAGGAUCGGCCUGCCGGAGCUCUAGAUUGGUUCUGCUCACGUUCCUCCUCAUGGCGGCGUUGAACCCUCCGAAAAGCCUCUUGUUGAUUUUUUUUUCUGGAACAAAACCAUUCUUGUAGCAAAAUGGGUGAGCCAGAGGGCUAAGUGGGAGCCCACAAGCCCCCUAGGCGCGGCCAGGGGGAGGUCGCGCCUAGCGGGCUUGUGGCCUCCUGCUGGCGCCCCUCUGGUACUUCUUCGGCCUAGUAUUUUUAAUAAAUCCCAAAAAAAUCCACGUUGAUUUUCAUGACUUUUGGAGUUGUGCAGAAGAGGUAUCUCAAACUUGCUCCUUUUUCAGGCCAGAAUUCCAGCUGCCGGCAUUCUCCCUCUUCAUGUAAACCUUGCAAAAUAAGAGAUAAAAGGCAUAAGUAUUGUACCUUGAAGUGUAAUAACAGACCAAAAAGCGAUAAAUAUAAACAUGAAAGCAUGAUGCAAAAUGGACAUAUCAACUCUCCCAAGCUUAGACCUCGCUUGUCCUCAAGCGAAAGCCGAGAUCAAUAAAUAUGCCCACAUGUUUAGAGAGAGAGGUGUCGACAAAACAAGAUACGGACAUGCAGGCAUCAUGAUCAUAAUCAGAAUAGCAAUACCAACAUAUAAUCUCUCAUGCUAAAGUGAUAAUUCCUUCACAAAGUAAAGCAUGGAUCAAGAACCUUACCGAGAAUUAACAACCGAUAGCCUUUAGUCAUUGAAGCAAUUGCAAUUUAUCACAAUAUCAGAAAGAGUCAAAUAAGAGCUUGUAAAGCAAAUCCAAAUACUCAAUCAUCCUUUCGUUCUCUACAAUUUCUACAACUCACGUGGUACUCAUGAGAUCAAAGUUUCAGCUGGACACAAAGAAAGAUAGGGAUUUAUAGUUUCGCCUCCCAACCAUUUACCUCAAGGGUAAUGUCAACAAUAAUAAUUCAUGAAUACUUACUUCCAAGUUGACAUAUGAAUAUAGAUCUUUCCCAAGCAUAUGACAUUAGCCAAGAUAAAGGCGAAACAAGGAAUUGGUGAAGAUCACCAUGACUCUUUCACGGGAAAAAUUAAAGGUACAAGAUAGGCCCUUUGCAGGGGGAAGCAGAGGUUGUCAUGUGCUUUUGAGGUUUGGAUGUGUGUCCUCUUAGUGUGGAGGAACGUCACUUUAUAUUGCCUCCUGUGAUAAAGAACUUUAUUAUGCAUUCCGUCGCUUUUAUCUAUUCCUCAUCACAGGUUCGUACAAAGCUUAUUUUCCAUGCACUAAUAGAUCAUACAUAUUAGGGGGGCAAUUUUUAUUGCUUGCAUCGAUGACAACUUACUUGAAGGAUCUUAUUCAAUCCAUAGGUAGGUAUGGUGGACUCUCAUGGAAAAACUGGGUCGAAGGUUUAUGGAUGCACAAGUAGUAUCUCUACUUGGUGCGAGUGUUUUGGCUAAUACGAGGUGGAAGCAAUCUUCACAUGCCAAGGGAUCUCUAGUCAUAUAACAUUGUUCGGAACCAAGCAAACACAAUUCAUUAUGUUGUCUUCCUUGUCCAACAUCCACUUCUAAGCAUGUAAUAGUGUAGUGAGUGUUCACAAUCAUAGAUGGUGUCAAAGAUGAUAUAUUUAUAUGUGAACCUCUCCUUCUUUAUCACUUCCUAUUAAUUGCAACAAUGACCAAGGUCUACGUUUGUCUAUCCUCAACAAGUUUCAAUCAACAUUGUUUUCAUAUGUGAAGCCAUCACUUCCCAUAAGAUCAUUACAUGAUCUUUCAUGCUUUUGUUCUUUUCUCAUUCUCUUGAUCAUGGCAUGAGGCAACGCCCUUAACUAAGACACUCUUUAUUAUAUGGCUCACGAGCUCGAAUACAUCGGGGGUGGCACAAAUAAAAACUCAAGCCUAAAACACUAAGACCUUUAAUCUACUAGAGAAAGAGAAAACUGAAAAGGAACAAACUAAAACAAAGGUAAAGGAAAAAGAUGUGAUGGUGAUACGAUAGCGGGGCAACUCCCCCAAGCUUGGCACAAGCCAAGGGGAUUGCCCAUACCCAUGCUUAGUUGUCUUCCUUUGGAGGUGAUGGUGAUGGAGUUGUUGCAGAGGUCUUGAACUUGUUUAAUUUCCACUUGAGCGUAAAAUUCUGCUCCCUCAGAUCAUCAAUUUCCUCUUCAAGCCUCAACAACCUUUUGCAUAAUUCCUGCUUACUCUCCUGCAAGAAAUGAGAAGGGAUAAACAAUGUUUUAGGCUUCUUCCUUGAGUCAGGGAGGCUCGAUUUCUUGAACUCCACAUGCGUGUGUCCAAGUUGAGGUAGAGGAGCCUCCUCCUCAUCGGAACUUGUUCGUUCCUUCCCCUUGGGAUCAUAAUCUUCUUCCUCAUAAGUGGUCCACCGAUAAGGAUACAAGUCCCCAUAGACCUUGGGGUUGGCAAGGUAAUCGGCCACAUAGCUCUCCCCCUCUAAAUCUUGAGAAGACAUCUUGCCCUAAAUCUGCGCCAGAAAAUAGGCUCGAAACGAAAACAGAGGAAAAUUGCAUGAUACGAGGGUCAGACCUUUCGAGAGAAUAUAUAAUGAUUUUUUUCUGACCAGAAGGAGUACUCCGCAAGAAAACGGAGUCCGGGAGGCACACGAGGUGGCCACAAGCCUCCCAGGCCCGGCCAGGGGGGUGGCUCGCGCCUGGCAGGCUUGUCUCCUCCUCGUUCUUUUUCCGGGCUGCUUUAAAUUUUUCUAUUUUUUCAAAAAUUCCAAAACGGAGAAAAAAUCCUACUGGAAAAGUUUUGGAGUCUAUUUACUUACCGAAUCACAUACCUCUUCGUUUUCGGAGUCUGAAAGAGGCUGAUAAAUAUCCGUUAGGUACUCCUCCUUAGUUAUGGUAUUCAUAAUAUUGCUUUCAACAUUUAUGGGAGUACCUGAGAUAUAAUGCUUGAUUCUCUGCCCAUUUACAACUCUCGGACAAUUAUCUUCCGUGUUGUUGAUCUUGAUAGCACCGGAACGAUAUAGUUCCUCAAAAAUGUAAGAAUCUUCCCAUUUAGAGAGAAGCUUCCCUGCAAAAAAUCUUAAACGAGAAUUAUAUUGCAAGACAUAAUCACCUACAUUUAACUCACGCUUUUUUAUCCUUUUAUCAUGCCACCUCUUAACCUUUUCUUUGAACAACUAGGCAUUUUCAUAUGCCUGAGUUCUCCACUCAUCAAGCAAGCUAAUAUCAAAUAACCUCUUCUCACCAGCAAGUUUGAAAUCAAAGUUAAGCUCUUUGAUUUCCCAAUAAGCUUUAUGCUCUAGCUCAAGAGGUAAAUGACAUGCUUUACCGUAUACCAUUUUGUACGGAGACAUGCCCAUGGGAUUCUUAUAGGCAGUUCUAUAAGCCCACAGUGCAUCAUCGAGCUUCUUAGACCAAUUCUUUCUAGACCUGUUGACAGUCUUUUGCAGAAUUAGUUUAAUAUCUCUAUUUCUUAGCUCUACCUGACCAUUGGACUGAGGGUGAUAGGGAGACGCAAUUAUAUGGUUAACAUCGUACUUAGAAAGCAUUUUACGGAAAGCACCAUGAAUGAAAUGUGAACCACCGUCGGUCAAUAGAUAUCUAGGGACUCCAAAUCUAGGGAAAACAACUUCUUUAAGCAUCCUGAUAGAGGUGUUGUGAUCAGCACUACUAGUGGGGAUAGCUUCUACCCACUUAGUGACGUGAUCAACAGCAACUAGGAUAUGAGUAUACCCGUUGGAUUUUGGAAGAGGUCCCAUAUAAUCAAAGCCCCAAACAUCAAAUGGUUCAAUGAAAAGUGAAUAAUUCAUAGGCAUUUCCUGACGUUUACCAAUAUUACCUAUUCUUUGACAUUCGUCACAAGACAAGACAAACUUACGGGCAUCCUUGAAGUGAGUGGGCCAAUAGAAACCUUAUUGCAAUACCUUGUGCGCAGUUCUAUCUCCCGCAUGGUGUCCUCCGUAGGCCUCGGAGUGACACUUCUGUAGCAUCUGUCCCUGUUCAUGUUCAAGUACACAACGUCUAAUAAGACCAUCUACUCCUUCCUUAUAAAGGUGAGGAGCAUCCCAAAAGUAAUGUCUCAAGUCAAAGAAGAAUUUCUUCUUUUGCUGGUAUGUGAAACUAGGUGGUAUAUAUUUGGCAACGAUAUAGUUUGCAUAAUUAGCAUACCAAGGUUCACUAGGUGAAGUAUUGAUGACAUUCAAUUGCUCAUCAGGAAAGCUAUCAGGUUGUGGGUCAUCAAGAACAUUCUCCAACCUAGACAAGUUAUCUGCUACUGGGUUAUCAGCACCCUUCCUAUCGACAACAUGCAAAUCAAAUUCUUGUAGCAAGAGAACCCAUCUGAUAAGUCUAGGUUUAGCGUCUUUCUUCUCCAUUAGGUACUUAAUAGCAAGAUGAUCAGUAUGAAUGGUGACUUUGGAAUCAACUAUGUAAGACCUGAACUUUUCACAUGCAAACACGACUGCUAAAAAUUCAUUUUCUGUAGUAGCAUAGUUUCUUUGGGCAUUGUCUAGAGUUUUACUAGCAUAGUGAAUAACAUUCAACUUCUUAUCAACUCUUUGCCAUAGAAUAGCACCAAUAGCAUAAUCACUAGCAUCACACAUGAUUUCAAAAGGUAAGUUCCAAUCAGGUGGUUGAACAAUAGGCGCAGUUAUCAAGGCCUUCUUAAGUAUUUCGAAGGGUUCCUCACAAUCAUCGUCGAAAACAAAAGGAAUAUCCUUUUGCAAGAGAUUGGUAAGAGGCCUAGAAAUGUUAGAGAAGUCUUUAAUGAACCUUCUAUAGAAACCAGCAUGACCAAGGAACCUUCUAUAGAAACCAGCAUCACCAUCCUAUAGCCAGUAAUAAUCCUCUGUGGGAUCAAUUCAUCCUUAUCAUUAGGGACAACGGUAAUGCCUCCCUUCUUAGCGACGGAAUGCACCAUACUAACCCAAUCACUAUGAGCAACAUGAUAGAUAAUACCUUCUUCCAGGAGCUUUAGUAUUUCUUUUCUUACUACCUCUUUCAUCUUAGGAUUUAAUCUCAUUUGAUGAUUAGCAACUGGUUUGGAAUCAGGAUCGGUUUUAAUCUUGUGCUGGCAUAGAGUGGGACUAAUGCCCUUAAGAUCAUCAAGAGUAUAUCCAAUAGCAGCACGGUGCUUCCUUAGAGUUUUUAGUAACUUCUUUUCUUCAUGCUCUGAGAGGCUAGCACUAAUUAUAACAGGAUAUAUCUCUUUUUCAUCAAGAUAAGCAUACUUAAGAGUAUCAGACAACUGUUUAAGCUCGAACACAGGAUCACCCUUUGGUGGGGGUGGAUCUCCAAGCAGUUCAACAGGCAAGUUAUUCUUAAGGAUAGGAUAUUGUUCUAAGACAACUCUAUCUAUCUCAUCCCUUUCAUCCAUAUGCAUAUCAUUUUCAUGCUCAAGCAAGUAUUGCUCUAAGGGAUCCGUAGGAGGCACGACAAUCGAAGCUAGGGAAAUAAUUUCAUCCUUACUAGGCAACUCUUUUUCAUGAGGUUGUCUACUAAACUUGGAGAAAUUGAACUCAUGUGACACACCUUCAAAGCCAACAGUGACAGUUUGCUUCUCAUAGUCAAUAUGAGCAUUGACGGUAUUGAGGAAGGGUCUGCCAAAUAUGAUGGGACAAAGGCUAUCUUGUGUGGUAGCAAAAACGAGGAAAUGAGGAGGAUACUUCGUUUUACCACACAAGACUUCAACAUCCCUAAUAAUUUCCACAGGGCAGAUAGUAUCUCUAUUGGCAAGCUGAAUAGUGACAUCAAUGGGUUCUAUCUCGACAGGUGCAAUCUCGUCUUUAAUUUCAUCAUAUAGGGAUUGAGGUAUUGCACUAACACUAGCACCCACAUCACAUAAACCAUGAUAACAAUGAUCUCCUAUCUUAACAGAAACAACAGGCGUGCCAACAACAGGCCUAUGUUUGUCUCUAGCAUGGGGUUUAGCAAUUCUUGCAGCAUCUUGAUACGUCUCCAACGUAUCUAUUUUUUUUUAUGGUUUCAUGCUAUUAUCUUGUCAAACUUUGGAUGUUUUGCAUGCCUUUUAUAUAUUUUUUGGGACUAACUUAUUAACUCGGUGCCAAGUGCCAGUUCUUGUUUUUUCCAUGUAUUUGACCGCUUUCAGAGGAGAUUUUGAAACGGAGUCCAAACGGAAGAAAAUCCCCGAAAAGAUUUUUUCUGAAACCGAAGAAGAUCAGGAAGCUUGAGAGCCAAGGCAGGGGGGCCCAGGGGCCCCACAAGCCCUCACCCCGCGACCAGGGGAAAGGUCGUGGCCCACAGGCUUGUGGGCCCCCUGGACGCCCUCUGCCCUAGGGUUUGCACCUAUAUAUCCCCAAAAGUUCCACAAAAAAUCAAGAGAUCAUCGAAAGUACUUUUCCGCCGCCGCAAGCUUCUGUCUCCGCAAGAUCCCAUCUGGGGCACGUUCCGGUGCCCUGUCGGAGGGGGGAUUCAGAUAUGGAGGGCUUCUUCAUCAACACCAUGACCUCUCCGAUGAUGCGUGAGUAGCUCACCAUAGACCUCCGAGUCCAUAGCUAGUAACUAGAUGGCUUCUUCUCUCUCUUGGAUCUUCUAUACAAAGUUCUCCAUGAUCUUCAUGGAGAUCUAUCCGAUGCAAUCUUAUUUUGCGGUGUGUUUGUCGAGAUCCGAUGAAUUGUGGAUUUAUGAUCAGAUUAUCUAUGAAUCUUAUUUGAGUUUCUUCUGAUCUCUCUUAUGCAUGAUUUCAUAUCCUUGUAAUUCUCUUCGAGUUGUGGGUUUUGUUUGGCCAACUAGAUCUAUGAUUCUUGUAAUGGGAGAAUUGCUUGGUUUUGGGUUCAUACCGUGUGGUGACCUCACCCAAUGACAGAAGGGGUAGCGAGGCACGCAUCGUGUUGUUGCCAUCAAGGGUAAAAAGAUGGGGUUUUCAUCAUUGGUUUGAGAUUAUCCCUCUACAUCAUGUCAUCUUUCUUAAGGCGUUACUCUAUUCGUCAUGAACUCAAUACACUAGAUGCAUGCUGGAUAGCGGUCGAUGUGUGGAGUAAUAGUAGUAGAUGCAGAAAGUAUCGGUCUACUUGUCUCGGACGUAAUGCCUAUAUGUAUGGUCAUUGCCUUAGAUAUCGUCAUGAGUUUGUGCGGUUCUAUCAAUUGCUCGACAGUAAUUUGUUCACCCACCGUGAUAUUUGCUAUUUUGAGAGAAGCCUCUAGUGAACACUAUGGCCCCCGGGUCUACUCCACACCAUACUUUCAGCCUUACACUUUUUACUUCGUUGCACUUUCCGCCUUUAGAUCUCACUUUGCAAACAAUCUUGAAGGGAUUGACAACCCCUUUGAAGCGUUGGGUGCAAGAUCGUUUGUGUUUGCGCAGGUACUCUGGACUUGACGAGACCCUCCUUCUGGAUCGAUACCUUGCUUCUCAAAACUGAGGGAAAUACUUACUACUCAUGUGCUGCAUCAUCCUUUCCUCUUCAAGGGAAAAACCGACGCAAACAAGAGAAGUAGCAAGAAGAAGUCCUGUCGUUGCUUGGGAAGGGCUUUUGUUGCUGUAGCAGAAGGAUUUCUGGUGCUGUUGCCGGGGAGGAAGAUCAAGUCAAGAACUCAUCCAAGUAAGUGUCGCAAACUCAUCUCUUGCAUUUACUUUUGUUUGUCAGUUGCCUCUCGUUUUCCUCUCCCCCACUUCACCAAUUUGCCUUUUUCAUUUGCCUUUUUCGUUUGCCUUUUUCGUUCGCCCUUUCUUCCGCUUUCUUUCUGUUUGCUUGUGUUUUAUGUGCCUUCAAUAUGCUUGCAUCUUCGCUUGCUGAAAAUAUAUUGAUAUGGAUCCUCAUCCACUUGCUAAUCUCUUUAAGAGAUCCAAUUAUGUUGAUAAAAUUGCUAUUGAGUUGAGUGCACUUGACUUUCUCUAUGGAGUUUUGCUUGAGAUGCGUGAAUCUGAAAAUUGUGAUGAAGAAAUUCAUGAAGUGAUUCACGAGGGCUCCUUGAAUGAAAAGCAUGAUUGCAAUGAUUUCAUUAUAAAUUCUAUUAAUGACAAUCAUGCUAAAAAUAUGCAAAACCCUAAGCUUGGGGAUGUUAGUUUUGCUAUGUCCACUACUUGUUGCAAUGAUCAUGAGUGGGGCAAUGAUUUUUCUUAUGAUCAUGAAAAUUUGUUUAAGCCUCAUGAUGAAUAUGAUAUUUGCAAUAUUAUUGAAAGUAGGUUUGGAGACGUCAUGACUUUAAUUGAUGAUAAUCCCAGUAUUUUUGAAGAGCAUCAACUUUGCAUGCAUGUGGAUCAUGAAAAGAAUAUCCUAUGUGAUAGUUACAUUGUUGAAUUCAGAUAUGAUCCCACAUGUAAUUAUUAUGAGAGAGGAAAAUAUGGUGGUAGAAACUUUCAUACCACUAAAUCACCUCUCGUUAUGUUGAGAUUGCUCUUGUCUCUUUCUUCUUCCUUGCAUUUGAUAACUAUUGGUUGUCUUGCCAAUUUUUUCCUAUAAAAUGCCUAUGCAUAGGAAGUAUGUUAGACUUAGACGUGAUUUUCACAUGCUUUAUGAUGCUCACGUUGUGCAUCAAUUUCUAUCUUCUAUGUGAGCAUCAUUGAAUUAUCAAUGCCUAGCUAAGGGUGUUAAACAAUAGCGCUUUUUGGGAGGCAACCCAAUGAAUUUAUCUUUUUCUUUCUGUUUUGUUGUGUCCACGCCAUCAUAAUUCUGUUGUGAUUGUGUUUUUUGGGUUUCUUUUUGUGUUUGAGCCAAGCAAAACCUUUAUGACUAGUCUUGGUAAUGGUUAUUUGAUCCUUCUGGAAAAAGACAGAAACUUUUCGCUCACGAGAUGAUUUUUCAUUUUUAUUCAGAAAGAGCUUUUGAGUUGAUUCUUUUUGCUGAUGGUUGAUAUGUAUUUUUCCCAGGCAGUCGUAAUUGUUCAUAUUUUUGUAGGUAACAGAAGUAUACGAAGUAUAUAGAUUGCUACAGACUGGUCUAUUUUUGACAGAUUCUGGUUUUGUUGAGUUGGUUGCUUGUUUUGAUGAAACUAUGGUUAGUAUCGGGGGGUACUAGCCAUGGAAAAGUGAGAAUACAAUAUCCCAACACCAACAUAGAUGGAAUUCAAGUUUCCUACAGUACCAAAAGAGGUGUUAGUUUAUUUUCUUGUGCUAAUGUUAUCACGAGUUUCUGUUUAAAUUUUGUGUUGUGAAGUUUUCAAGUUUUGGGUGAUGUUCUCAAGGACAAAGAGAUAAGGAGUGGAAAGAGCUCAAGCUUGGGUAUGCCCAAGGCAUCCCAAGCCAAAUUCAAGGACACCAAAAAUCCUAAGCUUGGGGAUGCCCUGGGAAGGCAUCCCCUCUUUCGUCUUCAGUUCAUCGGUAACAUUACUUGGAGCUAUAUUUUUAUUCACCACAUGAUAUGUGUUUUGCUUGGAGCGUCUUGUAUCGUAGGAGUCUUUUCUUUUUUUUGUUUCACAAUCAUUCUUGCUGCACACCUUUUUGAGAGAGAGAGAGAUGCACUCAUCGUGAUUUUGCUAGAAUGCUCAUAGUGCUUCACUUAUAUCUUUUGAGCUAGAUACUUUUUCUCUAUGUGCUUCACUUAUAUCUUUUAGAGCACGGUGCUGCGUGACUUGGUAGUUGGCUUAUGCUAUGAAAGUAGUCCCAAAGGUGAUAGGUACCCAAAGAGGAUGCAAAAACCUCCAUCUUGAUGUGCAUUGAGUAGAAAGAGAAGCCUUGAUUCCUCUCAAUUAGUUUUGAGACGUGGAUUUGGUAAUAUUAAGAGCUAUGUUAGUACGGUGUUGUGAAUCUAGAAGUACUUGUGUUGAAGUUAGUGAUUCCCGUAGCAUGCACGUAUGGUGAACCGCUAUGUUAGGAAGUCGGAGCAUAAUUGAUCUAUUGAUUGUCAUCCUUUGUGUUGAGGUCUUGAUCGCGUGAUGGUUAACACCUACCAACCCUUCCCCUAGGAGUAUGUGUUUAGCACUUUGUUUCGGUUACUAAUAAAAACUUUCGCAACAAGUAUGUGAGUUCAUCAUGACUAAUGUGAGUCCAUGGUAUAGAUGCACUUUCACCUUCCACCAUUGCUAGCCUCUUUAGCGCCGCGCAAUUCUCGCCGAUGCAAAAACCCACCAUAUGCCUUCCUCAAAACAGCCACCAUACCUACCUACUAUGGCAUUUUCAUAGCCAUUCCGAGAUAUAUUGCCAUGCAACUCCCACCGUUCCAUCUCAUGACUUGUGCCGUCACUCUCAUAUUGCCAUUGCAUCAUCGUAAGAUAGCUAGCGAGAUGUUUCCAACGUCAUACGCCAUGCUAGAUCGUUGCACAUCCCAGUACACUGCCGGAGGCAUUUCCUAUAGAGUCAUCAUCGUUCUAAGCUUUGAGCUGUGAGUAAAUAAAAGUGUGAUGAUCACCAUUAUUAGAGCAUUGUCCCAUGUGAGGAAAAAAAGAGAAGAAGAGGCCAAAGAGAGGGAAAAAAAGAGAAAAAAAGAGGCCUAAGAGCCCAAAUGAAAAAAAGAGAGAGAAAAAGAGAGAAGGGACAAUGCUACUAUCUUUUUCCACACUUGUGCUUCAUAAUAGCACCAUGUUCUUCAUGAUUGAGAGCUUUUUGCUUUGUGACUACCAUAUACUAGUGGGAAUCUUCAUUACAUAACUUGGUUUGUAUAUUCCAAUGAUGGGCUUCCUCAAAAUUGCCCUAGGUCUUUGUGAGCAAGCAAGUUGGAUGCACACCCACUAGGUUUCCUUUUGAGCUUUCACAUACUUAUAGCUCUAGUGCAUCUCUUGUAUGGCAAUCCCUACUCAUUCACAUUGAUAUCUAUUAAUGGGCAUCUCCAUAGCCCUUUGAUACGCCAAGUCAAUGUGACCAUCUCCUCCUUUUUGUCUCACAACCACCACCACACUCUAUUCCACCUAUAGUGCUAUAUCCAUGUCUCAUGCUCAUGUAUUGCGUGAUAGUUAUAAAAAGUUUGAGAAAGUAAGAGUGUGAAAACAAUUACUUGGCCAAUACCGGGGUUGUGCAUGAUUUACAUUGGUUGUGUGAGGAUGAUGGAGCAUAGCCAGACUAUAUGAUUUUGUAGGGAUAACUUUCUUUGGCCUUGUUAUUUUGAAAGUUCAUGAUUACCUUGCUAGUUUGCUUGAAGUAUUAUUCUUUUCAUGUCAAUAGCAAACUAUUGUUUUGAAUCUUACGGAUCUGAACAUUCAUGUCACGUGAAAUAAGUUGCAAAGGACAACUAUGCUAGGUAGCAUUCCACAUCAAAAAUUCAUUCUUUAUCACUUCCCUACUCGAAGACGAGCAGGAGUUAAGCUUGGGGAUGCUUGAUACGUCUCCACAUAUCUAUAAUUUUUAAUGGUUUCAUGCUAUUAUCUUGUCAAACUUUGGAUGUUUUGCAUGCCUUUUAUAUAUUUUUUGGGACUAACUUAUUAACUCGGUGCCAAGUGCCAGAUCCUGUUUUUUCCAUGUUUUUGACCCCUUUUAGAGGAGAUUUUGAAACGGACUCCAAACGGAAGAAAAUCCCCGAAAAGAUUUUUUCUGUAACGGAAGAAGAUCAGGAAGCUUGAGAGCCAAGGCAGGGGGGCCCAGGCGCCCCACAAGCCCUCACCUUGCGGCCAGGGGGGAGGCCGCAGCCCACAGGAUUUUGGGCCCCCGGGACGCCCUCUGCCCUAGGGUUUGCGCCUAUAUAUCCCCAAAAAUUCCACAAAAAAUCAAGAGAUCAUCGAAAUUACUUUUCCGCCACCGCAAGCUUCUGUCUCCGCAAGAUCCCAUCUGGGGCACGUUCCGGUGCCCUAUCGGAGGGGGGAUUCGGAUACGGAGGGCUUCUUCAUCAACACCAUGACCUCUCCGAUGAUGCGUGAGUAGUUCACCAUAGACCUACGGGUCCAUAGCUAGUAACUAGAUGGCUUCUUCUCUCUCUUGGAUCUUCAAUACAAAGUUCUCCAUGAUCUUCAUGGAGAUCUAUCCAAUGUAAUCUUCUUUUGCGGUGUGUUUGUCGAGAUCCGAUAAAUUGUGGAUUUAUUAUCAGAUUAUCUAUGAAUCUUAUUUGAGUUUCUUCUGAUCAUGUCAUCUUGCUUAAGGCAUUACUAUGUUCGUCAUGAACUCAAUACACUAGAUGCAUGUUAGAUAGCGGUCGAUGUGUGGAGUAAUAAUAGUAGAUGCAUAAAGUGUCGGUCUACUUGUCUCGUAUGUGAUGCCUAUAUGUAUGAUCAUUGCCUUAGAUAUCGUCAUGAAUUUGCGCGGUUCUAUCAAUUGCUCGACGGUAAUUUGUUCACCCACCGUGAUAUUUGCUAUUAUGAGAGAAGCCUCUAGUGAACACUAUGGCCCCCGGGUCUACUCCACACCAUCUUUUCAGCCUUACACUUUUUACUUAGUUGCACUUUCCGCCUUCAUAUCUCACUUUGCAAACAAUCUCGAAGGGAUUGACAACCCCUUUGAAGCGUUGGGUGCAAGCUCGUUUUUGUUUGCGCAGGUACUCUGGACUUGACGAGACCCUCCUUCUGGAUCGAUACCUUGGUUCUCAAAACUGAGGGAAAUACUUACUGCUCUUGUGCUGCAUCACCCUUUCCUCUUCAAGGGAAAAACCGACGCAAACAAGAGAAGUAGCAAGAAGAAUUCCUGGCGUUGCUUGGGAAGGACUUUUGUUGCCGUAGCACAUCUUCACAGAAGUGAAUAUCAUGGCCAUCAACAUUGUCGGACAAGAGAUAUUUGAUAAUAGCAAUGCUAGGUUCAACUCUAAUUUGCUCAGGGGGUGUAGGUGUUCUAAUGUAACCUCUACGUCUCACAUUUGAAGCUUUAGAAUGAUCUUUUAUCCUAACAGGGAAAGGUGGUUGCUCAAUGUAAGCACUAGGAACAAUAGGAUAAUUAUAGGCAAUGACUUUCUCUUCAACUGGAUUGGGUUUAACUACAUUGACUUCUAAGGGAGGAUGAUAUUUAAACCACUUCUCUUUGGGGAGAUCAAUAUGAGCAGAAAAUGAUUCACACAAUGAGGCUACUAUCUCUGAGUCAAGUCCAUAUUUAACGCUAAACUCACAAAAGGUAUUUGUUUCAACAAAGGAUUUAACGCAAUCAACCUUGAAAUUCAUACCUAACUCCUUACCUUCAUCAAGCUCCCAAUCUUCAGAGUUGCGUUUAAUUCUUUCCAAUAAAUUCCAUCUGAAGUCAAUAUCUCUCUUCAUAAAAGAACGGGUACAAGAAGUGUCAAGCAUGUUGCGAUCAUCAUGAGAAAGCCGAGCAUAGAAGUUCUGAAUGAUAAUUUCUCUCGAGAGCUCAUGGUUGGGUCAUGAAUAUAACAUUGAUUUAAGCCUCCCCCAAGCUUGAGUGAUGCUUUCUAUGUCAUGAGGCCAACAAUUAUAAUUAUAAUUCCGAUCACGAUGUACUAGAUGCAUAGGAUAAAUUUUUUGAUGAAAUUCCAAUUUCAACCGAUUGUAGUUCCAUGAUCCAGUAUCAUCACAUAGCCUAUACCAUGUCAACGCCUUAUCCCUCAAAGAUAAGGGAAAUACCUUCUUCUUGACCUCAUCCUCGGGCAAACCUGCAAGCUUAAAUAAACCACAAACUUCAUCUACAUAGAUUAGAUGCAAGUCUGGAUGUGAUGUUCCAUCUCCUACAAAAGCAUUAGCCAGCAGUUUCUCAAGCAUACCCGAAGGAAAUUCAUAGCAAAUAUUUUUAGUAGGUGCGGCAGGUUGAGGAGAAACUCUUUGUGCUUCCGUUCGAGGUGAAGAUACCCCGAACAAGCUCCUCAAAGGAUUAGUUUCCAUAGUAACAAGUGACAGUAAAUUUCAGCACACUAUAUAAAUGUUUCCUUUCCAAAUUCCACUUACGAAAGGCCCUUCACUCCCCGGCAACGGCGCCAGAAAAGAGUCUUUAUGACCCACAAGUAUAGGGGAUCUAUCAUAGUCCUUUCGAUAAGUAAGAGUGUCGAACCCAACGAGGAGCAGAAGGAUCUGACAAGUGGUUUUCAGCAAGGUAAUAUCUGCAAGCACUCAAAUUAUCGAUAACAAGUAGUUGUGUGGUGAGAUGAUUCAUAGCAAGUAGCAAGUAAAAAAGUAACAACAGUGCAACAAAGUGGACCAAUCCCUUUUGUAGCAAGGGACAAGCCUGGACAAACUCUUAUAGGAGGUAAAACGCUCCCGAGGACACAUGGGAAUUUCUAUCAAGCUAGUUUUCAUCAUGUUCAUCUGAUUCGCGUUCACUACUUUGAUAGGUUGAUAUGUGGGUGGACCGGCGCUUGGGUACUGCCCUUACUUGGACAAGCAUCCCACUUAUGAUUAACCCCUCUCGCAAGCAUCCGCAACUACGAAAGAAGAAUUAAGACAAAGUCUAACCAUAGCAUUAAACUAGUGGAUCCAAAUCAGCCCCUUACGAAGCAACGCAUAAACUAGGGUUUAAGCUUGUGUCACUCUAGCAACCCAUCAUCUACUUAAUACUUCCCAAUGCCUUCCUCUAGGCCCAAAUAAUGGUGAAGUGUUAUGUAGUUGAUGUUUACAUAACACCACUAGAGGAAAAACAACAUACAACACAUCAAAUUAUCGAACGAAUACCAAAUUCACAUGACUACUUAUAGCAAGACUUAUCCCAUGUCCUCAGGAACAAAAGUAACUACUCACAAAGCAUAAUCAUAUUCAUGACCAGAUACGUAAUGAGUAGCAUCAAAGAUCUGAACAUAUAAUCUUCCACCAAGUAAUCCAACUAGCGUCAACUACAAAGAGUAAUUAACACUACUAGCAACCUUACAAGUACCAAUCGGAGUCGCGAGACGGAGAUUGGUUACAAGAGAUGAACUAGGGUUUGGAGAUGAGAUGGUGCUGAUGAAGAUGUUGAUGGUGAUGAGUCCCCUCCAGUGAGAGGAGUGUUGGUGAUAACGAUGGCGACGAUUUCCCCCUCCGGAGGGAAGUUUCCCCCGCAGGAUCGUCCUGCCGGAGCUCUAGAUUGGUUCUGCUCAAGUUCCGCCUCAUGGCGGCGGCGAAUCCUCCGAAAAGCCUCUUGUUGAUUUUUUUUCUAGAAUGAAACCCUUCUUGUAGAAAAAGGGGGGAGCCAGAGGGCCAAGUGGGAGCCCACAAGCCCACUAGGCGCGACCAGGGGGGAGGCCGCGCCUAGCAGGCUUGUGGACUCCUACUGGCGCCCCUCUCGUACUUCUUCGACCCAUUAUUUUUUAUAAAUACCAAAAAAAAAUCCACAUUGAUUUUCACGGCUUUUGAAGUUGCGCAGAAUAGGUAUCGCAAACUUGCUCCUUUUUCAGGCCAGAAUUCCAGCUGCCGGCAUUCUCCCUCUUCAUGUAAACCUUGCAAAAUAAGAGAGAAAAGGCAUAAGUAUUGUACCUUGAAGUGUAAUAAUAGCCCAAAAAGCGAUAAUUAUCAACAUGAAAGCAUGAUGCAAAAUGGACGUAUCACGUACCCCUCCCGACGGGUCCGUGACAGACUGGAUAGAUGAUGAUGGUGACGACAACGUGUAGGUGCUUGAGGCGAUGCCACGUGUGACGGGGCCGCCUCGGGGCCAUCGUCGUGGAAAGAGCGAGGAGCUGUCGGCCGGGGGCCAGCUGGCCGUCAGCCAACUAGCCAGUUGCCACACGGAAGAGGAACGCCGUAGGGACACGCGGUCGGCCGAGGACUCGAUCGACACCCCAGCCACCAAGAAGGUUCAGUCGGCGGCGCUGCCGGCGGGCGCCCCUUGGUGCUGGGUAAGGUUUCUUUAAGGCUCAUGCCCCUUCUUUUCUUGCUUUCUUUGUCGUGUGGCAUUUGAGCUCGUGCUCUCUUGUCUUGUUUUGCUUUCUCAGUGAGGCUAUUCAGCUACCGGCGCCGGAUGCAUCGGCCCUUGGGGCCGAACAAGUAACGCCGCUUGCCAUGGAGCAUGCGACGAGGGCGCGGCUUGAACGGGAGUGUGUCGUUCAGCUUCGUGCGGCCAAGCCGAAGGCCUCGUAGGCUAUGACGACCGGAAUAAGCGUCCCCGUGGCUGGGGCAACAAGUGAUGCCACUGCUCCACAACACCGCCGGUCAGUUUUAUCGGUACUUUUGCUUGUCUUAGUCAUUUUUCCUGUGCACCCUGCUCCUUUGUCAUUUCUCCUGCCGGCCAGCCAGCUUGCGGAUUGUGACUGGGCGAAGAGUGGGCUGGUGGAGCCGAGGUGUUUGGUACUUUGGCUUUUGCAAGGCGGGUGUUGAAAAAACCGAGUAGCGUAGCCGGACCUGGCCCGCCCCUUGUCGAUAUUUCCUAUUCGCUCUGACCCUUUGCUUGUGCUCCUGCCAAACGGGCAACUAGGUUGUGGUCUGUAGCCAGCGAGGGUUGGGCUGCCGGUGCGGAGGUAUAGUACUUUGCCGAGCUGGGGUGGGAGUUGGGCGUCUCGUAGUCCCCGGGCCGGCUGGACCGAUCCGGGGAUGACCAAGAAAGUAAAAACAAUUGAAACAUGAGUAGGAUGGAAAAGGCAGUCUCUGAGUCCUGCUCUAGGGUGCCGGCUAUUCAUUGAUUUUCUUGAAAAGGGAACAUACAUAUGUUCACUUGCCUAACUGUAAAACGGGCGGAGGAGUUCCACGUUUCGUGGUCGCUCCGUCUCGGAGCCGGAUGCGUCCUUCUUGUUCUUUCUUGCCUUUUGAGCAUCGAUUAUAAAGUAGGCGUUAUUGCUCACUGACGGAUGUCCGUUGGAUCAGCAAGAGAACAAGGUCACCCUCUCGGAAUGAGAGAGGGCUUGACCCGCUGGCUACGGUAGCGGCGUAGGCCUUGCUGAUAGAUGGUUGUUCUGGACAGUGCCAGCUCGCAUGCCUCUUCGAGGAGGUCGACGUCGUCUUCUCUGGCCUCUUUGGCGUCAGCCUCGGUGUGCAGGGUGACCCGAGGCGAAUCGAACUCGACGUCGUUGAGGAUGAUCGCCUCGGCCCCGUACACCAAGAAGAAUGGGGUGAAGCCGGUCGACCGGUUGAGCGUGGUUUGCAGGCUCCACAACACCGCCGGCAGUUCCUCGACCCAGGCACCGGCCGAGCGCUUGAGUGGCUCGACAAGCCUGGGUUUCAGGACGACCAGGAUGAGGCCGAUUGCCCGCUCUAGCUGGCCGUUUGACUGCGGCUGGGCCACGGACGAGAGGUCCAGCCGGAUUCCGUGCUCGCUGCAGUAGCGGGCGAGCGCAGGCUUGGCGAAGUUGGUCCCAUUGUCGAUGAUGAUGAUGCUGGGGAGGCCAUAGUGAACGGCUAUGUCCUUGAUGAACGUGACGACCGUUGGGCCAUCGAGCUUCUCUAUUGGCUUGGCCUUGAUCCACUUUGUGAACUUGUCGACUGCCACCAGGAGAUGUGUCACACCGCCUCGGGCGGUUUUGAACAGGCCCAUCAUGUCCAACCCCCAGAAGGCAAAGGGCCGCGUGAGGGGGAUGGUUUGCAGGGCCGCGGCCGUCUGGUGGAUGCGCGCUUUGAAAUGCUAGCAGCCAUUGCACUUGUCAAUUAAUGCCUUGGCGUCCUUCAGGGCGGACGACCAAUAGAAACUGUGGCGGAAUGCCUUGGCCGCCAGGGAGCGUGAGGAGGCAUGGUGGCCACACUCGCCCUGGUGGAUGCCGAGGAGGAUAUCGUGGCCUUUGUCUGCCUCGAUGCAGUGCUGGAACACGCCAGUCACGCUGCGCUUGACGAGCUCGUUGUUGAUGAUGGUGUAGGUGGCAGAGCGUCUUUGGAUUAUCCGGGCCACGACUUCAUCGGCAGGCAGGGUGCCAUUCUCGAUGUAGUCGAGGAAGGGUUGCGCUCAGGAUAGGGCUGUGACCACCGUGAGCAUGGCCACCAUGAUUGGGUUUGCUGCGGCGGGGACGGCACGCGGUUGGCCGCCUGCCGCAGUCCCCGAGUCGGGCUGGAGGGAUCCCAGGGGAGGGUCGGCAGCCCUCGGGCCGGCUAGAGUAGUCGAUGCGGUGGCGGUAGUCGGCUGACCAGCUGCCGUAGUCCCCGAGUGGGACGGGGCAGUUCCCGCGUCAGCGCCGGCAGCCCCCAGGGCCGGCGGGGCAGCCCCCGGGUCUGCCGGGAUGAAUAUGUACUCGGAUUCCGGAGAGAGCGUGAUGGAGGGCUUCCGCAGGUUCUCAAGAGAUACGUCGACUGGGAUUGGUUGCCGGGUGGAGACGAUUUGUUGAGUGUGUCGGCGGCCUCGUUGCCGGAUCGGAGGAUGUGGUGGAACUCGCGGCCUUUGAAACCGCCGGUCAGUUGUUGCACCAGAAAGCGGUAGCUGCCCAUGUUUGCGUCUCUCGCGUCCCACUCACGAGUGACUUGCUGCACCACCAGGUCGAAGUCACCUAAGAAAAGGAUUCGUCGGACGCCGAUUUCCCUAGCCAACCGGAGGCCAUGGGUGAGCGCUUCAUACUCCGCCACGUUGUUGGACGCAACAAAGUGGAUCUUCAUGACGUACUGGAGCUGGUUACCCUUAGGGGACGAGAGGAUGAUGCCAGCCCCAAGGCCGGUGCGCAUCUUCGAGCCAUCGAAGUGCAUGCGCCAAUGGGUUGAGUCUGGAGGCGGCCGUAGGUACUCCGUUUCGGCCUAGUCGACGAGGAAAUCCACCAAGGCCUAUGACUUUACGACGGUGCGGGACUCGUAGGCGAUGUGGUGGUCGGCCAGCUGGAGAGCCCACUUGGCGAUUCGGCCGGCUACGUUCCUGUUGCCCACGAUCUCUCCGAGGGUAGCGGUGCUCACCAAAGUGAUCGAGUGCUCCUCGAAGUAAGGCUUGAGCUUCUUGGCAGCCAGGAACACGACGUAGCACAUCUUCUGAUAGUGCAGCUAGUUCUACUUGGAGGCGGAGAGCACCUCGCUCAGGUAGUAGACAGGUCGUUCGACCAGCUGCGCCCGGCCCGGCUCGGAGCGCUCGACGGUCAUGACUAUACUGACCACUCGGAUGGUCGCGGCGAUGUAGAGCAAUAUCGGCUCCUUAUCCACUGGCGAGGCCAGCAUGGGCACGAUGGUGAGUGCACGCUUGAGGUCGCGCACGGCCUCAUCCGCCCGGUCGCUCCAGACAAACUCGUCCGCCUUCUUGAGCAGACGAUAGAGAGGGAGGGCCUCCUCCCCUGGUCGGCUGAUGAAGCAGCUGAGCGAGGCGAGGCAGCCAGUGAUCUUUUGGAUGUCAGCCAAGUUGGCCCGGAUCUUCUCGGGGAUGGCCUCUAUCCCUUGUUCCAAAAUGACGAAACCGAGGAGCUGGCCGGAUGGUAAGCCGAACACGCACUUUGCCGGCUUCAGCCGGAUUUUGAACUCGCGUAGAUUCACAAAUGUCUCCUUGAGAUCAUCCAGGGGGUGCGAUUUUCCUUGGUUUUGACCACAACGUCGUCCAUGUAGACGUGUACAUUGCGGCCGAGAUGCCUAUAGAGGCAUUGCUGCAUGCAACGCUGAAACGUGGCGCCAACAUUUUUCAGCUCGAAUGCCAUCGUAACAUAGCAGAAUGCCCCGAAUGGGGUUAUGAAAGUUGUCUUGAUCCGGUCGGUCGGAUUCAGCUUGAUCUGGUGAUAGCCUGAAUAGGCGUCUAAGUAGGACAGUAGCUCGAAGCCAGCCAUCGAGUCGAUCACUUGAUCCAUACGGGGCAGAGCAAAAGGAUCCUUGGGGCAUGCCUUGUUUAGGCUCGUGUAGUCGAUACUCAUGCGCCAAGUCUUGUUCUUCUUCAGCACCAGGAAUGGGUUCGCCACCCAAUCCGGGUGGAAGACUUCCAUGAUGAAUUCAAAUGCCAGUAGCCGGGUGAUUUAUUCACCGAUGGUUUUUUGCUUCUCCUCUGAGAAGCGGCGCAACGGUUGAUUAACCAGUUUUGCGUCUGACCGGACGUGCAAGAAGUGCUCGGCGUACUUCCUCGGGACUCGUGGCAUGUCCUUUGGGGCCAUGCGAACAUAUCCCGAUUCUCACGGAGGAAGUCGACGAGCUCAAUUUCCUAUUUGCUGCUGAGACCAGCCCCACCACGACGUACUUGCCGGUGGGGUCGGCCGGGUCCUCGGGCCCCUCUUGGUGUCCUUGCCGGAGGCCGGCUGGAACUGGGCCUGUGUGGCGGGCUGCUUAAGCUUCGGCUCUGAGAGGGGCGCCGUCUCACAGGCUAGUGCCACGAAACGAUCGAUCUGUCACUGCUCCUCGAUGAUAACGAAGGAUUCGGCCAACUUGGAGACGGCCAUGGUGCACUCGGUCGAGUUCUUCUAGUCACCGGAGACGGUGACAAUGUCGUGUGGACCCGGCAGCUUCAUCUUGAGAUAAGCAUAGUGGGAGACAACCAUGAACUUGGCCAGGGGGACGGAACGAGAGCGCAUGGUAGCGGCUAGUGAGGUCGACCACCUCGAACCAUAUGGUCUCGCGACGGAAGUUCUUCGGAUAGGCCGAACAACACGUACAGUCGGACCUUGCUGGUCCGGGAGUGAUAAUCCCCAAGUGCAAGGAAUCAUUGUAGCAAUUUCAAAAGGUGGAAGUGAUAAGUAUGGAGUGUUGCACCCACAAGGAGCUAAAGGUAAGAGCAAUAUUCUCUCAAGAGCUAUCUUCCACUCAUACAACACUAUGUACGCUGAACGUUUGCUUCCAACUAGGAACGAGAAAUGAAACUACGUUGUGGGUAUGAAAAGAAUAGCUUUGCAUGACAUCGGACAACUAAAAUAUAAAAAUAGGUGUUGUUAUCAUAAAGUUAGAAUAUAUUACAAUAUAUUAGAAAUAGUGAGUGUGGAAUAAUGAUGGGUCGGUGUGCGGAAUUGUCCUAGGCAAUUGUUAACAAGAUCGGUAAUCAUUCUUGCAAUUUUAUAUGAGGGAGAGGCAUAAGCUAACAUAAUUUCUCUACUUUGAUCAUAUGCACUUAUGGUUGGAACUCUAGCAAACAUCUGCAACUAUUAAAGAUCAUUAAGGUGAAACCCAACCUUAUCAUUAAAGCAUCUCAACAACCCAGCUACUCGGGUUUAUGCUUGUGUCACUCAAGCAACCCACUAUAAGUGAAUCAUGAACGUAUUGGAACACCAUACAACAAGAGUCCCUCAUGCUUGCGCGACACGGAGAGCACCAUAGGACAACACCAAUAAUAAAGCAUACAACUUAAACCAAUCUAGAUCAUCAAUCGACCCAUAAUACCAAGGGAAUCUACUCAAAACAUCAUAGGAUGGCAACACAUCAUUGGAUCAUAAUAUGUGGCAUGGACCACCUGUUGGAGAACGUCGCAUGGGAAACAAAAAAUUUCCUACGCGCACGAAGACCUAUCAUGGUGAUGUCCAUCUACGAGAGGGGAUGAGUGAUCUACGUACCCUUGUAGACCGUACAGCAGAAGCGUUAGAGAACGCGGUUGAUGUAGUGGAACGUCCUCACGUCCCUCGAUCCGCCCCGCGAACAAUCUCGCGAUCAGUCCCACCAUCUAGUACCGAACGGACGGCACCUCCGCGUUCAGCACACGUACAGCUCGACGAUGAUCUCGGCCUUCUUGAUCCAGCAAGAGAGACGGAGAGGUAGAAGAGUUCUCCGGCAGCGUGACGGCGCUCCGGAGGUUGGUGAUGACCUUGUUUCAGCAGGGCUCCGCCCGAGCUCCGCAGAAACGCGAUCUAGAGGAAAAACCGUGGAGGUAUGUGGUCGGGCUGCCGUGGAAAAGUCGUCUCAAAUCAGCCCUAAAACCUCCGUAUAUAUAGGUGGGAGGGAGGGGGCCUUGCCUUGGGGCUCAAGGAGCCCCAAGGGGGUCGGCCGAGUCCAAGGGGGAGGACUCUCCACCCCCAAACCGAGUUGGACUAGGUUUGGUGGGAGGGAGUCCCCCUCCCUUCCCACCUCCUCCUUUUUUUUUUUUUUUNCCGAGAUUCGAUCGUCAGUAUCCGCAUACCUAUUUCAAUCUCGUUUACCGGCAAGUCUCUUUACUCGUUCCGUAAUACAAGAUCCCGAACUUACACUAAGUUACAUUGCUUGCAAGGCUUGUGUGUGAUGUUGUAUUACCGAGUGGGCCCCGAGAUACCUCUCCGUCACACGGAGUGACAAAUCCCAGUCUUGAUCCAUACUAACUCAACUAACACCUUCGGAGAUACCUGUAGAGCAUCUUUAUAGUCACCCAGUUACGUUGCGACGUUUGAUACACACAAAGCAUUCCUCCGGUGUCAGUGAGUUAUAUGAUCUCAUGGUCAUAGGAAUAAAUACUUGACACGCAGAAAACAGUAGCAACAAAAUGACACGAUCAACAUGCUACGUCUAUUAGUUUGGGUCUAGUCCAUCACAUGAUUCUCCCAAUGACUUGAUCCAGUUAUCAAGCAACAACACCUUGUUCAUAAUCAGAAGACACUGACUAUCAUUGACUAACUGGCUAGCCAACUAGAGGCAUGCUAGGGACGGUGUUUUGUCUAUGUAUCCACACAUGUAAAUGAGUCUUCAUUCAAUACAAUUAUAGCAUGGAUAAUAAACUAUUAUCUUGAUACAUGAAUUAUAAUAAUAACCAUAUUUAUUAUUGCCUCUAGGGCAUAAUUCCAACACCACCAUGUUCAAUUAGGGGAUCACAACGGGUGCGGGAGAGUGGACCGCUCAAAAAAGACGAGGAUGGUGAUGAAGAAGGUGAUGUUGAUGAAGACGGUCACCGCAGCGAUGGUUCCCCCGGUGGCACUCUGGCACCACCGGGAGAGCGGGAGAGAGGGUCUCCACCUUUUGCCUCCUCCUCCAUGGCCUCCCCCAAGGUGGGGAGAGGUUCUCCCUCUGGUUCUUUGCCUCCAUGGUGAUGGUGGCCCCUCCGUCUUCCUCCUCCAUGGUGUCCGGUGAUGGUGACCCCCUCCGGCAGGGUGCCAAAGAGGGCCAAGAUUGGUUUUUCGUGGCUCUGGAGGCUUGCGGUGGCGGAACUCCCGAUCUAGGUUUCUUUCUGGGGGUUUUGGGAUUUAUAUGAUUUUUUGGCAUCGGUCUCACAUCAAGGGGACUCUCGAGGGAUCCACAAGCCACGGGUGUGCCCUAGGGGGUGCCCUAGGCUUGUGACUGCCUCGGGACUCCUCUCUGGUAUCUUUUUGCUCCACUAUUUUUUAUAUUUUCCAAAAAUAUUUUCCGUAAAUUUUCAGCCCAUUCGGAGAACUUUUAUUUCUGCACAAAAACAUCAUCACGGUAGUUCUGCUGAAAACAGCGUGAGUUAGGGUUAGUUCUAAUAAAAUCAUAUAAAAUUAUUGUGAACAUGGCAUGUAUACUUCAUAAAUUAUAGAUACGUUGGAGAUGUAUCAGCAUCCCCAAGCUUAAUUCUUGCUCGUCCUCGAAUAGGGAAAUGAUAAAAGAAACAAUUUAUGAAGUGUGAAUGCUAGCAUAGUGCAUAAAUUUGAUCAAUGAUAGUUCCAAAGACUUGUGCUAGCAUCACUAUAUAUCAUAAACAGUAGCUCAUCUCAUAAAACUUCUCAUGAUGAAGUAACAAGCUAUUCACAUGUUAAAGUAUAGACCAUAAAGUUUCUUGAAAACUAACAAACUAUGCUUUCGGUGACCAAACAUUUGCAAUUCAUCUUAUUUUCGGGAAGGGUCUAUGUAAGAGCUUUUGAUUUAGCAAAUUCCACAUACUCAACUAUCAUAUAGUCUUCCAUGAUUCCUAACACUCAAAUCAUAUUUUUAGAGCAAAUGGCAUUCGUCGAACAGAGAGAAAGAUAGGGGCUUAAAGUGUCGCCUUCCAACUUAUUUAUCAUAUAGAUAGUUGUGAACAAUACUAAUUCAUGAACAAAUAUAUUUGAAUGGACAUAUAUGCUUGGAUCUUUCCCCAGCACAUGAUGUUUGCCAAGAGGAAAAGGCGAAAUAUAGGAAGUGCUGAAGAUCACCAUGAAUCUUGUAUAAAGGUAAGUACUGUAAAGUAAAAGAUAGGCCCUUCGCAGAGGGAAGCAUUGAUUUGCAGAGGUGCCAGAGCUCGAGCUUUUAGAACAGAGAUGAGUAAUAAUUUUGAGUGGUAUGAUCUCAUUGUCAACAUAACAACCGAGAGAUCUCGGUAUCUUCCAUGAUAGAUACAUUAUAGGCAGUUCCCAAACAGAAUGUUAAAUUUUUUACUCCCCCUCCACCAAUCAAUCACACUCCACGGCGAUCCAAAUCCACAAGUACCGUCCAUACAAACAACAAUCUUGGGGUGUUUUGUUUCAUUAUAUUUUGAUUUGAUUUUUGAGCAUGGAACUAGGCAUCCAGAAUACCAGCCACUCUCUCGUGAAUGAUAGUGAAUCAACACAUAUCGUGAGAAUAACCCACCUAGCAUGGAAGAUAUCGAUAGCCUCUACUCACUACAUGAGCGAUUCAGGCAUACAAAACAAAAUAUUAUUUGAAGGUUUAGAGUUUGGCACAUGCAAAUUUACUUGGAAUGGCACAUAAAUACCGCAUAUAGGUAGAUAUAGUGGACUAUCAUGGCAAGAAACUGAGUUUAAGGGUUUUUGGAUGCACAAGUAGUAUCCCUACUUAGUACGAAGUGUUGGCUAGCAAAAGGUUCUAAACAAGCACCACAUGUUGGAGGAUCCAUAACAAUAUAACUUCUAUGAAAAUAUACCCAAACAUAACUCAUUAAGUUGUCUUCCUUGUCCAACUUCAACUAAUUUUGUGAAGUUUGAAAAUAAUUAAUGGGGCUCACAAUCAUAGGAGAUGUCCAAGAUAGAAUAUUUAUAUGUGGAAUCUCUCUUCCUUCAAUAUUCUUUCAUGAAUUGUUCAAGGGACCAAUGCGGUGUUUGCUAACUUUUAAUAAAUUUUAGCACCUAUACUUCUUAUAUGUGAAGUCAUUACUACCCAUGGGAUAAGAAUUCAAAACAUAUAUAAUUUUAAAUUUAUGAUAUCAAAUUUAAUCAACUAUUUACUCAUAGGAUAUAAGUGAAGCACGAGAUUAAAUGACAAAGCUACUCCCAAACAUAUAAGUGGAGAUCAAUGAGUAGUCAAACAAUUAAGUAGCUAUGUGAGGAUUUUCUCCGUCUCUCGCAAUAAAGAUUUUCAGAUCUGAGUAUUUUGUUUAAACAGUAAGCAAAAGAAAAAUAGCACUCCAAGAAUAGGACGUGUCAUGUGAACGAAUAAAAAUUUAGGCUCAACAUAAUCUAACUGAUAGUUCACGAAGAGAGGUGGAUUGCGUAGCCUCCCCAACCUGAGUGUUCUUGAAAUAUUUACUUGGGGUGCCUUGGUCAUCCCCAAGCUUGAGCUUUCGUAUCUUGUUCAAUCCUCUCAUAUCAUGGUUUCACCUAUUCUCAAAAGUUUCAUCCACACAGAUCUCGAAAAUAACUCGUGAGAUAGGUUAGUACACACUAUAAUAAAUCAACUCUUCAUGUACUGCCAAGACAAGUUGUAUAAUAAUUUUCAAACAUCAUCUACUGUUUACUAUCAUUUCCACAAUUUAUAUCUACCAAUAUAUGCUGUGGAAACUAUAGGAUAAGUAGAUAACAAAACUAUGACAGCAAUCUGUCCAAACAGAACAGUCUAUAGCAAUUUAUGAAAACAAUGUACUUCUGUAACUCAAAAUAGUUUGAAAAUUUUGGACAUUCUAUAAAAUUUAUAUGAAAACACUAUGUAAAUAUUUCAGAAACUUUCCACGUUCUAGUAAAAUAUGAAAAUUCCAAUACUAUAAAAAGAGUUUCUGUUUUUACACAGCACACAUCAAACCAUGCAAUGCAAGCAUCCUAAUGCAAUUCUUGGAACUUUUUUAUUGAAAACAAAAUUAUAAAUAACACCUAACAUAAAUAAACAAAACAAAAUGACGCUCCAAGAAAAACUCAUAUUAUGUGACGAAUAAAAAUAUAGCUCUAAGUAAGAUUAUCGAUAGCGUUGGAGACAAAAGAGGAGAUGCUUCCGGAGCAUCCUCAAGCUUAGGCACUCCAGUCUUCCAUGGAUAGGACCUGGGGGGUGCCUUGGGCAUCCCCAAGCUUAGGUUCUUUUCACUCCUUCUUCUCCUCAUAUCGGUGUCUCACCCAAAACUUGAAAACUUCAAUCACACUUAACUUAAUGGAACUUCGUGAGAAGGGUUAGUGUAAUAAAGAUAGAUCAUUCACUUUGGUACUGUGAAGACAAGAUUCAUAAUUGUUACCACAUGAUACCUACUGUAUUCUAUCAUUUCCAUAAUUUAUAUUACUGAAUAUAAGCUGUGGGAACACCAAAAUAAGCAAACUAUGCAUGCAAAACAGAAUCUGUCAAAAAUAGAACAGUCUGUAAAGAUCUGUAGUAUAGCCAUACUUUCCUGCAUCUAAAAAUUCUGACAAAUUAGGACAACCAGAAGUUUUUGGAUAUAAAGACUGUGUCAAAAUUUCAAAUCAUUAUUAUGCUCCAGUAAAAAAUUAAAAUUCAUGUACUAGAGUCAAAAGUUACUGUUUUGGUUCAACAUCAAUUCUACUCAUCUUGUGAGUCAUCCCAAAGGCUUUACUUGGUACUUUAUUGAAAUAAAAGACACAAAACAUGAUUACUACAGUAUCUUAAUCAUGUGAACUCAAAAAAACAGAAGGUAAACGUGUUGGGUUGUCUCCCAACAAGGGCUUUUCUUUAAUGUCUUUUAGCUGGGCAUGGUUAUUUCAAUGAUGCUCUUCCAAGCCUAAAUACGAUGAUGAUUUUAUUCACACUCUAAAAGAUAUAAGUGAAGUUCAUAUAGAAUUCUACAAUUAAUAUAGAUCAACCAAUAUCCAUGCUGAAAAUAUAUAAGUGAAGCACACGAAGCAUUCUAUAAGGCCAUACUCAAAAGAUUUAAGUGAAGCACGAAGAGCAUUCUAUAGAGCCAUACUCAAAAGAUUUAAGUGAAGCACAAAGAGCAUUCUACAAUGCCAUACUCAAAAGAUUUAACUGAAGCACAUGAAGCAUUAUAUAAAUCAAUAAAGGACUAUCUCAUGCUAGACGGGUGCAUAAAAGGAGAAGAAAAACACUAAGGACACAUAUCAUGUGAACAAAACAAAAACCGAGGUAUACCGAUAAUUGUGGAAGAAUAAAGAUGGGAUGCCUUCCAGGGCAUCCCCAAGAUUAGAUGCUUGAGCCUCCUUGGAAUAUUUACUUGGGGUGCCUUGGGCAUCCCCAAGAUUGAACUCUUGUCUCCGUGUAUUCAUCUUUUAUUGAUACCUCCUCGAUCUUCGAAAACUUCAUUCAUACAGAACUUAACAAAACCCUCGUGAGAUCCGUUAGUAAAAUAAAGCAAAAUACUACUUUAAGUACUGUUGUGAACUCAUUCCAAAUUCAUAUUAGAAUUAUAUCUACUGUAGUCCAACUUCACAAUGGUUCAUACCCCCAGUACUACCCAUAUAUUCAUCAAAACAAGAGAACAAUGCAUAGAAAACAAAAUUUGUCAAAAAGAGGAGAGUCUAUAGUAAUCUGGAAACUUUGUAUACUACUGUAAAUCAAACAAUUCCGAAUAAGUUGGAAGAAAUAAAAAAUAUUCAUAGAAGUAGUGUGUAAAAAGUUCAGAAACUUUUUACAUUCCAGUAAAAAACGUAAAUUCACGCACUACAACGAAAGUUUCUGUUUUUGCACUUCACACACCAAACAAGCAAUCUAAUCAUCCUAAUGGCAAAUCUUGGCAUGUUACUUUUAUAAUACAAUGGAUAUAUACAAGGGGAUAAUUAUUUUUGAGAAACUUCCAUCAAAAAUUCUACAUUGCUUACAUGAUCAUGAACACAAGUGUUCAAGGUCGACCCUCACUUCCCCAAUGCACAACCUUCCAAUCACUUCUCUUUUUGAAAACUUCUUAGGCAUAAGAGGCAAGUAAAUAUUUUUGUAUUUUUAAUUAUUUUUUUAGUUUCACCCACAAAUAAAUAAAUCAAAAUGGGAAAAAAUCUACUUAGUGAAGAAAUCAAACAAGCACAUUCGAGAAUAUCAACCCCACGCUAUUGCUCCCCGAAAACGGCGCCAGAAAAGAGCUUGAUAAUCCCCAAGUGCAAGGAAUCAUCGUGGCAAUUUCCAAAGGUGGAAGUGAUAAGUAUGGACUGUCGAACCCACAAGGAGCUAAAGGUAAGAGAAAUAUUAUCCCAAGUCCUAUAUGCCACUGACACUACUCUACGUACGCCGAACAUUUGCUUCCAACUAGGAAGGAGAAAUAAAACUACGUUGUGGGUAUGAAGAGAAUAGCUUUGCAUGACAUCGAAGAACUAAAAUAUAAAAAUAGGUGCUUUUAUCAUAAAGCUAGAAUAUGUUACAAUAUAUUAUAAAUAGCGAGUGUGGAAUAAUGAUGGGUCGGUGUGCGGAAUUGUCCUAGGCAAUUGUUAAGUAGAUUGGUAAUCAUUAUUGCAAUUUUACAUGAGGGAGAGGCAUAAGCUAACAUACUUUCUCUACUUGGAUAAUAUGCAGUUAUGAAUGGAACUCUAGCAAGCAUCCGCAACUACUAAAGAUCAUUGAGGUAAAACCCAACAAUAGCAUCAAGUCCCCUUUCUCCCAUACGCAACAACCCACCUACUCGGGUUUAUGCUUCUGUCACUCUAGCAACCCACUAUAAGAGAUCAUGAACGUAUUGCAACUCCCUACAGCGAGAAUCCCUCACGCUUGCACGACACGGAGAGCGUCAUAAGACAGAACCAAUAAUAAAUCACGCGACUCAAACCAAUCUAGAUCAUCAACCAACCCAUAAGACAAAGGGAAACUACUCAAAACAUCAUACCAUGGCAACACAUCAUUGGAUCAUAAUAUGUGGCAUGAAGCACCAUUUUCAUGUAGGGGAUUAUAGCGGGAUGCGGGAGAGUGGACCGCUAAAAAGAAGAUGAGGAUGGUGAUGAAGAAGGUGAUGUUGAUGAAGACGAUCACCGCGGUGAUGGUUCCCUCGAUGGCACUCGGCACCACCGGGAGAGAGGGGGAGAGGAUCUCCCCCUUGUGGCUCCUCCCCCAUGGUUUUCCCCCCAAGGUGGGGAGAGGUUCCCCCUCUAAUCCUUGGCAUCCAUGGUGACGAUGGCCCCUCCGUCUUCCUCCUCCAUGGUCUCCGGCGAUGGUGACCCCUCCGGCAGCGUGCCGGAGUGGGUCAAGAUUGAUUUUUCGUGGCUCUAGCUUGCGGUGGCGGAACUCCCGAUCUAGGUUUCUUUCUGGGGGUUUUGGGUUUUAUAGGAAUUUUUGGCGUCAGUCUCACGUCAAGGGGACUCCUGAGGGACUCCUCGGGAGUCCUCUCUGGUAUCUUUUUCCUCCAGUAUUUUUUAUAUUCUCCAAAAAUAUUCUUUGUAAAUUUUCAGCCCAUUCCGAGGAUUUUUAUUUAUGCACAAAAACACCACAUUAGUUCUGCCGAAAACAGCGUCACUCCGGGUUAGUUCUAAUAAAAUCAUACCAAAAUCAUAUAAAAUUAAUGUAAACAUGGCAUGAAUACUUUAUAAAUUAUAGAUACGUUGGAGACGUAUCAAGGAGCAAGAGUGGCUGGGGACGAUGUCGUGGAAAACUGUCCGGGUCGGCUGGAGCUCGGACUCCAGGAUGCCGAGCUUGUCCAUGGUGUCGCGGUAGAGGAUGUUGAUGCUGCUACCUCCCUUGAUGAGCAUCGGUGCGAAACCGGGAGGUGCUCCGUGUGGAGACGAAGGUGGGGUCGAGAACCAGCGCGUAUCCGCCUCGCGUGGGCAUCACAGGAGAAUGGUCUUGGCACCGAAGGUGACGGGCUUGUUCAACCAUUGCAUGUACUCUGGGACAGGAGGAACGAUGAUGUUGACCUACAGCGCGUGACGGCGCUCGCUGUGCUUGUCGUCGUCUUCAGUGGUGAAGACACGUACGUCGCGUCUUGCUGGGGGUAGUCGUCCCGAGCGCCGCCGGCUCCCAGAGCGGGUGGUGGUGGUGGCGGCUGCGACACGGGAGGCAAAGCCUCGUCCCGCACGAUCUUGGUGAACCAGCUGCACUGGCGUCCCGUGUGCGCUGCGGGCUUGGCCCCGUUGUCGAACUUGCAGGGUCCGUCGAGCAUGGACUCGAAUUUGUACUUGCUGUGCCAUGGAUGCUUGCCCUCAUUGGUGCACUGACGCCGGCUGGCGCCUUGGCCGUCAUCCAUACAGCCGUCGGCUGGUGCCUUGGCGGGCGUACGGCUGGUCUGCCUUACGCUUGCCCUGGUCUGGCUGGUAUCGGACGGCAGCCGGGGUGGCAGCCGGCUUGGCGGCGGUCGGCUUGGCGGUCAUGUCGACAUGCACUCGGAGCUUCAUGGAAGACUCGGUCAUGGCGUAUUGGUCGACGAUGGACAUUAGUUGCACCAGGGUCGCCGGCUCCCGGCGCACGAGUUUGCUUGAGGAGGGUGUCGUCCCGGCAGCCGUAGAUGAAGUACUGCAUCGCUUGCAACUCGUGGAUGCCAUCGCAGGAAUUUCGGAGCUCGUCCCAUCGCGUUACGUAGUCGUGGAGAAGCUCGUCCGGCCCGUGCACGCACAACGUGAGCUGGUGAGGCCGGCCCGGACGCUUGUAGGUGCCGAUGAAGUUGCACACAAACGUCUCCUAGAAGUCCAGCCAGCCGUUGACGCUGUCGGCCGGAAGGCUGUUAAGCCAGGUCCGAACCGAGCUCAGUAGCAUGUGGGGCGCGUAGCACACUGCCACACGCUUGUUGCCGCUGGCGAUGCCGACAGCGGUGGUGUAGUCGAUCAACCAUUCUUCCUGCUUGGUCAAACCGUUGUACUUGGGAGUGUCGCGCGCCAAGGUUAAGCCCUUAGAAAACGACUCCUUUAGGAAGCGCGGCCCGAAGCAGGACCGGCCAGCUGUGCCUUCCUCCUCGGCGGCUUGGGACCCGGCGAUGCACGCCAUAUGGAAGCGGGCAUCCUGGUCGUCCAGCUGACGCACGUCGACACGCUUGGAUACGGGGUGACGGGAAGGCGGAUGCUCGGCCUCCCGGUCGCGGUCCUCGCAUUGAUUCCUCCGUGUGGGCUGGUGGUCGCCCUGGCCAGUCGGCUCCCUCACACGGCUGUCGACAACUGAUGGGUUGUGGUCUCGCCGACCGUGUCUGCCCGCGCCAACUGUCAUGGUGCUGGUCGGUGUUGGCAGGUAAAGAUGCGUGAUUCGGGUCCCGCCGACUGGCCGCAAGCUAGUAGGGGCCAAUGAGGUCGUUGUUGGUCCUCGAGCGGGAGCCAGUCGUGCCGCGGAGCGACUGGCUUGCCUGCUCGUGGUGCGCGUUGGCAGCCUCCAUGAGAGCGCGGAUGUGCUCCUGCUAUGCCUCAAGGGUCGGGCCGUCGAGCCCCCUAGCUAGCCGAGGGCGGCCUCUGCGGCCCUCAUGUUCUUGACGGGGGUAUCGUAGACGGGGCAGCCGCCUACCAGCUACUGGCCAACGGCACCGCCGCAGCGCCGCACUUCCGCCACCCGGCUGGGUGCGAUGUCAGCCAGCGUGAGGCCAUGGGCCACAUUGAAAUCGUGCUGAGCAGCCUCGAACUUGCUUUGGGUCGCCUCCAACGCUUCCGCCUCCGCGAGAAGGCGCUCGCGGUGGUUGUCCAGUUCCGCGGUUGCGGCCGCAGGGUCAGCCACAACCAGGAUGGGCACGCGUAGUGUGUCUAGUGAAGCGCAAAGAGGGGUGCGGUACGCGGACGUACCACCCAGGGAGAUGGCAAUCAUUACCUCCACACGGAUGCAUAGGACGUCGAUGUCGCUAGAGAGGUCGUCGUCGGACGACGACAUGACAUCACCACAUGACGGCAGACGACGGGUUACUCGUCGGAGAUGACGGCGACAUAGAAGCGGUGGGACCCGAAGGCGACGAAGGAGCCGUUGUCGGGGAAGUCUGCAUCCUCGAGGCGAUGGGCGUUGUCCUUGACACAGUUGAGUGCGUCGUAGCACAGGAGCAAGCCAUGCGCCACGCGCUCGCCAGAAAGGGUUACGGGUCCCGCCCAGAACGUCACUCCGGCCUGCAUCGCUGCCGGCCCUACGGUGGGCACCAACUAUCAUAGUAUUUCCGCGGCAGAUGCCAGGGGGUGGCUUAGAACAUGGUUUGGGGCCGAUGGGUGUGAUACAUCUCCACCGUAUCUAUAAUUUAUGAACUAUUCAUGCCAUGUUUACAAUAAUUCUAUAUGAUAUUGGUAUGAUAUUAUUAGAACUAACCCGGAGUGACGCUGUUUUCAACAAAGCUACCGUGUUGUUAUUUUUGUGCAGAAAUAAAAGUUCUCAGAAUGGGCUGAAAAUUUACGGAGAAUAUUUUUGGAAAAUAUGAAAAAUAAUGGAGCAAAAAGAUACCGGAGAGGAGUCCCGAGGCAGUCACCAGGGCGCGACCCCCCCUAGGUCGUGCCCCUGGCUUGUGGGCCCGUCGAGCACUCCCGUGACAUGGUUCCAACGCCAAAUAUUCUUAUAAAUAUAGAAACCCUCGAAAAGAAACUUUGAUCAGGAGUUCCCCCGCAGCAAGCCUCCAGAGCCAUGAAAAACCAAUCUUGGCCCGCUCUCGCACCCUGCCGGAGAGGGCCACCAUCACCGGAGACCAUGGAGGAGGAAUACGGAGGGGCCAUCAUCACCAUGGAGGCGAAGGACCAUAGGGAGAACCUCUCCCCACCUUUGGGGGAGGCCACGAAGGAGGAGGCACAAGGGGGAGAACCUCUCCACCUCUCUCCUGGUGGUGCCAGACGGCCACAUGGGGAACCAUCGCCGCGGUGAUCGUCUUCAUCAACAUCACCUUCUUCAUCACCAUCCUCAUCUUCUUUUAGCAGUCCACUCUCCCGCACCCCAAUGCCAUCCCCUACUUGAACAUGGUGCUCUAUGCCACAUAUUACGAUCCAAUGAUGUGUUGCCAACCUAUGAUGUUUUGAGUAGAUUCCCUUUGUCUUAUGGGUUGAUUGAUGAUCUAGAUUGGUUUGAGUUGCAUGCUUUAUUAUUGGUGUUGUCCUAUGGUGCUCUCCGUGUCGCGCAAGCAUGAGGGAUUCCCUUUGUAGGGUGUUGUAAUACGUUCAUGAUUCNNNNNNNNNNNNNNNNNNNNNNNNNNNNNNNNNNNNNNNNNNNNNNNNNNNNNNNNNNNNNNNNNNNNNNNNNNNNNNNNNNNNNNNNNNNNNNNNNNNNNNNNNNNNNNNNNNNNNNNNNNNNNNNNNNNNNNNNNNNNNNNNNNNNNNNNNNNNNNNNNNNNNNNNNNNNNNNGGUUGCUUGAGUGACAGAAGCAUAAACCCGAGUAGGUGGGUUGUUGCGUAUGGGAUAAAGCGGACUUGAUGCUUUAAUGCUAUGGUUGGGUUUUACCUUAAUGAUCUUUAGUAGUUGUGAUGCCUACUAGAGUUCCAACCAUAAGUGCAUAUGAUCAAAGUAGAUAAAGUAUGUUAGCUUAUGCCUCUCCCUCAUAUAAAAUUGCAAUAAUGAUUACCCAUCUUGUUAACAAUUGCCUAGGACAAUUGCGCACGCCGACCCAUCAUUAUUCCACACUCUCUAUUUGUAACACAUUAUAAUAUAUUCUAACUUUAUGAUAAUAGCACCAAUUUUCAUAUUUUAGUUCUCCAAUUUCAUGCAAAACUAUUCUCUUCAUACCCACAACGUAAUUUUAUUACUCGUUCCUAGUUGGAAGCAAACGUUCGGCGUAUGUAGAGUUGUAUCAGUGGCAGAUAGGAGAGAAUAUUGCUCUUACCUUUAGCUCCUUGUGGGUUCGACACUCCAUACUUAUCAUUUCCACCUUUGGAAAUUGCUACGAUUAUUCCUUGCACUUGGGGAUUAUCAAGCUCUUUUCUCGCGCCGUUGCCGGGGAGCAAUAGUGUGGGGUUGAUAUUCUCAUGUGUGCUUGUUUGCUUUCUUCACUAAGUAUAUUUUGUUUUCCCUUUUUGAUCUAUUUAGUUGUGGUUGAAACAAACAAAAAAAUUGAAUAAUGAAAAAUACAAAAAGAAUUACUUGCCUCUUAUGCCUAAGAAGUUUUCAAAAAGGGAAGUGAUUGGAAGGUUGUGCAAUGGAGAAGUGAGGAUCGACCUUGAACACUUGUGUUCAUGAUCAUGGAAGCAAUGUAGAUUUUUUUUCAUGGAAGUUUCUCAAAAAUAAUUAUCCCCUUAUAUAUAUAUCCAUUGUAUUAUAAAAAUAAUGUGCCAAGAUUUGCCUCUAGGAUGAUUAGAUUGCUUGUUUGGUGUGUGGUGUGCAAAAUAGAAACUUUGGCUCCACUCCGCGAGUUUACGUUUUUUACUGGAAUGUCAAAAGUGUCUGAAAUUUUUACAAAAAAAUUAUUUCGUGCUAAUUAGUCAGAAUAUUUUGAGUUACAGAAGUAUACGAAGUUUUCAGAUUGCUACAAAUUGUACUGUUUUGACAGAUUCUGUUUUCUUACGAUUGUUCUCUUGUUUUCAUGAAUCUAUGGGUAGUACCGGGGGGUAUGAACCAUGGUGAACUUGGACUACAUUAGAUAUAAUUCUAAUAUGAAUUUGGAAUGAGUUCACAACAGUACUUAAAGUAGUAUUUUUCUUUAUUAUACUAACGGAUCUCACGAGAGUUUUAUUAAGUUUUGUAUGAAUGAAGUGUCCGAAGAUCGAGGAGGUAUCGUUAAAAGAUGAAUACAGGGAGACAAGAGUUCACGAUUGGGGAUACCCAAGGCACGCCAAGUAAAUAUUUCAACGAGGCUCAAGCAUCUAAUCUUGGGGAUGCCCUCGAAGGCAUCCCAUCUUUAUUCUUCAACAAUUAUCGGUAUACCUUGGUUUUUGUUUUGUUCACAUGAUAUGCGUCCUUAGUGUUUUUCUUAUCCUUUUAUGCACCUUUCUAGUAUGAUAUAGUCCUUCAUUGAUUUAUAGAAUGCUUCAUGCGCUUCACUUAAAUCUUUUGAGUAUGGCUUUGUAGAAAGCUCUUGGUGCUUCACUUAAAUCUUUUGAGUACGGCUCUAUAGAGUGCUCUUCGUGCUUCACUUAAAUCUUUUGAGUAUGGCCUUAUAGAACGCUUCGUGUGCUUCACUUAUAUAUUUUCAGCUUAGAUAUUGGUUGAUCUAUAUUAAUUGUAGAAUGCUCUAUGAACUUCACUUAUAUCUUUUAGAGUAUGAAUAAAAUUAUCAUCGCAAUUAGGCUUGGACGAGCAUCAUUGAAAUGAUCAUGCCUAGCUAAAAGGCAUUAAAGAAAAUCGUUUAUUGGGAGAUGAUGUCCCACAAGCGUAUGGGAUCACAGCAGUUUUCGAGGGUAGAGUAUUAGACCCAAAUUUAUUGAUUCGCUCACAAGGUGAAGCUAAAGGAUAUUCUCAAGUAUUGGCAGCUGAGUUGUCAAUUCAACCACACCUGAAAAAUUAGUGUCUGCGAGCAAAGUAUCAGUAGCAAGGUAGUAUGAUAGCAACGGCACCAGAAAAAGCUUUGGCAAUGAUACGUCUCCAUCGUAUCUACUUUUCCAAACUCUUUUGCCCUUGGUUUGGACUCUAAUUUGCAUGAUUUGAAUGGAACUAACCUGGACUGACGUUGUUUUCAGCAGAAUUGCCUUGGUGUUAUUUUUGGGCAGAAAUCAAAGUUCUGAGAACGUCCUGAAAAUUUACGGGGAACAUUUUUGGAAAAUAUGAAAAAUACCUGCGCAAAGAUCCACCUCAGGGGGUGGGCGAGUGGGCCACAAGCCCUGCCUCCACCACCCCCCUGGUGGCGGUGGAUAAGCUUGUGGGGCCCACACGACUCUGCCGCCCCCAAUCUCAGGUCUAUAAGUUCACUUUCGUCCCAGAAAAAAAUAAAAAGAGAAGAUUUCGUCGCAUUUGCGAUAUGGAGGCGCCGCCACAACCUGUUCUUCAUCUGGAGGGCAGAUGUGGAGUCCGUCUUGGGCUCCGGAGAGGGGAAAUCGUCACCAUCAUCAUCAUCAACCUUCUUCCCUCUCCAAUUCCAUGAAGCUCUUCGUCGUUCGUGAGUAAUCUAUUCGUAGGCUCGCUGGGCGGUGAUGGGUAGGAUGAGAUCUAUCAUGUAAUCGAGUUAGUUUUGAUGGGGAUUGAUCCCUAGUAUCCACUAUGUUCUGAGAUUGAUGUUGCUACUACUUUGCCAUGCUUAAUGCUUGUCACUAGGGCCCGAGUGCCAUGAUUUCAGAUCUGAAAUUAUUAUGUUGCCACCAAUAGAUGUGUGUUUUAGAUCCGAUCUUGCAAGUUGUAGUUACCUACUAUGUGUUAUGAUCCGGCAACCCCGGAGUGACAAUAACCGGAACCACUCCCGGUGAUGACCAUAGUAUGAGGAGUUCAUGUGUUCACCAAGUGCUAAUGCGUUGGUCCGGUUCUUUAUUAAAAGGAGAACCUUAAUAUCCCAUAGUUUCCUUUUGGACCCCGCUGCCACGGGAGGGAUGGACAAUAGAUGUCAUGCAAGUUCUUUUCCCUAAGCAUGUAUGACGACACACGGAAUGCAUGCCUACAUCACAUUGACGAACGGGAGCUAGCCACAUAUCUCUCCGUGUUAUAAUUGUUGCAUGAUGAAUAUCACCCAAACAAAUCACCGACCCAUUGCCUACGAGUUUGUCCUACUGUUGAUGUUACUUGUCUUGCUCUGCUGCUGUUACUUGUCUUGCUCUGCUGCUACUGUUGCUACUACUGUCGCUUACCACUGGGUUACUUGCUACUUUGCUGUUACUACUUUGCUUGCAGAUACUAAUCUUUCAGGUGUGGUUGAAUCUGACGCAUUCAGCUGCUAAUACACGAGAGUAUUCUCUCACCUCCUGUCUGGCGAAUCAACAAAUUUGGGUCGAAUACUCUACCCUAGAAAACUGCUGCGAACCCACGCGCUGGUGGGCCGUCAACAACAUUCUUCUAGUUUCAUUGCCAGGGAGUGCUGGUAGCAUUCUUCUGGUUCCGUUGCAGGAGAAGGUUUGUUGUCACAGAAUCCGCAUUCGUCUAGCUAUUGCCAGAGAGUGCCAGUCAGCAUUUUUCUGGCGCCGUUGCCGGGGAGGUAUUGCUAUAUUCUCUGAGUCACUUGGGAUUUAUAUCUAAAGAUCACUAUGAAGAAUCUGAAGGAUCCAAAAACCAAAGUCUUGCCCUCAACUACGAGGGGAGGUAAGGAACUGCCAUCUAGCUCUGCACUUGAUUCACCUUCUGUUAUGAGUAAGUUUGCGACAUCACCUCCUUCUAGAAAUCUUGAUAUGUCGCCUGUGCUUGAUGAUGCUACUACUAGAGAUGCUAUGCUUGAUACUAUGCCUGAUACUGCUUUGUCUGAUGAUGUUAGAGAUACUAUGCAUGAUACUGCUUUGCCUGAUAUUGCUAGAGAUACUAUGCUUGAUAUUGCUAGAGAUGCUAUGCUUGAUACUGCUUUGCCUGAUGAUGCUAUGCUUGAUACUGCUAGAGAUACUACUUUGCCUGAUGUUCCACUAGGGGUAUUCCUUGAUGCUCAUAUUGCUAGAGUUACUUCCAAUGAUCGUGAUGCUUCUGAAACUGCCGAUACUAUUGAGAUAGAACCUGCUUUUGCUCCUGCUAGAUCUAGCUUUCCUAGAUAUGAAUUGCCUGAUAUACCUGAGGGUUACGUUAUGGAGGGAGAGAUAGCUGAGGAUUUUCUUGCAUGUAAGGAUGCCUAUGACACUGAGAAAUUACUUCUCAAGUGGAAGGAAAAAUCUCUGAAAGCUAGGAUGAAAUACGACCCGAAGUUUGCCACUUCACCUAUCUUUAUCACCCAUAAGGAUUAUGAAUUCUCUGUCGACCCCGAGAUAAUCUCUCCAGUCGAAUCUGAUCCUUUCCACGGUUAUGAGUCUGAGACGGUCGUAGCCCAUCUUGCCAAACUACACGAUAUAGCCACCCUUUUCACUAAUGAGGAGAAGAUCCGCCACUACUAUAUCCUUAAGUUGUUUCCUUUUUCCCUGAAGGAUGAUGCUAAAGCCUGGUUCACCUCUCUUGCUCCUGGAUGUGUGAGUAGUCCCCAGGAUAUGGUCUAUUACUUCUGUGAGAAAUAUUUUCCUGCCCAUAAGAGGCAAGCUGCCUUGCAGGAAAUAUACAACUUUGCUCAACUCCAAGAAGAGAGUCUUCCACAAGCUUGGGGGAGGCUCGUCCAGCUACAGAAUGCUUUGCCUGAUCACCCUCUUAAGAAGAACGAGAUACUUGAUAUCCUCUAUAACGGACUUAUCGAUGCCUCUAGAGACCAUCUAGAUAGUUGUGCCGGUUGUGUUUUUAGGGAACAAACUGCAGAACAAGCUGAGACCCUACUGAAUAACAUCUUGAUCAACGAUAAUGUUUCGACUAUUCCCGAACCACGUCCUAAGCCAACUCCUAAGAAAUAAGGUAUUCUAUUCCUCAGUCCCGAAGAUAUGCAAGAAGCCAAGAAAUCUAUGCAAGAGAAAGGCAUUAGAUCUGAAGAUGUCAAAAAUCUACCACCUAUCGAAGAGAUCCAUGGUCUCAAUAACCCGAUACAGGUAGUAGAAGUAAAUUCUCUGCGUAGGUUUGAUGAGAGUGAUAUUCGUUUUGACGAACCUGCUAGCCUAUGCUUUGAUGAAUUUGACAACUUUGUUGCCAAACAACAGAGUUUCAGUGAUUAUGUUAGCAGACAUUUGGAACAAAGUACUCGUAUGCUUAGCCAUUUAAGUGCUUGUGUAGACAGAAAUGUCAAUGAUCUGAAGCUUCUGACUAAAAAUGCCUCUAUGAUUACUACUCAGGUAGAAAAAGUACUUAAAGCUUAGAAUGACUUGCUCAAUGAAUUAAAUGACAACUCUGUCAGAGUCAUUACUAGAGGAGGCAAAAUGACUCAGGAACCUUUGUAUCCUGAAGGUCAUCCUAAGAGAAUUGAUCAAGAUUCUCAAGGAAUCAAUGCUGAUACACCCAGUCAUCCUAAGGAGAAGAAGAAGGAUGAUAGACACCUACAUGCCAGUUCACCAAAUACUGGCACACCUGAAGAACCUAAUGAUAUUUCUGCGUCUGAUGCAGAAACACAAUGUGGUGAUGAACAUGAACCUGGUGACAAUAUGGAUAGCGAUGUUCAUAAUAAUGCUCAACCUAGCAAUGAUGAGGAUGUGGAGAUUGAACCUACGGUUAAUCAUGAUAAACCACAACCUAAGAGAUACGAUAAGAAUGACUUCACUGCUAGGAAGCAUGGUAAAGAAUGGGAGCCAUGGGUUCAGAGAUCUAUGCCCUUUCCUCCUAAGCCAUCCAAGAAAAAGGAUGAUGAGGAUUUUGAGCGCUUCGUUGAGAUGAUAAGACCCAUCUUUCUGCAGAUGCGGUUAACUAAUAUGCUCAAGAUGUCUCCGCAUGCCAAGUACAUGAAAGAUAUCGUGACUAAUAAACGGAAGAUACCAGAUCUUGAGAUCUCCACCAUGCUUGCCAAUUACACUUUCAAAGGUGGAACUCCUAAGAAACUUGGUGAUCCCGGAGUGCCCACUAUACCUUGUUCCAUUAAAGGAAACUACGUAAGAACUGCCUUAUGUGACCUUGGAGCCGGUGUUAGUGUUAUGCCGCUCUCUCUUUAUCGUAGACUUGAGUUGGAUAAGUUGACACCCACUAAAAUUUCUCUGCAAAUGGCCGACAAAUCAACUGCUUUUCCUAUCGGCAUUUGCGAGGAUGUGCCUGUUGUGGUUGCUAAUACCACUAUCUUAACAGACUUUGUUAUCUUGGAUAUUCCCGAGGAUGAUGCCAUGGCUGUCAUCCUCGGAAGACCCUUUUUAAACACUGCAGGGGCUGUUAUAGAUUGCAACAAAGGCAAUGUCACUUUCCAUGUCAACGGUAAUGAGCACACAGUGCACUUUCCGAAGAAACGAUAUCAACUACAUUGCAUCAAUGCUAUUGAAAAGACUUCAUCGAUUCUUAUUGGGAGCUUUGAAUGCCCUAUUCCUCGUGUCAAGAUGAAGUAUGAUUUGCUUGUUGGGGAGAUACAUAUCCCCAUUGAGGUGACUUAGUGGCUAUUCGAAAAUUCUCCGUUCUCUCUUGCGAUUCGAGAAGGUUUUUUCAUGAGGACUUGAUCAACCCAUUGACGGAUUUCUUUCGAUGACCAUGAAAUGGAUGAAUCAAAGAGUCACAUACCUCUGUUUUGAGCUUUCAUUUUCUGUUGCUUAGAAGAAAAAUGAUGGAAUUAGUUUAGCUUUUCCUGUUUUCUCUUUUAGCGUCCCGGAGAAAAAUACCUCGAAAAUAAAAGUUCUCCGAUGGUCUUGAAAAUUUAGUUUGAUUUUUUCUGGAAUUUUUGAAAAUUACUGGGCCUGAGAGAUGGCCUGGGGGCGAGACCAGUGGGCCACAAGCCCUGCCACCGCCACCCCCCUGGUGGCGGAGAGAAAGCUUGUGGGGCCCACACGGACCCCCUCCACUCAUUCCAGCUCCCAGCCUCUUCUUCCACCUCCAGAAAAAAAUUGUUUCGCAGCUCAAACCCGUGUUCUUGCUCAUUUGGCUGUGAUUUUGGAUCUCCUUGCUCAAAGCACCAUUCUCCGAACCGUUCUGGGGAAAUUACUCCUUGGUAAGUGACUCCUCCAUUGGUCCAAUUAGUUUUUGCUCUAGUGCUUUAUCCUUCGCGUAUUCUUGCUACCUUGGUGACCCUGUUCUUGAGCUAGAAAAGUUUAUUUUAGCUAGACCCAAGUAGUUUUAGCGCGUGAUACGGUCUCUAGGCACUAGUAGGAGUAGUUGCUACAAGUUGGGUUAAUCUUUUUUCACUUUUCUUUCGAAGUCUCUAAACAUUUCAGAAUUUUUCAGAGCUAGAAAAAGGAAAAGAUGAAGAGGUUCUUGAGAGGCUCUUCAAGCCGUAACCCCAAGGAGGAUGAGAAGAACCACCCCAAGUAUGUAGUCCCUCGAGUCACAGAAGUUCGAGCGUGCGAGUGGCCAAGUGAUGAAUUUUUGCGCGCCACCGGACUUUAUGAAGACUUUUACUACUUGGUGGAGAACGCGGGUCUUACCGCGUUCGUUGAAGAUAAGUGCUCACAAUACCUCUUCCUCACCAAUAUUUUUGUUCAAAGCUUCAACUUUUAUCCGAGGAAGAAUCCUCGCAUGGUUGAGUUCAUGAUAUACGACAUCCCCCAGUGCAUGACACUACAGGAUUUUUGGAAUGUAUGCAAAUUACCUUGUGUUGGCGAUAUCCGUGACCCUCGUCCACAGGACUUGGAGGAUUUCAUUGGUUCUACUGCUGUUGGAGAGGAGAGAGGAGUGUCUCGCGCUAGAAUUGUUAGCAUACAUUUUCCUAUGCUCCGGUAGUUCUCACUAUUUGUGGGAAAAUGUUUGAUUGGCCGUGGGGAGGCUGGAUCACUUAGUUCUCCAGACCUUGCAGUUUUACGCGAAGACCUUUAUAACGAUAAGGCUUAUAGCCUAGGUGUUAUAGUGGCCCAGCGGUUGAACACCAACCGUUCCAAGGGUGUCGUCUAUGGAGGUAUCUAUGCUACCCGUCUUGCCAGACACUUUGAGAUACCCAUUAGACUGGGAGAGGAAGGAGAGAUGCUUCUCCCCGAGAAAUAUCUGGAUUAUGACAGCAUGGUUCGCCAUGAUUAUCUGGAUAGAGAUGCUAGUAUAUGGAUGAUUUAUAACCUGGUAUUUAGUCAGGGUACUCGAGAGACUAUUACUUUGCCUGCCCCUUCUUUGUUUGAUCUUCAUGCAGACAGGUACACUAUUAUGCCCUCGGACAUCUACGCAUAUUGGGGCCUGGCCCAACCACACGCGCCCGUGCCCGAGCCGUCAGUCGAGUAUCAGACGCCAGUUUAUCAGUGGGAGCCAGAGGAGCUCACACAGCAGUGGCAUCCACAGUCUGCUCCGGAGUAUCCUGGAGCUGGUGAAUUCCCACCAUGGGAGUAGUCCAAGCUAGGCCAAAAGCCUAAGCUUGGGGGAGUACGUGUUCUCACCGACUUUACAUUCAUGCUUAUGCUUUCACUUUGUUAGCCGGUGUUUACACUUUGCCACUGUAUUAUCCAUGCUAGUUUAUUUUUUUUUCUUGUUUUCUUGUUUUGUGUCCUUUUGAGAAAAUCCAAAAAGAUUUUUCUUUCUUCUUUUGCUUGUUGGGAGCUUUCCCGUGUAAAUAGUGUUCUUUUUCUUUGGGUCAAGGUAGAAGAUAUUGGUUACAAUGUUUAGUGGUUCUUGCAUGCAUACCUGUUUAGCUUUCAAAGAGCCAUAUUACCUUGUCUUCUCCUUUGUGUUUGCCUGCAGAUUCACCUUAGUCCAAUGCGCGAGCACUCUUAUUAUUGUUCACAUCGUUCGGUCAUGCAAAUGAAAGGCAAUAAUGAUGAUAUAUGAUGAAGUGACUAAGACUGAAAAGCUGGUAUGAGCUCUAUCUAUUUUGUUUUUGUAAAUAUGACUAGCUUGUCAUCCCAGAUUCAACUUUGUUGUGAGAGAACCAUGUUUGCAAUGACAACUUUGAGAUCAUAGUUUCUGAUUCCAUGCUUAUUUAGCUAGGAGCUUAUAAUGGUUUGUCUUGAAUGCCAACAUAGAUUUUGAGAUGACUAUGAUGUAGUAUGAUAGGAUGGUAUUCUCCUUUGAAUGUUUCAAGUGGCUUGACUUGGCGCAUGUUCAUGCAUGUAGUUGAAACAAAAUCAACAUAGCCUCUAUGAUGUUCGUUUUCAUGGUGAUUUAUAUCCUAUUCAUGCUUGCAUUCAAUGUUAGUCAAACGCAUUGCAUCUUGAUGACUGUUGUCGCUCUCUAGUUGGUCGCUUCCCAGUCUUUUGCUAGCCUUCACUUGUACUAAGCGGAAUACUGCUUGUGCAUCCACUUCCAUAAACCCAAGAGUUUUUCCAUGAGAGUCCACCAUACCUCCCUAUUUGCGGUAUCUACCUGCCGUUCCAAGUGAAUUUGCAUGUGACAUUCUCUAAACCAUCAAGAAAUAAUCUGUUUUGCAUGUCGGAACCGCUCAUGUGGUGACAGGGGGCUAUUGGUAUCUUCCAUGCUAGGAGUGUUAUCCUCGACAUGUGUUUAUUCACUGUCAUUCACGAGAAAGGGGCCGGUAAUAGGAAUGCCCAGUUCCACGCUUAAAUCAAAAACAUAACUGUAAAACAAGACCCCCCCCCCCCGGGUUGAUGUUAGUAUGGAUGGUACCCGAGGAUUCGGCUAGCCGUGGAUUGUGAUUGAUUGGUGGUGGGGGAGUUAAAACUUUACUUUUUUGUUUGGGAACUGCCUAUAGCAUGAGUAGCAUGGAAGAUAUUGAGAACUCUUGGUCAUUGCGUUGACAAUGAAAGCAUGCCACCCAAAAUUAUUAUCUCUGUUUUCAAAGCUUGAGCUCUGGCACCUCUGCAAAUCAAUGCUUCCCUCUGCGAAGGGCCUCUCUAUUUAUUUUCCUAUUGAGUCAUCCUCCUCUUAUAUAAGCACCAAUUAGAGAGCACUUCUGUCAUUUUUAUGCUUUGCUUUUGAUUGGUAUUGAGUAUGACUAUGACUGGAUCUUCGUUUUUAUGAAUUACAAUGUUUAGUCACCCCUUGAUCUUUGAAAGUGCUCUGCAUUUAUGUUUUGUGGUCUCAGAAAGAGCUAGCGAGAUACCACCUAUUCAUAUUGCUCCAUGCUUGUUUUGAUUGAAGUGUUGGUAUUUGAAACUCAUUAUUAUUUGCUCGUUAGCUGAUUAUGACAUUGAUAUUAGUUUACCGUGAGACCUUUGUGUCACUUGCUUAUGUGGUUAACUUGUGAUAUUGCUGAAAUUGUGGUUAUGAGUUAGACAUAGUUGCAACAACAAGAUCAAACAGAGUUUGUCAAAGUUUUUCUUUCUCUCUCAGUUUGUCAACUGAGUUGCUUGAGGACAAGCAAGGUUUUAAGCUUGGGGGAGUUGAUACGUCUCCAUCGUAUCUACUUUCCAAACUCUUUUGCCCUUGUUUUGGACUCUAAUUUGCAUGAUUGAAUGGAACUAACCUGGACUGACGCUAUUUUCAGCAGAAUUGCCUUGGUUUUAUUUUUGUGCAGAAAUCAAAGUUCUCAGAACGUCCUCAAAAUUUACGGGAACAUUUUUGGAAAAUAUGAAAAAUACCUAUGGAAAGAUCCACCUGAGGGGGUGGGCCAGUGGGCCACAAGCCCUGCCUCCGCCACCCCCUGGUCGCGGUGGGCAAGCUUGUGGGGCCCACACGGCUCUACCGCCCCCAAUCUCAGGUCUAUAAGUUCACUUUCGUCCCAGAAAAAAUAAAAAGAGAAGAUUUCGUCGCGUUUGCGAUACGGGGGCGCUGCCACAACCUAUUCUUCAUCUGGAAGGCAGAUCUGGAGUCCGUCUUGGGCUCCGGAGAGGGGAAAUCGUCGCCAUCGUCAUCAUCAACCUUCUUCCCUCUCCAAUUCCAUGAAGCUCUUCGUCGUUCAUGAGUAAUCUAUUCGUAGGCUCGCUGGGCGGUGAUGAGUAGGAUGAAAUCUAUCAUGUAAUCGAGUUAGUUUUGAUGGGGAUUGAUCCCUAGUAUCCACUAUGUUCUGAGAUUGAUGUUGCUACUACUUUGCCAUGCUUAAUGCCUGUCACUAUGGCCCGAGUGCCAUGAUUUCAGAUCUGAAAUUAUUAUGUUGCGACCAAUAUAUGUGUGUUUUAGAUCCGAUCUUGCAAGUUGUAGUUACCUACUAUGUGUUAUGAUCCGGCAACCCCAGAGUGACAAUAACCGGAACCACUCCCAGUGAUGACCAUAGUUUGAGGAGUUCAUGUGUUCACCAAGUGCUAAUGCAUUGGUCCGGUUCUUUAUUAAAAGGAGAACCUUAAUAUCCCAUAGUUUCCUUUUGGACCCCGCUGCCAAAGGAGCGAUGGACAAUAGAUGUCAUGCAAGUUCUUUUCCCUAAGCACGUAUGACGACACACGGAAUGCAUGUCUACAUUACAUUGACGAACGGGAGCUAGCCACAUAUCUCUCCGUGUUAUAACUAUUGCAUGAUGAAUAUCAUCCAAACAAAUCACCGACCCAUUGCCUACGAGUUUGUCCUACUGCUGUUGUUACUUGUCUUGCUCUGUUGCUGUUACUUGUCUUGCUCUGCUGCUACUGUUGCUACUACAGUCGCUUGCCACUGCCGUUACUCGCUACAUUGCUGUUACUACUUUUCUUGCAGAUAUUAAUCUUUCAGGUGUGGUUGAAUCUGACGCAUUCAGCUGCUAAUACUCGAGAGUAUUCUCUCACCUCCUGUCUGGCGAAUCAACAAAUUUGGGUCGAAUACUCUACCCUCGAAAACUGCUGUGAACCCACGCGUUGGUGGGCCGUCAAUAACAUUCUUCUAGUUUCAUAGUCGGGGAGUGCUAGUAGCAUUCUUCGGGUGCCAUUGCAGGGUAAGUUUUGUUCUCAUAGAAUCAGCAUUCGUCUAGCUAUUGCCAGACAGUGCCGGUCAGGCAAUUCCCAGCAAUGGCGCCAUAAAAAGGCACGUUGACGGGAUGUUAGCGCCAACAAAGUCUUGCAACAAGUAACAGCGGAGUAGGAAGGAACAGUAGUAGCAGCAGCAGCAAAGUAACAAGUAACAGCAGUAGCGACAGCAGCAGCAAAGUGGCCCAAUCCCUCUUGUAGCAAGGGACAAGCCUAGGCAAAGUAACAUAGCGAGGACCAGUAGUAAAAGACUCGUAGGCAGUGGAUCGGUGAUGGAUGAGUAUGACGGAUGUGAUUCAUCAUGUAAUAGCUAUAACACGGAGAGAUAUGUGACUAGCUCCCGUUCAUCAAUCUGAUGUAGGCAUGUAUUCCGUAUGUAGUCAUACGUGCUUAUGGAAAAGAACUUGCAUGCCAUCUAUUGUCCAUCCCUCCCAUGGCAGCGGGAUCCUAAUGGAAGCUACGGGAUAUUAAGGUUCUCCUUUUAAUAAAGAACCGGACCAACGCAUUAACACGCGGUGAACACAUGAACUCCUCAUACCAUGGUCAUCUCCGGGAGUGGUUCCGGCUAUUGUCACUCCGGGGUUGCCGGGUCAUAACACAUAGUAGGUGACUACAACUUGCAAGAUAGGAUCUAAAACACACAUAUAUUGGCGACAACAUAAUAGGUUCAGAUCUGAAAUCAUGGUACUCGGGCCCUAGUGACAAGCAUUAAGCAUAGCCAAGUAGUAGCAACAUCAAUCAAGAACAUAGUGGAUACUAGGGAUCAAUCCCCGUCAAGAACUAACUCGAUUACAUGAUAGAUCUCAUCCAACUCAUCACCGUCCAGCAAGCCUACGAUGAGAUUACUCACGAACGAUGAAGAGCAUCAUGGAAUUGUCGAUGGAGAACGGUUGAUGAUGACGAUGGCGACGAUUGCCCCUCUCCGGAGCUCGAAACGGACUCCAGAUCUGCCCUCCAAAUGAAGAACAAGAUGUGGUGGCGCCUUCGUAUCGCAAAACGCGAUGAAACCUUCUCUCUGAUUUUUUCCGUCGAAACGGAAGAUAUAGAGCUGAGUUUGGGGGCGGUGGAGCCACGUGGGCCCCACAAGACAGCAUGGCGCGGCCUAGGGGGGUGGCCGCAUCGUGUGGGCUUGUGGCCCACUGGCACACCCCCCCCCCCUCACGUGGAUCUUUGCGCAGGUAUUUUUCUUUUAUUCCAGAAAAAAUCUCCGUAAAUUUUCAGGAUGUUCCGAGAACUUUUAUUUCUGCACAAAAACAACACCAUGGCAAUUCUGCUGAAAACACCGUCAGUCCGGGUUAGUUCCAUUCAAAUCAUGCAAGUUAGAGUCCAAAACAANNNNNNNNNNNNNNNNNNNNNNNNNNNNNNNNNNNNNNNNNNNNNNNNNNNNNNNNNNNNNNNNNNNNNNNNNNNNNNNNNNNNNNNNNNNNNNNNNNNNNNNNNNNNNNNNNNNNNNNNNNNNNNNNNNNNNNNNNNNNNNNNNNNNNNNNNNNNNNNNNNNNNNNNNNNNNNAGUCCGGGUUAGUUCCAUUCAAAUCAUGCAAAUUAGAGUCCAAAACAAGGGCAAAAGAGUUCGGAAAAGUAGAUACGAGGGAGACAUAUCAGGAGACAACCCAACACUUUUACCUUCUAUUUUUGUGAGUUCACAUGAUUAAGCUACUGUAGUAAUCAUGUUUUGUGUCUUUUAUUUCAAUAAAGUGUCAAGUAAAGCCUUUGGAAUGACUCACAAGAUGAGUAGAAUUGAUGCCGAACCAAAACAGAAACUUUUCACUCAAGUACAUGAAUUUUCAUUUUUUUACCAAAGCGUGAUAAUGAUUUAAAAUUUUACACAGUAUUUAUAUAUAAAUUCUCCUGGUUUUGCUAAUUUUUUAGAAUUUUGAUAGACAGGGAAGUAUGGCUAUACUACAGAGUUCUAUAAAUUAUGGGAAACAUGGCUACUGUUCUGUUUUCGACAGAUUAUGUUUUGUAUGCAUAGUCUGCUUAUUUUAGUGUUCCCAUAGCUUAUAUUCAGUAAUAUAAAUUAUGGGAAUGAUAGAAUACAGUAGGUAUAAUGUGGUAACUAUUAUGAAUCUUGUCUUGACAGUACCUAAGUGAAUGAUCUAUCUUUAUUACACUAAGCUUUCUCACAAAGUUCCGUUAAGUUUUGUGUGAUUGAAGUUUUCAAGUUUUGGGUGAGACAUCGAUAUGAGGAGAACAAGGACUGACAAGUACCUAAGCUUGGGUAUGCCCAAGUUACCCCAAGGUAAUAUCCGUUGAAGACUCAAGUGUCUAAGCUUGAGGAUGCCCCGGAAGCAUCCCCUCUUUCAUCUCCAACGCUAUACGUAAUCUUACUUAGAGCUAUAUUUUUAUUCGUCUCGUAAUAUGUGUUUUUCUUGGAGCAUCAUUUUAUUCUAUUGAUUUCUGUUAGAUGUUAUUUAUAAUUUUGUUUUCUAUAAAAAUCCAAGAAUUGUAUUAGGAUGCUUGCAUUGCAUGGUUUGAUGUGUGCUGUAUAAAAACAGAAACUCUUGUUGUAGUGUUUGAAUUUUCAUAUUUUACUAGAAUGUGGAAAGUUUGUGAAAUAUUUACACAAAUUUUUCUUAUAAAUUUUAUAGAAUGAACUAAAUUUGCAUAAUUUUUUGAGUUACACAAGUAGACUGUUUUCAUAAAUUGCUACAAACUGUUCUGUUUGGAUAGAUUGUUGUCAUAGUUUUGUUAUCUACUUAUCAUAUAGUUUCCAUAGCCUAUAUUGGUAGAUAUAAAUUGUGGAAACGAUAGUAAACAGUACAUGAUGUUUGAAAGUUAUUAUACAACUUUUCUUGUCAGUACAUGAAGAGUUGAUUUAUUAUUGUGUGUACUAACCUAUCUCAUGAGUUCUUUUCGAGUUCUGUGUGGAUGAAGUUUUUUAGAAAAGGUGAAACCAUGAUAUGAGAGGAUUGAAUGAGAAACAAAAGCUCAAUCUUGGGGAUGCCCAAGGCAUCGCAAGUAAAUAUUUCAAGAACUCUCAAGUAUCUAAGCUUGGGGAUGCUACGCAUCCCACCUCUCUUUGUCAACUAUCGGUUAGCCUAUCUUGAGCCUAAAUUUUUAUUCGUUCACAUGACGCGUCCUAUUCUUGGACUACUAUUUUUCUUUUGCUUGCUAUUUAAAUAAAAUACUCAGAUCUGAGAAUCUUUAUUGAGAGAGAGGAAGAAAGUCCUCACAUAGAUACUUAAUUGUUUGACUACUCAUUGAUCUUCACUUAUAUGUUUUGGAGUAGUUUUGGCAUUUACUCUCGUGCUUCACUUAUAUCCUAUGAGUAAAUAGUUGAAUGAAUUGGAUAUUAUAAAUAUGAAAUUAUAUAUGUUCUAAGUGCUUAUCCCAUGGGGAGUAAUGACUUCACAUAUAAGAAGUAUAGGUGGUAUAAUUUAUUGAAAGUUAGCAAACACCGCAUUGGUCACUUGAACAAUACAUGAAAGAAUAUUGAAGGAAGAGAGAUUCCACAUAUAAAUAUACUAUCUUGGACAUCUUUCAUGAUUAUGAGCCCCAUUAAUUAUUUUCAAACUUGAGCAAAUUAGUUGAAGUUGGACAAGGAAGAGAACUUAAUGAGUUAUGUGUGGAUAUAUUUGCAUAGAAGUUAUAUUGUUAUGGAUCCUCCAACAUGUGGUGCUUGUUUAGAACCUUUUACUAGCCAAUACUUCGUGCUAAGUAGAGAUACUACUUGUGCAUCCAAAAACCCUUAAACCCAGUUUCUUGCCAUGAGAGUCCACUAUAUCUACCUAUAUGCGGUAUUUACCUCCUAUUCCAAGUAAAUUUGCAUGUGCCAAACUCUAAACCUUCAAAUAAUAUUUUGUUUUGUAUGCCCGAAUCACUCAUGUAGUGACUAGGGACUGUAUUGAUUAACGAUGUGUGUUGAUUCACUAUCAUUCACGAGAAAGUGGCCGGUAUUCGGGAUGCCCAGUUCCAUGCUAAAAAAUCAAAUCAAAAUAUAAUGAUACAAACCUCCCCCAAGAUUGUUGUUUGUAUGAACGGUACCCGUGGAUUCGGCUCGUCGUGGAGUGUGGUUGAUUGGUGGAGGGGGAGUUAAAACUUUACAAUUGUGUUUGGGAACCAUCUAUAAUCUAUCUAGCAUGGAAGAUACCGAGAUCUCUCGGUUGUUAGGUUGACAAUGAAAGCAUACCGCUCAAAAUUAUUAUUCAUUUGUGUUUUAAAACCUCGAGCUUUCGCACAUAUGCAAAUCACAGCUUCCCUGUGCGAAAUUUGCAUGACUUGAAUGGAACUAACCGAGACUAACGCUGUUUUCAGCAGAAUUGCCAUGGUGUUGUUUUUGUGCAGAAAUAAAAGUUAUCGGAAUGUCCUGAAAAUUUAAGGAUAUUUUAUCUGGAAUAAAUGAAAAAUACCUGCGCANNNNNNNNNNNNNNNNNNNNNNNNNNNNNNNNNNNNNNNNNNNNNNNNNNNNNNNNNNNNNNNNNNNNNNNNNNNNNNNNNNNNNNNNNNNNNNNNNNNNNNNNNNNNNNNNNNNNNNNNNNNNNNNNNNNNNNNNNNNNNNNNNNNNNNNNNNNNNNNNNNNNNNNNNNNNNNNNNNNCAAAGAUCCACCGGAGGGGGUAUGCCAGUGGGCCACAAGCCCCUCGGCCGCGGCCACCCCCUUAGGCCGCGCCGUGAGGGCUUGUGGGGCCCACGUGGCACCACCGCCCCCAAACUCAGCUCUAUUUAUUCCAUCUCGCCCGGAAAAAAAUCAGAGAGAAGGAUUCAUCGCGUUUUACGAUACGGAGGCGCCACGAGCUCGUGUUCUUUAUCUGGAGGACAGAUCUGGAGUCUGUUCGGGGCUCCGGAGAGGGGAAAUCGUCGCCAUCGUCAUCAUCAACCUUCCUCCAUCGACAAUUCCAUGAUGCUCUUCAUCGUUCGUGAGUAAUCUCAUCGUAGGCUUGCUGGACGGUGAUGAGUUGGAUGAGAUCUAUCAUGUAAUCGAGUUAGUUCUUGACGGGGAUUGAUCCCUAGUAUCCACUAUGUUCUUGAUUGAUGUUGCUACUACUUGGCUAUGCUUAAUGCUUGUCACUAGGGCCCGAGUACCAUGAUUUCAGAUCUGAACCUAUUAUGUUGUCGCCAAUAUAUGUGUGUUUUAGAUCCUAUCUUGCAAGUUGUAGUCACCUACUAUGUGUUAUGACCCGGCAACCCCGGAGUGACAAUAGCCGGAACCACUCCCGGAGAUGACCAUAGUAUGAGGAGUUCAUGUAUUCACCGAGUGUUAAUGCGUUGGUCCGGUUCUUUAUUAAAAGGAGAACCUUAAUAUCCCGUAGUUUCCAUUAGGACCCCGCUGCCAUGGGAGGGAUGGACAAUAGAUGUCAUGCAAGUUCUUGUCCCUAAGCACGUAUGACUACAUACGGAAUACAUGCCUACAUUAGAUUGACGAACGGGAGCUAGUUACUUAUCUCUCUGUGUUAUAGCUGUUACAUGAUGAAUCACAUCCGGUAUACUCAUCCAUCACCGAUCCACUACCUACGAGUCUUUUACUACUGGUCCUCGCUACGUUACUUUGCUGCUACUGUUGUCGCUACUGCUGUUACUUCGUGCUGCUGCUACUGCUGUUCCUUGCUGCUGCUGUCACUACUGCUGUUACUUUGCUGCUACUUGUUGCAAGACUUUUCUGGAGCCGUUGCCGAGGAAGAAUAGUCCCCCGUCCACGUGCCAUUUAUUGGCGCCAUUGAUACAACAAGCUAGGAAAAGUCUGCCGUCAACACAUCUUUUUCUGACACCGUUGCUAUCAUACCACUUUGCUACUGAUACUUUGCUUGCAGACACUAAUCUUUCAAGUGUGGUUGAAAUUGACAAACUCAGCUGCUAAUACUUGAGAAUAUUCUUUCGCUUCCCCUUGUGUCGAAUCAAUAAAUUUGGGUUGAAUACUCUACCCUCGAAAACUGUUGCGAUCCCCUACACUUGUGGGUUAUCAAGACCAUUUUCUGGUGCCGUUGCCGGGGAGGCACAUCUAUAUUCUCUGAGUCACUUGGGAUCGACGUCUGCUGGUCACUAUGAGGAAUCUGAAAGAUCCAAGAACUAAAAUCUUGCCUUCCACUACGAGGAGAGGUAAGCAACUUCCAUCUAGCUCUGCACUUGAUUCACCUUCAGUUUUGAGUAAGUUUGCGACUUCGCCUCCUGCUAGAAAUCUUGAUAUGUCGCCUGUGCAUGAUGAUGCUACUUCUGCUGCCCAUGAUGCUUAUGAUGAUGCUAUGCUNNNNNNNNNNNNNNNNNNNNNNNNNNNNNNNNNNNNNNNNNNNNNNNNNNNNNNNNNNNNNNNNNNNNNNNNNNNNNNNNNNNNNNNNNNNNNNNNNNNNNNNNNNNNNNNNNNNNNNNNNNNNNNNNNNNNNNNNNNNNNNNNNNNNNNNNNNNNNNNNNNNNNNNNNNNNNNNNNNNNNNNNNNNNNNNNNNNNNNNNNNNNNNNNNNNNNNNNNNNNNNNNNNNNNNNNNNNNNNNNNNNNNNNNNNNNNCCUGAUGAUGCUAUGCCUGAUACUCCUUUGCCACUAGGUGCAUUCCUUGAUGCACAAAUUGCUAGAGUUGCUGCUAGAUGUGAUGAUACUUCUGAAACUGCUGAUACUAUUGAAGUAGAACUUGCUAGUAUGCCUGAAUUGCCUGUUAUGCAUGAACGCUAUGUUAUGGAAGGAGAGAUAGCUGAGGACUUUCUUGCGUGUAAGGAUAGCUAUGAUGUUGAGAAAUUACUGCGCAAGUGGAAAGAAAAAUCUCUGAACGCUGGGAUGAAAUACGACCCGAAGUUUGCUACUUCGCCUAUCUUUGUGACCGAUAAGGAUUAUGAAUUCUCUGUCAACCCUGAGUUAAUCACUCUGGUUGAAUCUGAUCCUUUUCACGGUUAUGAGUCUGAAACGGUUGUAGCCCAUCUUACCAAACUGCACGAUAUAGCCACCCUAUUCACUAGUGAGGAAAAGAUCCGCCACUACUAUAUCCUCAAGUUGUUUCCUUUCUCGCUAAAGGAUGAUGCUAAGACCUGGUUCACUUCUCUUGCUCCUGGUUGUGUGCGUAGCCCCCAGGAUAUGGUCUACUACUUCUCUGAAAAAUAUUUCCCUACCCAUAAGAAGCAAGCUGCCUUGCAGGAAAUAUACAACUUUGCUCAAGCUGAGGAAGAGAGUCUCCCACAAGCUUGGGGGAGGCUCGUCCAGCUACUGAAUGCUUUGCCUCAUCACCCUCUUGAGAAGAAUGAAAUACUUGAUAUCUUCUAUAAUGGACUUACCGAUGCUUCCAAAGACCACCUAGAUAGUUGUGUCGGUUGUGUUUUUAGGGAACAAACUGUAGAACAAGCUGAGAUUCUACUGAAUAACAUCUUGUGCAAUGAGAAUGCUUGGACUAUUCCCGAAUCACCUCCUAAGCCAACUCCAAAGAAAAGAGGUAUUCUAUUCCUCAGUCCUGAAGAUAUGCAAGAAGCCAAGAAAUCUAUGCGAGAGAAAGGCAUUAAAUCUGAAGAUGUCAACAAUCUACCACCUAUCGAAGAGAUCCAUGGUCUCGAUAACCCGAUACAGGUAGUAGAAGUAAAUUCUCUCUGUAGGUUUGAUGAGAGUGAUAUUCCUUUUGAUAAACCUGCUAGCUUAUGCCUGGAUGAAUUUGAUAACUUUGUUGACAAACAACAGAGUUUCNNNNNNNNNNNNNNNNNNNNNNNNNNNNNNNNNNNNNNNNNNNNNNNNNNNNNNNNNNNNNNNNNNNNNNNNNNNNNNNNNNNNNNNNNNNNNNNNNNNNNNNNNNNNNNNNNNNNNNNNNNNNNNNNNNNNNNNNNNNNNNNNNNNNNNNNNNNNNNNNNNNNNCAAACAACAGAGUUUCAAUGAUUAUGUUAGCAGACAAUUGGAACAGAAUGCUCAUAUGCUUAGUCAUUUAAGUGCUUGUGUGGACAGAAAUGUCAAUGAUCUUAAGCUUUUGAGUAAACAUGCCUGUAUGGUUACUACUCAAGUAGAACAAGUACUUAAAGCUCAAAAUGACUUGCUCGAUGAGUUGAAUGAAAAUUCCGUUAGAGUUGUUACUAGAGGCGGUAGAAUGACCCAGUAACCUUUGUAUCCCGAGGGUCAUCCGAAGAGAAUUGAACAAGAUUCUCAAGGAGUUAGCACUGAUGCACCUAGUCAUCCUAGAAAGAAGAAGAAAGAUGAUAGGAACCUGCACGCUAGCAACCCUGUUGCUGCUACACCUGAGAGUCCAAACGAUGCCUCUGUCUGUGACACUGAAACACAAUCUGGUGAUGAACAUGAGCCUAAUGAUAAUAUCAAUAGUGAUGUUCAUGAAGAUGCUCAACCUAGCAAUGAUAAGGAUGUGGAGAUUGAACCUAUUGAUCUUGAUAACCCUCGGCCUAAGAAUAGAAGAUAUGAUAAGAAUGACUUUGCUGCUAGGAAGCAUGGUAAAGAAAGGGAGCCAUGGGUUCAGAAACCCAUGCCCUUUCCUCCAAAACCAUCCAAGAAAAAGGAUGAUGAGGAUUUUGAGUGAUUCGUUGAAAUGAUCAGACCUGACUUUCUGCAAAUGCGUUUGACAGAUAUGCUCAAAAUGUCUCCGUAUUCUAAGUACAUGAAAGAUAUUGUAACUAAUAAGAGGAGGAUACCUGAGGUUGAGAUUUCCACCAUGCUUGUUAAUUAUACCUUCAAGGGUGGAACUCCUAAGAAACUAGGUGAUCCCGGUGUGCCCACUAUACCUUGCUCCAUUAAAGGCAGGUACGUUAGACCAGUGUUAUGCGACCUUGGAGCCGGUAUUAGUGUUAUGCCUCUCUCUCUUUAUCGUAGACUUGAACUGGACAAGUUGACACCCACUGAAAUCUCUGCAAAAUGGCCGACAAAUCAACUGCUUUCCCUAUCGGCAUUUGCGAGGAUCUGCCUGUUGUGGUUGCUAACGUCACUAUCUUAACAGACUUUGUUAUCUUGGAUAUUCCUGAGGACGAUGCCAUGGCGGUCAUCCUCGGAAGACCGUUUUUAAACAAUGCAGGGGCUGUUAUAGAUUGCAACAAAGGCAAUGUCACUUCCCAUGUCAACGGUAAUGACCAUACAGUGCACUUUCCGAAGAAACAAUAUCGAGUACAUUGCAUCAAUGCUAUCGAAAAAACUUCAUCAAUUUUUAUUGGGAUCUUUGAAUGCCCUAUACCUCGUGUCAAGAUGAAGUAUGAUUUGCUUGUUGGGGAGAUACACAUCCCCAUUGAGGUGACCUAGUGAUUAUUCGGAAAUUCUCCAUUAUCUUUUGUGAUUCGAAAAAGUUUGUCAAAGAGGCUUGAUCAACCUCACUGACAGAUUUCUUUUGAUGACAAUGAGAUGGAUGAAUCGAGGAGUCACAAACCUCUGUUCCAAGCUUUCACCUUCUAUUGCUUAGAAGAAAAAUGAUAGAUUUAGUUUAGUUUUCCCUGUUUUCUGUUUUAGCGCUCGGUGGAAAAGUACCCUGAAAAUAAAAGUACUCCGAACGUCCUGAAAAUCAAGUAUGAUUUUUUUUGGAAUUUUUGAAAAAUUCUGAGACAAAGAGCUUGUCGGGGGGCUGCACGAGUGGGCCACAAGCGCUUGGGGCGCGGGCACCCCCCCUGAGCGCACCACCCAGGCUUGUGGGGCCCACAGGCACCCCCUCCACUCAUUCUUGCUCUUAUCUGGUUCUCCUACCUCCAGAAAAAAUUGUUCCGCAGCUCAAACCCGUGUUCUCGCUCCUCUUGUUGGGAUUUUCGAUCUCUUUGCUCAAAUCACCGUUCUCCGAACUGUUUUGGGGAAAUUACUCCUUGGUAAGUGACUCCUCCAUUGGUCCAAUUAUUUUUUGCUCUAGUGCCUUAUACUCCGCGUAUUUUUUCUGCCUUGGUGACCAUGUUCUUGAGCUUUGCAUGCUAAUUCUAGCUGGUCCCAAGUAGUUUUGAUGCGUAAUAUGGCCUCUAGGCAUUUGUUGGAGUAGUUGCUAUGAGUUUCAUUGAGCCUUGUUCACUUUUCCUUAGAAUCACUAAAAUUUUCAGAAAAUUUCAAAGAUAGAAAAGGGAAAAGAUGAGGAGGUUCUUAAGAGGCUCUUCAAGCCGUGACCCCAAGGAUGAUGGGAGUGAGAAGAAGCCCAAGUAUCUGGUCCCUCGAGUCGCAGAAGUUCGAGCGUGCAAGUGGCCAAGCGAUGUGUUCUUACGCACCGCUGGAAUUUAUGAGGACUUUUAUCACUUGGUGGAUAACGCAGGCCUUACCGCCUUCGUUGAAGAUAAGUGUCCGCAAUACCUCCUCCUCACUAAUAUCUUCAUACAAAGUUUUAACUUCUAUCCGAGGAAGAAUCCUCCUAUGGUUGAGUUCAAAAUUUAUGAUAUCCCCCAGCGCAUGUCACACCAAGAUUUUUGCAAUGUUUGCAAAUUACCUUAUGUUGGGGAUAUUCAUGAACCUCGUCCACGGGACUUGGAAGCUUUCAUCGAUACUAUUGUUGUAGGAGAGGAGAGAGGAGUGUCUUGCGCUAGAGCUACUAGCAUUAAUUUUCCCGUGCUUCGGUACUUCUCAUUAUUUGUGGGAAAAUGUUUGAUUGGCCGUGGGAAAGCUGGGUCACUUAGUUCCCCAGAUCUUGCGGUCUUGCGCGAAGCCCUUUAUAACGAUAAAACUUAUAGCUUGGGCGCUAUAGUAGCUCAACGGUUGAACACGAACCGUUCUAAAGGCGUUAUCUAUGGAGGUAUCUAUGCUACUCGUCUUGCUAUACAUUUUGAGAUACCUAUUAGACUGGACGAGGAAGAAGAGAUUCUUCUUCCUGAGAGAUAUCUAUAUUACAAUAGCAUGGUUCGCCAUGACUUUUUUGAUAGAGAUAUAAAUAGAAGGAUGAUUUAUAACCUGGUAUUUAGUCAGGGUACUCGUGAGACUAUUACUUUGCUUGCUCCUUCUUUGUUCAAUCUUCAUGCAGGUAGGUACAUUAUUAUGCCCUUGGACAUCUACACAUAUUGGGGCAUAGCCCAACCACAGGUGCCCGUGCCCGAGCUAGCAGUCGAGUACCAGACGCCAGUUUAUCAGUGGGAGCCAGAGGAGCUCACACAGCAGUGGCAUCCUCAGUCCACUCCGGAGUACCCCGGAGCUGGUUAUUUCCCUCCUUGGGAGUAGACCAACUUAGGCCAAAAGCCUAAGCUUGGGGGAGUAGGUGUUUCUCAUUUGUGUUUUCCUGCAGAUUCCAUCUUUAGUCCACUACACGAGCACGCUUAUUAUUGUUCACAACAUUCGGUCGUGCAAGUGAAAGUCAAAAAUGACGAUAUAUGAAGUGACUGAGCCUGGAAAAGAUGGUAUGAACUCGAUCUAUUUUGUUUUUGUAAAUAUGACUAGCCCAUCAUGCCUGAUUCAGCUUUGUUGUGAGAGAAACAUGUUUGCAAUGACAACUUAGAGAUCAUAGUUGCUUAUGCCAUGCUUACUUAGCUAGGAGCUUAUAAUGGUUUGUCUUGGAUGCCCACAUGAAUGUUGAGAUGACUGUGCUGUAGUAUGAUAGGAUGGUAUCCUCCUUUGAAUGUUUCAAGUGGCUUGACUUGGCGCAUGUUCACGCAUGUAGUUGAAACAAAAUCAACAUAGCCUCUAUGAUGUUCAUGUUCAUGGUGAUUUAUGUCCUACUCAUGCUUGCAUUCAAUGUUAGUUAAUCUCAAUGCAUUUUGAUGACUGUUGUCGCUCUCUAGUUGGUCGCUUCCCAGUCUUUUGCUAGCCUUCACUUGUACUGAGCGGGAAUACUGCUUGUGCAUCCACCCCCAUAAACCCAACGUUGUUCCAUAUGAGUCCACCAUACCUACCUAUGUGCGGUAUCUACCUGCUGUUCCAAGUAAAUUUGCAUGUGCCACUCUCUAAACCUUCAAGAAAUAAUCUGUUUUGCAUGCCCGAACCGCUCAUGUGGUGAUAGGGGGCUAUUGGUAUCUUCCAUGCUAGGCGUGUUAUCCUCGAUAUGUGUUUAUUCACUAUCAUUCACGAGAAAGGGGGCGGUAAUUGGAACUCCCAGGUCCAUGCUCAAAUCGAAAAGAUAAUUGCAAACAAACCUCCCCCAGGAUUGAUGUUGGUAUGGACAGUACUCGAGGAUUCGGCUAGCCGUGGAGUGUGAUUGAUUGGUGGUGGGGGAGUCAAAACUUUACUUUUCUGUUUGGGGACCGCCUAUAGCAUGUGUAGCGUGGAAGAUGUUGAGAACUCUUAGUCAUUGCGUUGACAAUGAAAGCAUGCCACCCAAAAUUAUUAUCUCUGUUUUAAAAGCUUGAGCUCUGGCACCUGUGCAAAUUAAUGCUUCCCUCUGCGAAGGGCAUGUCUAUUUAUGUUCCUGUUGAGUCAUCCUCCUCUUACAACAAGACCCAAUUAGAGAGCACCUUUGUCAUUUUUAUGCUUUGCUUUUAACUGUGUUGAGUAUGACUGUGACUCGAUCUUCAUUGGCUAGAAUUACAAUGUUUAGUCAGCCCUUGGUCUUUGAAGGUGCUCUGCAUUUAUGUUUUGCGGUCUCCGAAAGAGCUAGCGAGAUACCAUCUAUUCGUACUGCUUCAUGUUGUUUUGAUUGAAGUGUUGACAUUUGAGGCUUAUUAUUAUUUGCUCCCUAGCUGAUUAUGCCAUUGAUAUGAGUUUAUCGUGAGACCUAGAUGUCAUUUGCUUAUGUGGUUUGCUUGUGAUCUUGCUGAAAUUCUGGUUAUGAGUUAGACAUAGUUGCAACAACAAGAUCAAACAGAGUUCGUCAAAGUUUUUCUUUUGUCUCUUUCAGUUUGUCAACUGAAUUGCUUGAGGACAAGCAAGGCUUUAAGCUUGGGGGAGUUGAUACGUCUCCGUUGUAUAUACUUUUCUGAACUCUUUUGCCCUUGUUUUGGACUCUAAUUUGCAUGAUUUGAAUGGAACUAACCCGGACUAACGUUGUUUUCAACAAAAUUGCCAUGGUGUUGUUUUUGUGCAGAAAUAAAAGUUCUCGGAAUGUCCUGAAAAUUUACGGAGAAUUUUUCUAAAAUAAAUGAAAAAUACCUGCGCAAAGAUCCAACGGAGGGGGUGUGCCAGUGGGCCACAAGCCCGUGGGCUGCGACCACCCCCCCCCCUAGGCCGCGCCGUGAGGCCUUGUGGAACCCACGUGGCACCACCGCCCCCAAACUCAGCUCUAUUUAUUCCGUCUCGCUCGGAAAAAAUCAGAGAGAAGGAUUCAUCGCGUUCUACGAUACGGAGGCGCCGCCACCUCCUGUUCUUCAUCCAGAUGACAGAUCUGGAGUACGUUCGGGGCUCCAAAGAGGGGAAAUCAUCGCCAUCGUCAUCAUCAACCUUCCUCCAUCGACAAUUCCAUGAUGUUCUUCACCAUUCGUGAGUAAUCUCAUCGUAGGCUUGCUGGACGGUGAUGAGUUGGAUGAGAUAUAUCAUGUAAUCGAGUUAGUUUUGACGGGGAUUGAUCCCUAGUAUCCACUAUGUUCUGAGAUUGAUGUUGCUACUACUUUGCCAUGCUUAAUGCUUGUCACUAGGGCCCGAGUGCCAUGAUUUCAGAUCUGAAAUUAUUAUGUUGCCACCAAUAGAUGUGUGUUUUAGAUCCGAUCUUGCAAGUUGUAGUUACCUACUAUGUGUUAUGAUCCGGCAACCCCGGAGUGACAAUAACCGGAACCACUCCCGGUGAUGACCAUAGUAUGAGGAGUUCAUGUGUUCACCAAGUGCUAAUGCGUUGGUCCGGUUCUUUAUUAAAAGGAGAACCUUAAUAUCCCAUAGUUUCCUUUUGGACCCCGCUGCCACGGGAGGGAUGGACAAUAGAUGUCAUGCAAGUUCUUUUCCCUAAGCACGUAUGACUUCAUACGGAAUACAUUCCUACAUUAGAUUGACGAACGGGAGCUAGUUACUUAUCUCUCCGUGUUAUAGCUAUUACAUGAUGAAUCACAUCCGGUAUAAUCAUCCAUCACCGAUCCAUUGCCUACGAUUCUUUUACUACUUGUCCUUGCUACGUUACUUUGCUGCUACUGUUGUCGCUACUGCUGUUACUCUGUUGUUACUUGCUACUGAUGUUGUUGAUGUUGCUUGCUACUGCUGUCACUACUGCUGUUACUUUGCUGCUACUUGUUGCAAGACUUUUCUGGAGCCGUUGCCGGGGAAGAAUAGUCCCCCUUCCACGUGGUAUUUACUGGCGCCAUUGAUACAACAAGUUAGGAAUAGUCUGCCGUCAACACAUCUUUUUCUGACACCGUUGCUAUCAUACCACUUUGCUACUUAUACUUUGCUUGCAAACACUAAUCUUUCAGGUGUGGUUGAAAUUGGCAAACUCAGCUGCUAAUACUUGAGAAUAUUCUUUUGCUUCCCCUUGUGUCGAAUCAAUAAAUUUGGAUUGAAUACUCUACCCUCGAAAACUGUUGCGAUCCCCUACACUUGUGGGUUAUCAAGGGCCAAUCUAUUUACUUUCAUGUUAUUUACUAUUCUUGUUGAGUUAACUUCUUAUUCCAACCUCAAAGUAUUAGUUGGCAAGCAUCAUGUGGUGGGGAAAGAUGCAAACAUAUAUAUCCAUACAAAUAUAUUUGAUCAUGAAUUAUUAUUGUUGACAAUUAUCUAUAUGGUAAAUAAAUUAGGAGGCAAAACUUUAAGCCCCUGUCUUUCUUUGUGUUCGAUGGAUGCUAUUUGUUCUAAAAAUAUGCUUUGAGUGUCAACAAUCAUGGAAGACUAUAUGAUAGUUGAGUAUGUGGAAUUUUCUAAAUAAAAUCUCUUACAUAGACCCUUCCCAAAAAUAAGAUGAAUUGCAAUUGUUUGGUGACUGAAAGCAUAAUUUGUUAGUUUUCAAGAAACUUUAUGGUCUACAUUUUAACACGUGAAUAGCUUGUUACUUCAUCAUGAGAAGUUUUAUGAGAUGAGCUACUGUGUAUGAUAUGUAAUGAUGCUAGAAAAAGUGUUUGGAUAUAUCAUUGAUCAAAUUUAUGCACUAUGCUAGCAUUCACACUUCAUAAAUGAUUUCUUUUAUUAUUUACCUACUCGAGGACGAGCAGGAAUAAAGGUCGGGGAUGCUGAUACGUAUCCAACGUAUCUAUAAUUUAUGAAGUAUUCAUGCCAUGUUUACAAUAAUUCUAUAUGGUUUUUGUAUGAUUUUAUUAUAACUAACCCGGACUGAUGCUUUUUUCAGCACAACUACCGUGUUGUUGUUUUUGUGCCCAAAUAAAAGUUCUCGGAAUGGGCUGAAAAAUUACGGAGAAUAUUGUUGGUAAAUAUGAAAAAUACUGGAGCAAAAGGAUACCAGAGAGGAGUCCCGAGGCAACCACAAGCCACCAGGGCACCCCCCUAGGGUGCGCUCCUUGGCUUGUGGGCCCCUCAAGCACUCCCCUGACGUGGUUCGAACGCCAAAUAUUCUUAUAAAAACAGAAACCCCCGAAAAGAAACUUAGAUCGGGAGUUCCUCUGCCGCAAGCCUCCAGAGCCAUGAAAACCCAGUCUUGGCCCUCUUCGGCACCCUGUCGGAGAGGGUCACCAUCACCGGAGACCAUUGAGGAGGAAGAUGGAGGGGCCAUCAUCACCAUGGAGGCCAAGGACUAGAGGAAGAACCUCUCCCCACCUUGGGGGAGGCCAUGGAGGAGGAGGAACAAGGCGGAGACCCUCUCCCCCUCUCUCCCGGUGGUGCCGGAGUGCCACCGGGGGAACCAUCGCCGCGGUGAUCGUCUUCAUCAACAUCACCUUCUUCAUCACCAACCCCAUCUUCUUUUAGCGUUCCACUCCCCCGCGCCCCGCUGUAAUCACCUACUUGAACACGGUUCUCUAUGCCACAUAUUAUGAUCCAAUGAUGUGUUGCCAUCCUAUGAUGUUUUGAGUAGAUUCCCUUUGUCUUAUGGGUUGAUUGAUGAUCUAGAUUGGUUUGACUUGCAUGCUUUAUUAUUGGUGUUGUCCUAUGGUUCUCUCCGUGUCUAGCAAGCAUGAGGGAUUCCCUUUGUAGGGUGUUGUAAUACGUUCAUGAUUCGCUUAUAGUGGGUUGUUUGAGUGACAGAAGCAUAAACCCGAGUAGGUGGGUUGUUGCGAAUGCGAUAAAGGGGACUUGAUGCUUUAAUGCUAUGGUUCGGUUUUACCUUAAUGAUCUUUAGUAGUUGCGGAUGCUUGCUAGAGUUCCAAUCAUAAGUGCAUAUGAUCGAAGUAGAGAAGGUAUGUUAGCUUAUAACUCUCCCUCAUAUAAAAUUGCAAUAAUGAUUACUGAUCUUGUUAACAAUUGCCUAGGACAAUUCCGCACACCGACCCAUCACUAUUCCACACUCGCUAUUUGUAAUAUAUUCUAACUUUAUGAUAACAACACCUAUUUUUAUAUUUUAUUUCUCCGAUGUCAUGCAAAGCUAUUCUCUUCAUACCCACAAUGUAGUUUUAUUUCUCGUUCCAAGUUGGAAGCAAACGUUCGGCGUACGUAGAGUUAUAUCAGUGGCAGAUAGAACUUGAGAGAAUAUUGCUCUUACCUUUAGCUCCUUGUGGGUUCGACGCUCCAUACUUAUCAUUUCCACCUUUUGAAAUUGCUACGAUGAUUCCUUGCACUUGGGGAUUAUCAGGGCGUCGGCAGCGUCUGGGAACAGGUGAUGGCUGAUACGUCUCCAACGUAUCUACAAUUUUUGAUGGUUCCAUGCUAUUAUCUUGUCAACUUUGGAUGUUUUAUAUGCAUGAAUAUGCUAUUUUAUAUCUUUUUUGGGACUAACCUAUUAACUCAAUGCAGAGUGCCAGUUUCUGUUGUUUCCGUGUUUUUGGCCCAUUUUCAGACGAACUCCAAAUGGAAUGAAACUUUACGAUGCUUUUUUUUGGACCGAAAGAGACCCCCGAAGCUUUGGAAGAAGGCCAGAAGAGCCACGAGGGAGUCACAAGCCCUGACGCCGCCACCACCCCCCUAGGUGGUGCCGACCAGGCUUGUAACCUCCUCGUGGGCCCAACCGACGUAAUUCCACCGCCAUAAAUUCCUAUAAAUUCAGAAACCCCCCAAAAGAAACCUAGAUCAGGAGUUGCGCCGCCGCAAGCCUCUGUAGCCACCAAAAACCAAUCUGGAGCCUGUUCUGGCACCCUGUCGGAGGGGCAAUCCAUCUUCGGUGGCCAUCUUCAUCAUCUCGGCGAUCUCCAUGACGAGGAGGGAGUAGUUCUCCCUCGGGGCUGAGGGUAUGUACCAGUAGCUAUGUGUUUGAUCUCUCUCUCUCGUGUUCUUGAGAUGUCUUGGUCUCAAUGUACCAUGGGCUUUGCUACUAUAGUUGGAUCUUAUGAUGUUCUUCCCCCUCUCCUUCUUGUAAUGAAUUGAGUUUAUCCUUUGGAGUUAUCUUNUACAAGGAGAAGGUUGCGUAGUAGACAUCAAGCUCUUUUCUGCCGCCGUUGCCGGGGAGGUUAGCGCUUGAAGGUAUAUCUUUAGAUCUUGCAAUCGAAUCUUUUUGUUUCUUGUUCUUUUGCUAGAAAACUACAAAAAAAAUGGAAUUGAGGAUGUCUCAUAUGCUCCAUCUUUUCAAUGUCUUUCGUGAGCAUGAUGGGAAGGAAAAUUGUGCUCAAGUGCUGAAAGAAGAAUUACAUAGAAUGCUUGGCAUAGAUUAUGUGAAUGAUGAGCAUGAUUGCAAUGUUCUUAGCAUGAAUUCUUUGAAUACCCAUGAUGCUAAUGAUAUGCAAAGCCACAAGCUUGGAGAUGCUAUAUUUGAUGAAGAUGAUCUUUUUAGUUCUUCCACUUUGAAUGAUCAUUGUGAGGAUACUUAUGCUCUGAAGAAGAGGGAUGAUAAAACAUCUCAUACUCUCGAGAACCCCUUUGUUAAAUCUUGCUUUUUCAUUGUGGACACAAUUUGUAGUGCUCAAGUCUUUUACGAUACUCCCACUACUAUUCUUGAGAAUAGAUUUCCUUAUGUGGAGAGUAGUAAAAUUUCUAUGCUUGUAGAUCAUGAAAAGAAUGCUUUAGGUGCUGGUUAUAUUGUUGAAUUCAUUCAUGAUGCUACUGAAAAUUACUAUGAGAGAGGAUGAUAUGCUUCUACUUAUUGCAAUAGUAUCAAGCUUCCUCUCCAUAUGUUGAAAUUUUUGAAGCUAUGCUUGUUCUGCCUUCCUAUGCUAGUUGAUUCUUGCUCCAAUAAAUUGUUUAAUCACAAAAUCCCUAUGCAUAGGAAGUGGGUUAGACUUAAAUGUGCUAGCCAUUUUCUCCAUGAUGCUCUCUUGUGUUUCAAUCCUUACCUUUUAUGUGAGCAUCAUUGAAAUCAAUGCCUAGCUAAGGGCGUUAAACGAUAGCGCUUGUUGGGAGGCAACCCAAUGAAUAAAUUUUUCUUUGCUUUUUGCUUCAUGUUUUGUUUUCUCCACACCAUCAUAAUUAUGUUAUGAUUGUGUCUUUUGUGUUUAUUUUUGUGUUUGUGCCAAGCAAAACCGUUACGAUUAGUCUUGGUGAUGAUUGUUUGAUCAUGCUGGAAAAAGACAGAAACUUUCUGCUCACGAAAAGAAUUUCCAUUUUUAUUCUGUAAGAGAUUUUGAGUUGAUUCUUUUUGCUGCAUAUUCAUAUGCAAUUUAUUCGGAAUUUAGUAAUUGUUCAGAUUUGUUGAAGUACCAGAAGUAUACAAAGUAUACAUAUUGCUACAGACUGGUCUGCUGUUAACAGAUUCUGUUUUUGUUGAGUUGGUUGCUUAUUUUGAUGAAACUAUGGAUAGUAUCGGAGGGUACUAGCCAUGUAAAAGUGAAAAUACAGCAACCCAACACCAAAAUAAGUAGAAUUUAAGUUUGCUACAGUACCUAAGGAAGUGGUGAUUUGCUUUCUUAUACUAAUGAUAUCACGAGUUUCUGUUUAAGUUUCGUGUUGUGAAGUUUUCAAGUUUUGGAUGAAGUUCUUAUGGACAAAAAGAUAAAGAGUGGCAAGAUCUCAAGCUUGGGGAUGCCCAAGGCACCCCAAGAUAUUCAAGGAUGCCGUAAAAGCCUAAGAUUGGGGAUGCCCCGGGAAGGCAUCCCCUCUUUCGUCUUCAAUCCAUCGGUAAUGUUACUUGGAGCUAUAUUUUUAUUCACCACAUGAUAUGUGUUUUGCUUGGAGCGUCUUGUAUCUUAGGAGUCUUUUAUUUUUGUUGUGUCACAAUCUUCCUUCCUUCAAACCUAGAGAGAGAGACAUGCACUCACCGUGAUUUUGUCGAGCUUCACUUAUAUCCUUUGGUAGACAAUUCAGCUCACAUGUGCUUCACUUAUAUAUUUUGAGCUAGAUACUUUUGCUCUGUGUGCUUCACUUAUAUCUUUUAGAGCGCAGCGGUGCGUGUCUUGGUAGUUGAUCUAUGCUUUGAAAGUAGUCUCAAAAUGGGUAGUUAUCCAAAGGGAUACGAAAACUUCCACCUUCAUGUGCAUUGAAUAGUUAGAGAAGUUUGAUUCAUCUCAAUUAGUUUUGAGUUGUGGUUUUGGUAAUAUUGAAGUCAUGCUAGUAAGGUGUUGUGGAUCUAGAAAUACUUGUGUUGAAGUUAGUGAUUCUCGUAGCAUGCACGUAUGGUGAACCGCUAUGUGAUGAAGUCUGAGCAUGAUUAGUCUUUUGAUUGUCAUCCUUUGCGUGGCGGUCGGGAUCGCGCGAUGGUUUAUACCUACCAACCCUUCCCCUAGGAGUAUGCGUUGAAUGCUUUGUUUCGAUUACUAAUAAAACUUUUGCAACAAGUAUAUGAGUUCUUCAUGACUAAUGUUGAGUCCAUGGUUUAGAUGCACUUUCACCUUCCACCAUCACUAUCUUCUUAGUGUCGUGCAACUAUCGCCGGUGCACAAAACUCACCAUUAGCCUCCCUCAAAACAGCCACCAUACCUACCUACUAUGGCUUUUUCAAAGUCAUUCCGAGAUAUAUUGCCAUGCAACUACCACCAUGACAUGUGCCACCACGUCUACAUUGCCAUUGCAUGAUGUUUCCAUUAAUGUCUAUGCCAUGCUAGAUCAUUGCCACGGUACACUACCGAAGGCAUUCCAUAUAGAGUCAUCGUUGCUCUAAGUUUUGAGUUGAAAGUGUGAUGAUCAUCAUUGAUGGAGCAUUGUCCCAUGUGAGGAAAUAAAAGAGGCCAAAGAAGCCCACCAAAAAAAACAAGAGGCCAAAGAGCCCACCAAAUAUAUAUAUAUAUAUAUGAGAGAGAAAAAGAGAGAAGGGACAAUGCUACCACUUUUCCACACUUGUGCAUAUUAAGCACCAUGAUCUUCAUGAUUGAGAGUCUCUCGUUUUGUCACCAUCAUAUAGCUAGUGGGAAAUUCUCAUUAUAUAACUUGGCUUGUAUAUUCCAAUAAUAGGUUUCCUCAAAAUUGCCUUAGUUCUUCGUGAGCAAGCAAGUUGGAUGCACACCCACUAGUUUUCUUUAAGAGCUUUCACAUACUCUUAGCUCUAGUGCAUCAUUUGUAUGGCAAUCCCUACUCAUUCACAUUGAUAUCUAUUGAUGAGCAUCUCCACAGCUCAUUGAUAUGCCUAGUUAAUGUGAUUAUCUUCUCCUUUUUUUGUCUUGCAACCUCCACCACACUCCACACCACUUAUAGUGCUAAAACCAUGGCUCACGCUCAUGUAUUGCGUGAGAGUUGAAAGGGUUUGAGAAAGUGAAGGUGUGAAACAAUUACUUGGCCAAUACCGGGGUUGUGCAUGAUUUAAAUUCGUUGUGCAAUGAUGAUAGAGCAUAGCCAGACUAUACGCUUUUGUAGGGAUAACUUUCUUUUGGCCUUGUUAUUUUGAAAGUUCAUGAUUACCUUGCUAGUUUGCUUGAAUUAUUAUUGUUUCCACGUCGAUAGCAAACUAUUGUUUUGAAUCUAAUGGAUCUGAACAUUCAUGUCACGUGAGAGAAGUUACAAAGUACAACUAUGCUAGGUAGCAUGCAACAUCAAAAAUUCAUUCUUUAUCACUUCCCUACUCGAGGAUGAGCAUGAGUUAAGCUUGGGGAUGCUUGAUACGUCUCCAACGUAUCUAUAAUUUUUGUUGGUUCCAUGCUAUUAUCUUGUCAACUUUGGAUGUUUUAUAUGCAUGAAUAUGCUAUUUUAUAUCUUUUUGGGACUAACCUAUUAACUUAGUGCCAAGUGCCAGUUUCUGUUUUUUCCGUGUUUUUGGCCCAUUUCCACACGGAGUCCAAAUGGAAUGAAACUUUACGAUGAUUUUUUUGGACCAAAAGAGACCCCCGAAGCUUUGGAAGAAGGCCAGAAGAGCCACGAGGGAGUCACAAGCCCCAAAGCCGCCACCACCCCCCUAGGUGGUGGCGACCAGGCUUGUGACCUCCUCGUGGGCCCAACCGACGUAAUUCCACCGCCAUAAAUUCCUAUAAAUUCAGAAACCCCCAAAAAGAAACCUAGAUCGGGAGUUCCGCCGCCGCAAGCCUCUGUAGCCACCAAAAACCAAUCUGGAGCCCGUCCUCGCACCCUGUCGGAGGGGGAAUCCAUCUCCGGUGGCCAUCUUCAUCAUCCCGGCGAUCUCCAUGACAAGGAGGGAGUAGUUCUCCCUCGGGGCUGAGGGUAUGUACCUGUAGCUAUGUGUUUGAUCUCUCUCUCUCGUGUUCUUGAGAUGUCUUGAUCUCGAUGUACCAUGGGCUUUGCUACUAUAGUUGGAUCUUAUGAUGUUCUUCCCCGUAUCCUUCUUGUAAUGAAUUGAGUUUCCCCUUUGGAGUUAUCUUNUACAAGGAGAAGGUUGUGUAGUAGACAUCAAUGGCGCGAGACACAUGACGUCGAUCUAUCCAGGUUUAGGGCCCUCCGGUGAGGUAAAACUCCUAGUCCUGCCGGUGUGACUAUAUGAGAUCACAAUUCAAUGGUUCUCCUUGAGCUGUUCGUGAGGAGGGAGACGAAGUUCUCACUGCCUCGGUGGUAUGUGUCUAAGGAUUCACUAGUUUUCUCCUCCCCUUCUCUCAGGGGACUGGGGUUGGGUUUUAUAGUGCAACCAAAUGUAUACAAUAAUGGGUAGAAACGGAGUGUGGGGUCCGGCCUUCAGCCUCUCCGGCUGGCCGUGGGGCCCGUCGGUUGUCGGGUCUUGUCCUGCGCGGGUCCCGCCGGACGUGUGACGCAGAGGAUAACGCGCCGGCCGUCAGGGAGUUGGUAGGGGUAGGCCCCAGCUACACGGCCGCCUCGCCCGGUCAGCCUAGGGCGUGACCGGUGGCGCUGUAGCCACGUCGAGCCUUGCAUCAUGACGCCUGUAGCCGCGCUAGGUCUAUCAACGCGCACUAUAGCCAUGCACGCCCCUCUGCUGAGGGUAUGCUCUUGUUCGCCGUAUGUUAGUCGGCCGGAUGGGAUGGGCGUUGACCCGUCGACUGCUGCCAGUCGGCCCGCCGUGCGCUGGCCAGGCGGGCCGCCUGUGGCUAGUCAACCAAGGGCGCCUAGCCGGACGGGUCAAACGCCGCUAGCCGAACUGUCACACAGUGGCUAGGCGAACCGCUUGUAGCCAGCCGGCCUAGGGGGGCCAGCCAGCCCGAAUGUCAAGUAGAUGGAUUCCCUCCGCUUUGGUAUACCCAGGGGCCAUAUCCCCGUCAUUAAAACUUAGCCAUUGCAACUUUGUGUACUUCGUUUAUCUCCAAUGACCAGACCAAGACCGCUUUCGGAUCCUCACCCUUAACAAUACUUCAUAUGUAUUCACAAUAUUCAGAUUGCUUUUAUCAUAUUCUUGCUUGUUCUUCGAUUGCUUGGAGGAAGAGACCUUCAUGAUGAGGUUGAUCGUGCUCCCGCGUGAUCAAUAAUCUCUUGAAGUUGGUUUAGUGAUUGCUAAGGCGCAACGUCGUGCACAUUUGUAGUCGGAUCGUCAAAGUCGUCUCCACCAAAUCGGUAGCCACCAUCUCUUUGAAAGAUCGGGACACCCUUGCCUCUAUCAUCUUCAAAUUAGAACACAUAAUGCAUUAAAAGUUGAAUGGGAGAGCUCCUUAAAAAAUUAUUGAUCCAAUCAAAAUCAAUUAACACGACUCUAAAUCAAUGAUCUCAAUUAAUUAUGAGGUCUUACAAAAUAUAAAUCAUAGUGUAUAAUAUACUAAAAAAUUUAAUUAGAGAGUUUUGAAAAAAUUGUUGACCCGUUCAAAAUCAGCUCACACAACUCCAAUUAAAAACCUCAAUAGAAUACGGCCUUCAUAAAACCUCAAUUGAAUAUUUCCGUAACAUAACACAUCACAAGGCAAAAUGAACAUAUAUCUAAAUAACAAAAAUACUUGCAUAAUAUCAUACAUAUAAUAUUAUUUAAUAUGAAGUUAUUAAUAUGGACUAAUAACAUAUGGAUGCUACUAAUGCAAGUUAUUUUCUACUAUGACGAGCCUCAUCUUGAGUGGUUUCUUUGCUUCCAGUCAAUCCCAACAAUGUCUUCACCAGUCCGGAUCCGUCGACUGGGGGGUCGUCCCGUGCAGAGUGGAGGAGGCAAUAGCGGUUCGCGUUGCACUCCGCCGCUCGCGCGAGGACAGCGCCUGACCGACAGAAGGAUUUGUCCGCCGCGACUCUGUAGCAUCUGCACAAAGGGUGCUCGGCUCCUUUGGGGAAUGGCCGGACUACCACCAAAGGUGGAGAAAGAGGUGAGCGGCGAUGAGGACAGUUGUGGCGACGAGAAGAUCCGGCUCGAUCCGUACUGCGUCUUCAACCGGUACUUCCACGACAAGACGGCAAGGGUGUCGGGAAGAACAGAGGCAGCCGUAGAUGAUCUUCACCAUAGCCAAACAUGUAAAAUUUUGAUAGUCCGAUGACAUGUUUAACAAUGAUGGAGUAACUGGACAAUGUGUGUGCGUCGACGUAGUAGUUCGUCUGCGGACGUUUGAAAGAUCGGAUUUGAGGAGUCCGGAGAUGCUCUAAGGCAGAGAAUACACCUAAGUAGCUAGUGGUACUACUUCAGAUGAGGAAGAAAAUGUUAACUAAAUUCCAAAUAUACUGCCGUGCCAUCACACUUUGACAAACACGCACGGCCUUUUUUACACAUAGCUCUAGGUGGCUGCGCCCCUUUCUACUGCAUAUCGAUCAUCUACCAAGAAGAUAUGCACCACUCGAUCUAUAGGGAUCAUGUCACGGCCUUCAAUGGCGGCAUUCGAGCGCACAUUCUUCGGCUCAAGUUGCAUUGUCUCUACGCCACCAUCGAGUGCGCCGUAGAAAACCGAGAUAUAGCGAUCUCCCUGAUAUCUCCGCUUUUGCAAUCCCCAUAAAUAAAUAAUAAUUCAUGUUUGCGAAUGAUGAAGUGCCUGCAAUUUUUACUUCCUGCAUAUCAUAAUAAUUAUAGUGCAAGAAAACUAGUAAACUAGUUCUUUCAACUAUAAUUAUUAUGUUUUUCCUUAACAAUAAUUAUUAUGAUAUACUCCCUUCGUUCUUAAAUAUAAGUUUUUUUAAAGAUUUCACUAAUAGAGUAUAUACGGAUGUAUAUAGACAUACUUUAGAGUGUACAUUGAAUCAUUUUGCUCUGUAUGUAGACCUUUAGUGAAAUCGCUUAAAAGACUUAUAUUUAGAAACGGUGAAAGUAAAUGGAGUAUAAUCAAUUCUACUUCCUCUAAGUCUGAAGGUGAGGACAACACAACCACACAACGCCGCAGUGACAAGCGUUGACUCCGGAUGAGGACCUCGUUGGAGACGGGGACGAUGUUGUGACUAUCAGUGUCUCAAUUGGAAAAAGGGCACACAUGAGAUGAAUUAACAAUACUACCUCCGUUACGGUUUAGAAGACACAUUGAUCACGGUUUAGAUUUCCAGUAUUUUACGGGCAAGAAGAGGAAAAUGAAAAAAAAAUUAAGCAUACAAAUAAAAACAAGAACAAAUGAGAAAAGAAAAAGAAAUGGUGUGUAUUAUCAUUAGAAGGCCUCGCCAUCAGUGAAAAGAAAGAAAGAAAACAGCACUAUCAGUGGGACUAGGGUUAGCUAUAAUUCACAGACUGGAGAGCUCAGACCAUGACGGCAAGUAAAAUGAAUUAAAGGGAGUAGUUUAAUUUGCGUAGAAGAAUAAGAGAUGUGAUCAGCUGAGAAAUGAUGAGAUUAAUCAAGAGGCAAAUCGAAUGAUGAUUUUUCCAACAGGUUUUAUUAGAUAAAAUGUUUGGUCAUGUCUCUAGCCAUUCCAAGAACCAAACUAAAAUAUCCUAAAAUAAAAAUAAAAUAAAAUAACAGUACUAAUAGAUUCUAGCCCAGCAUUUAUUUUUGCACCGAUCUGGACCAAGGGCAGACAGCAGGAUAGUGGUACUAGGAUACAAGGCUGGCACUAUAGAACGUGCAUGGACGUGACGCGAUGUACACAUGUACUGAUCAGGUCGGUGCAUGCAUGCGUGUGACUCAGCGCGAUGGCCCCCUCUUUACAACGCCAAAGGUACGCUUGCCCUCGUGGCCUUGCCAGCCCUCUCCCUUGGCCCUUUUCCCCAAACAUAUCAAAGAAAACCAAACCCGUAAACAUAGCAGUUUGGACCUUAGCCUCCGUGCAUGCGUGGCCACCACCCUAAUUUCGAUACAGCGAUCACCGUACGCAACUUGCUUGCAUCUACAGUACGUACCAGUACUAUAGUUUUGCAAUAGUAUAUUCCCAACCAAGAUCAGAAUGAUGCAGAUCAGUGUUUUGAUUCCUCGAUUUCAUUUUAUUUUCCUGCGUGACGCAAAAGGGCUGCUCGCUUUUGCGUCCUAGCUGUGAAUCUUGUGACCGUUUUGCCCUCCAGAGCCACUAUAUAAGCCCCUCUACCGCAGCACAUUUGCUUCACACAACACAGCCGAUCGCAUACUCUGAUCUGAUCAGUCGCACCAAACCGAGCUAUAGCAUCAGCUCGUCGGAGUUCGGACCGGUCGACUCGGAACUCGUCAUCAAUGGCCGCCGUCCAGGUAGACUGCUCAAUACUGCUUCGUUGCGUUUCGAUCAUGUAGCUUUUGACCUGCUGCCACGGUGCCAUGCCACCUCGAUCUCUUCUGGCACGAGCAACCUGAUCACACGUACGCUGCGUACUGGUACUUCUCUGACAUGAAGGCGUGCAUCAAUGUAAACGCAGGUCCACGCCGCAACCCACGCCAUGCCCGUCGAGGAGGCUCCGGCGCCGGCGGUGGUGGAGGCUGUCGAGCCGGCCGUCGUCGUUGUCGAGGAUACUACCGUGGCGGUGGAGGUCGUCGAGCCGGCCGUCGUCGCGGUCGAGGAGGCUACGGUGGCAGCAGUGGAGAUUGUCGAGCCGGCCGUCGACACAGUCGAGGUGGCAACGGCUGAGGCUGUCGAGCCGGCCGUUGUCGCUGCCGAGGAGGCCGUGAAGGAGGAAGUUGCUGCGCCGGCCGUGACCGAGCUGGCGAAAGAGCCCGAGGCAGCUCCAGCGGAGACCAAGGAGGCCGAGACAGAGGUUGUCCAGCCGGCCGCCGCCGCUGAGGAGGCCCCUGUCACGCCGACAGUGACCGAGACCAAAGAGCCGGAAGCUGCCCCUGCCGAGGGAACAGAGACCGAAGUGGUGGAGCGUGAGGCAGCACCGGCUGAGGCCGAGACCAAGGAACCAGAGAAAGAAGCUGCUCCGGCCGAGACCGAGACCAAGGAACCAGAGCAAGAAGCUGCUCCGGCCGAGACCGAGACCAAAGAGGCAGAGCCAGCCGCUGCCGAGGCCGAGGCCAAAGAGCCGGUGGCAGAGGAGACACCGGCCAAGGAGGAGGCCGCUGUGGCAGUGCAGGAGGAAGCAGCAACUACGGAGGCACCUGUGGAGGCUGCCGUGGCAGCCGAAGCAGCCGUGGAAGAGACAGAAGCACCAGCUGCUGCUGCCGACGUCGAGGCCAAAGCGCCGGUGGCGGAGGCACCGGUCCAGGAGGAGGCAGCGCCCGCAGCCACCGCCGCCGAAGCGUCUUCCGUGCAGGAGGAGGCGGCACCGGCCGAGGCACCCGUGGAUGCACCCGCUGCCGCCGAGGCGGUGCCGGCAGAGGCACCAGCUGCUCAGGCUGCCGCCGCCGCCGACAAGGCCGCCGAGUGAGUUGAUGCGCGCGGGUGCGAUCGUGCUCCUGAGCUAGCCUUUGCCUGGCUUCGCCGUGCGCGUGCCGUGGCAUUGCCAUGGCACGGUACCUUAGUUCGUUUAUUAUUGGAUCCGUAUGUGUGGGCGUAUUUCGUGAGUGGUUGAUCGUCGUCGCGUGGGUGCGCAAUGUACGUCACGUAGCUGCGUACAUGGUCUAGCUAGCAGUCGUAUGUGUGUCGUUCUCAGUUGGCUUCAAUAAUGUGUCAGUGGCGUUCCGGGUCCCACUGUCAGUGAUGUCAUGGGGUCACUGGCUUUGGAGGCUGUUUUCGUCUCUUUGUUUUUUGUUUUUUGUGUUGGUUAAUACAUGCACUAGCUAUUUAUUUGUAUACUGUAUAUGUUGGUACUCCAUCCGUAAAAGAUUUUUGAGUUUUUUUUCCUUUGAGAACCCCUCCGUAAAGAAAUACAGUAUAUGAGUGUUUAGAUCACUAAAGUAGUAAUCUAAAUGAUUUUAUAUUUUUUAGAAAGGAAUACUAAAAAGGCUUGUGAUUUGUGUAAUGCCUCAUCUAUGGGGUCCAUGAUCUGAGCUGCAAUUUAAAAUAAUUAAUUCGGACAUACAUAU